rnacentral:lncRNA from 1 species
CUUCUCUUGACGAAGUUUGCAGAGAUAUCCACAUGCCAACACCGCAUGAAACACCAGAAUCAGAGGAAGAAGAAGAGGAAGAGGUGUUGAGUUGGAUAGCAGCUGUAAUAGGAGUCAUACCUGGUAUUGCCUUUGGAUGGGUGAUUGGAUACAUACUUUUUUCCUACAAACCAGAGUGGUUCAUCAACCCUUUUGUCCGAAACAAACGCAGACGCAACCGCACCACAACUCAUUAAAAAGGUAAUUUUCAAGAGUUUUAAAUCAACUUGUUAGCAAACACUGGAAGAAACAAAAAUAUUAUAGUCAAAUCACCUGAAUAAGCCUUCUUCUUCUUUUUUUGUACAGAUCUUUUAUAGCCUGCCUGAGGAAUCUGAAAGAAGAAAUACAAAGGAACCACUAUGUCUAUCCGUAUCAAAUAAGAUUUGGGGUAUCGUUUCCCUGUUCUUUUUGCUCUUUCAUUUUUGAUAUCCAAGAAAAAUUAUAAAGAAGAAUGAAAGGUUUUUGGAACUUAACGAGUACCAUUUCUCUUCCUAUACUUUUCUUAUUCGGCUACAAUUAUGAGGACGUGUAUGCAGUUCCUACCACGUGCUUAUGUCAUCCGGAACAAAGGGAUGCACUUCUUCAGUUGAAGAACGAGUUUGAGGUUCUAAACUCUUCCUUUGAUUAUGAUUAUUGCAUUAUUUAUGAUAUUAAACCUCAUCGGAAGACAGAGUCAUGGGUGAAUAACAACGACUGCUGUACUUGGGAUGGUAUCAUGUGCAACCCCAAGUCUGGUGACGUGAUCGAGCUAGACCUUGGUUGCAGCAACCUACGUGGCUGGUUUCGUUCCAAUAGCAGUCUGCAAAACCUUCAUUCUCUAACCACCCUAAACCUUUCACUUAAUGAUUUUAGUGGUCAAAUCAUGUCUUCAAUUGGAAACCUUUCUCAUCUCACCUCUCUCGACAUUUCUUGGAAUAAUUUCAGCGGGUUCAUUCCUUCUUCGAUUGGAAGCCUGUCUCAUCUCACCUAUCUUGACAUUUCUUCUAAUCAAAUUUCAGGUCGAUGUACAUGGGAUAUUACUUUUACCAUGAUUCAGUGGUUUUGAUGAAUAAAGGUUUAGAGAUAGAGCACUCGACUAUUCAGGAAACAAAUUUGAAGGAGACAUCCCAAGGUCCAUUGGUCUAUUGAAAGAGCUCCAUGUGCUCAACUUGCCCAACAAUGCUUUCACUGGCCACAUCCCUUCAUCUCUAGGAAACCUGACGGCUCUUGAGUCCCUUAACGUUUCCCAAAACCAGCUUUCAGGAGAAAUUCCGCAAGCGCUAGGGAGCCUCUCAUUCCUUUCGUACAUGAACUUCUCUCAUAACCAGCUUACUGGUCUAGUACCAGGAGGCACUCAGUUUCGAAGGCUCAACUGCACUUCCUUUGAGGAUAACAAGGGACUUUCUGGCCCUUCUCUUGACGAAAUUUGCAGAGAUAUUCACACGCCAACACCGCAUGAACUGUUGGAGUCAGAGGAAGAAGAAGAAGAAGAAGAGGAAGAGGUGUUGAGUUGGAUAGCAGCUGUCAUAGGAGUCAUACCUGGUAUGGCCUUUGGAUGGGUGAUUGGAUACAUACUUUUUUCUCGCAAACCAGAGUGGUUUAUGAACCCUUUUGUCCGAAACAAACGCAGACGCAGCAGCACCACAACUCAUUAAAAAGGUAAUCUUCCAGAGUUUUAAAUCAACUUGUUAGCAAACAUUGGAAGAAACAAAAUUAUUAUAGUCAAAUCACCUGAAUAAACCUUCUUCUUCUUAUUUUGUACAGGUCUUUUAUAUCCUACCCGAGUGGUUCAUGAACCCUUUUGCCCGAAACAAGCGCAGAAUCAGCAGCACCACAACUCAUUAAAAAGGUAAUUUUCCAGAGUUUUAAAUCAACUUGUUAGAAAACACUGGAAGAAACAAAAAUAUUAUAAUGAAAUCACCUGAGUUAACGUUUUCUUCUUUUUGGUACAGGUAUUUUAUACGCUACCUGAGGAAUCUGGAAGAAGAAAUCCAAAGGAACCACUAUGUCUAUCCGUAUCAAAUAAGAUUUGGGAUAUCGUUUCUAGUUUAGCUUGGUGUUUUCUCAUUACUCUAUUUUUACUUUUUUUAGCAAACUUCUUUGUUCCUCUGGUACUGUUUCCGUUUUAGCUUGGUGUGUUUUUUCUCUAUCUCUAUUUUUUUUUACGUUUUAUUAAACUUCUUUGUUUCUCUGUAAUUGAACAACUAUGUUUCUUACGCUGAAAAUUACAAGCACAGUCAAAGAUGUGUCGUCUUUUCCCCUCUUGUGCAUCUAAACGCCAACUGUUUAGACGUGAGAUGACCAUUGAACAGAUGAUCCAGAUCAACGCUAUAAACAACACAUGGCUUUAGAAAAGGAUAUACAUAUUAUAUAUGGAUAUUUCGAUUGUUCAUAUCAAUGAGACGCAUAAAUUCAUAGAAACUAUAGACUUUGCAAAUAUAAUUAUCAAGAUUCCAUUUUGUGUAUAUACAAAGUUCAAAAGGUUUAAAGCUUAUGAUUUUCGAAUGUGACAAUACAAAAUAAAAAAGUUUGCAUUUUUUUUUUUUUUUUUUUUUUUUUUGAUAAUUCUGGUAUCUGGACAGUUACAUUCUUAACUAUCCCCGUAAGGGGUCUAGCGCCCCAACGGAAGAGAUGUUAAAUCCGCUGUGGCCGGGGAUGGAAGUGUUUGCAUUGAUUUAUCUUGUGAUUGGUAAUAUUCUCAUUGAUAAUGAAUGAUGAAUAGAAGAGGAAGAGAAAUGGCUAGUAAAGGGGUCUUGUUUUCUCCCUGUCCACACUCUCUUGUUUCUAAUUCAACCUUUGAUUGUUUGAUUAAAUAUGUAUAAUCUAAAUUAACAAUAACCAAAUAUAUAUAUACUCAACUAAAAUUUGGGUUAACGAUCAUUGUCCAUUUUAUAAGAAAAUUCCUCUUGGAUCUUUCGUUUUAUAUUUUUGUUGACUGACUUUUUUACCGAAUCCAAGUCUUGCUUCUCUUUGUUUUGAAGUCCACGAUCUCAAAAAGGAAACAGCCAACUGAUUGGUCACUUUCACAAUCCAUCUGGUACGUUAUCCUUUGAUUUUUCAACAUCUUUACUAUUAAACCAGGAUCUUAUUGUCCUUUUUACCUUACUCUAUCCUUUCUUUACUAACAUUGCAUGUUUCAUUAACGGUAAUCAAGUAAUAUUAAUAACACAUAUAUAUAUUGGACCAUUUUUUCAGGAUCCAGCCCACUGUCCACAUCAGAUCUCUUUUGGGUCAUUUGGGUCGAUUAAGAAAUCAGAUCCAAUUCUCACAUUUUUUUUUCCUUUCGGACAUUGAGUCCAAGUUCAAAUAAUUUUUUUUCAACUAUAAUUUUCUUAAUAUAAUUUAAGCAUUCAUAAAAAAAAUUGAUUUUUUCGUUGAAAAGUAUAAAUCUUUAUUAAAAGUAUAUAAUUAUUUGUAUUAAAAAUAUUAACCACAUAAUAAAAUUAACUUAUCAGAGUUAUACCAACUUAAUUCAUUAAAAAUAAAGUUUAAUUUUUUAAACAUAAAUAGUCAUUUAAAAUGAAACACGAUAAGUAAAGAUAAAAAGUUUAAGUCUUUUAUAAAAUAAAAUACAAAUAUAUGAAAUAUGACAUUUACUAAAUAUUUUGACCAUUGAAAAAAAAAGAAAAUAAACCCGCGCUUUGAAAGCGCGGGUCAAAAUCUAUUAUUAUUUUAUCUUAUUAAAACUGAAGUACAAAAUUGUAGUGUUUGGAGACUUGAAUAUGACUAUUCAAAAAUUUUGGAGUGUUUGGAAACAUGGAUUGUAGUCUUUUAAAAAAAAAAUUACUUUUGUCUGGAAACAAUGAUAGGAGUAUUAAGCAAAAAAGUAAUGGGUUUAUGUUAUUAAGAAAAAUUGAAAGUUCAUCAUAUUAUAAGAAACUAUAUAUCUGGACCAGUUUUAAAAUAUACGAAAAUUGGUCAAUCUAAUUGCAUAAAACUUUUUUUUCUAAACUAUCCAUAUAACAAAAUUUAAACUUUAUAUACAUAUUUCAAAUCAAAAUAACAAUUCAAAGUUGAUUUAUAUCAAAAACUGAUUGAAAAAUAUACGUAUAUUCAAAAAUGGAUUUUUACUAAACUGUUUUUCAAUAACCAUUAUAAAAAAAUGCUGUCAAAAUAUAUAAGAAAAAUAUAAUACAAAGCUCAAUUUGAAAUACCAACUCAAAUUAUGGUUUUUAUAUUUCAUAUUAAGUUUGUAAAAUAUAAUAUAUGUAAUUAUUUAUAUGAUGGUACGUAUAAAAUACUAUUAAUUAUAUGAUUACUUAUAUGAUGGUACGUAUAAAAUACGAUUAAUUAUAUGAUGACAAUAUACGAUAUAUAAUAAUGACUAAGGAUGGACUUUCGGGUAUCCAUACGGGUUUGGUUCUGAUCGGUUUGCGUUUCGGGUUUUCGGGGUCAAAGAUUUCAGCCCUAUUAGGAUGUUUCUAAAUUUUGGUUUGAGUUUGAUUCAGAUCUUUGAGGGUUUGGUUCGAGUUUGGAUAACUCAUUUAAAUUAUUUUUAAAGUUUUAAAUCAUUAUAUAUUUAAAUUUCUCAAAAUCGAUAAAUAAAAUAAUAUAUUAUCUAUAAAUUUGAAUAAUAUCAUUUUACCAAACCCUAAUAAUUACAUGAAAAACAAAUAUCAACAUAUUUUUCAAAAUAUACACCCGUGCAGGCGUGUAGAUCAAAAUCUAUAAUCAUUUAUUUUAACAAUAAGCCAAAUAAAUAUGUAGAUUGGAGAGGGAAUAAAACAAAGCCAAAGAAACACAUAGUUUACCAGAGACACUCUAUGUGUCGAAUUUAUUAUAAAUAAAGUUUUACUAAGAUAAAUACAUUCAAUAAUUACAAACAAAUAAUAUAUUUCAUAAAAGUGAAAAAUAAUAGCCGCGCUUUUGAAGCGCGGAUCAAAAUCUAGUUAUACUUGGAUAUGGGCAUCAAGUUUGAUGAUGAGAUUCAUGGUCUGUGGCUUCUCGGUACUUUACCGAGAGCCACUACAUGAUCAUGAUGUGUGUGACCUACGAGCUUGGACUCAAACCCACGAGCCAAUCAUGUGAUGAAUCGAUUUCCUUCUUUGAUAGUAGACUGUUAGAGGAAUCGAAGAAGAUGAGAUGAAACGAGAAAGAUGAAAAAUGAUUCUGUUAUUCAGUUACAGAGUUAGUUAAUCUGUUUAUAUAUUAUAGAGUAACCGGUUUAAUUACAUGGUUUAUACUAAAACAAUUAUACAAUCCCGGUUAACUCUAAUACCUCUCCUCAAAAUGGCAUGUAGAUUGAGCUAAAUGACAUCUUGUUCAGUAAGCUAUGGAAGAUUGCAGGAUAUAAGGGCUUGGUAAAGACAUCCGCUCUACGUUUGCUUAGCAGAAACAGAGACCUGAAGCAGCAGCUCUACGUUUGCCAAGCUUGGUGUGAAGGUUUAUGUCCUUAAUCAUCAAUUAUCUCUUGGUAUGCUUAACCAAAGAGUGAGGAAGUUGGUUUAGCCGGUUUAGGUAAUAACCAAGUCACAUGUAUGUCACGUGUGUAUUCUUUGUAAACGACUAAGAUAAAGUCGUCGUAUCUUCUUCUUCCUCAUUAACAGAAGAAACGAUCUGGGUGAUUAGAGCUGUAACAGAUGGUGAGUGAGAGCAGCAUUGUAGAGAGAGAUCAAGAGCUCGAGUUGGAGCUGUUCUAGUGGAUUGCUGGCUGAGCCCAGCCCCGGUGAGUAUAGCUCCUUCUCCACAUUGGAGGAGAGAGGUGAACACCGCGCAAACAAGAUUCUUGUGUCUCUUUUCUUUAUCGUUUCUAAUCUCUUCUUUCACACAAAAGAAUCCGAUCAACAAUGAGUAGUUAAGCGACUGAGAGUCUAAGGAGUGGAUUGAGCUUAGGGAUCUUCACACUUGAAUCUUUCAAGCUCCAUCUGCAUAUCCAUCAACAUGUUCAUCCGUUGCAACUCAAGCUCCUUUGCAGCUUCCAUCCUCUGCUUCUCCAACUCAACCAUCAUCCUCUGCUUCGCACCUUCCAUCCUCUCGUACACCUCCCCCAACUUCAAAAUCGCCCUCGCCAGCUCCCUAUACACGACGACCCUUCACACAGAUCUACAUCUCCUAAAUGACUAAAAGCUUUAGAACAAGCAAAUGUCUAUUUGGCUAAAUAUUGACUCUUUUUGAUUACUUCCGUUGUACAAAUUUCAUGUUUUGUCCUCAGUAUUUAGUUAUUUCACGAGCUAUUUUUAGUACUAACUUCACAUUCGAUUGAGUUUGUAAAGGUCUCAUUUAUUUUUCCUUUCUGUCUUCAACUUACUAAGCCAUAAUCACAGUGUUCUUGUAACGACCCGGUUCAUCAAAAUCGGUUUGGUUUGGUUUAAUUACAAUUUUAAUUAUAACUUAAACCAUCCUCCUUAAUUUUUGGUCAAAUCGUGCAAUUUAUAUAUCAUUGUACGCAUCUCCCUUCCUCUCAUUUGACCUAGCCGUAAUCACCAUCGCAGCCAUUCUUCAUCGCUAUCUUCUUCUUCAUAUUAACCAUCUCACGUCAUCUUCACGUUCUUCUCUCAUCACGUUGUUUUCGUGAGGAUGAAUUGAUAUGGAGUAUUGCCGUAUCACCUCCGAUCGUCACCACCGUUGCGCUUGUGAACUAAUCACCACCGUCCACCACCACCACCUCUCGUUGGUCAGCACCAGAAUCAUCAUGUUGACCCAAGGCAGAGCUGGAGAUUCCUUACCGUGUCGGAGCCACCGUUCAUAACAAACAAUCGCUCGUUUGAUCCAAGCUUGAUGGCGACUUGUUGUGUGUGCCAUCACCACCUCCACAUGUGUUACCACCGGAGUCGGCACAGCCUUGCCGUCAGAGAUCCAUCGCCAUUUCAUGUAGUCGUUUCGUACUAGGCUUGUGAUAUACGGAAAACGCGAUCAAGCCGAGAAGGAGGGGAACCGUGCGAAACUGGAGCCACAUUCUCUUCACCGACGACCACCGAUCUGGGCCGCCAUGAGCCGUUAGCCACCUGAGAGCUGAGCCGUGUCACUGGAGAUAUGGACUUCGAACUGUAGCUAUGUCCAAGAAGGUUAAGUGUAUCAUUAGUUGUUUCUUGUGAUACAAGGAACAUAUUUUAACAUGCACUUUUACCAUGGCAUGCGCAGGAAGCGAUCAUGGACCUUAUGGGGACUUGUUUGCCAAGCCAUUCCCUCUAAAGCCUAGAUGUUUGAUGAGGCAUAUCAGUUCCCGAGUAUGACCUGAUCAAUCUCCGAUCUUGGCUAAGGUGAGGGUCUAUUCCGUAAAUCCCGUACGAGUGUAGAAUUCUCUCUAUCGUAGUUUAUAUUUUGAAUCAUGAUCCGUCUGUUUGAAUUGAGUCUGUUUGAGUCUUGAUUGUUAGUCAGUUCAUUCAUAUAUAUAUCCGUAUGAGGAGAUGCGGGGUGUAUGGACUAGCUAUAUGCUAUCAUCGCAUUGUUUGUGUUGUGAUGCUUUAAGCAUCUUGUUUGUUCAUGUUAGAGCUAAACUUCCAUAGUGGAAGUUCUAUUUACUCAAGUCAGUGGUUUGCGUGUUUAGCAUCCCAUACCUCACGGAGUAACUCCCUGUUGCUCACCCCCAUCUUCUCAUUGCAGGUGAGCUUGCCGAGUAGUUGGAUAUCUGGACGGUUUGGUGUCUUGGAGAUCACAUAUUUUAUUCCGGUUUUACAUUCGAUUUAUUAGACGUAUUUUUAUAAAUCAAUUUGAAGAUGUAAUUCUUUUGUAUUUAUUUUAUUAAAUGCUUUGGUAUUUUAUUCGGUUUUGAAUAACUCGGUUUGAUUCGGUACUUUUCGGUAAGUAGCACGCCGGUCUCGAAAGAGGAGGAGACGGGUGUUACAGUUCUGCUAAUGAUUUCCUUAACCACAUCGUUUAUCAACAUGCCUUUAACUAAACAAGUUGGAAAUUAUAACCCUCUGAGCUAUCUAGAGGGUUACAUUUGACUUUUAAUGUUCUGAGCCAAUUUGAAUCUCCGAGCCCUAGAUAUCUUCAUUUCCGUCAAGGCUACGCAAGAUUGCUCUCCAGAGCCUCCUCGUGCCACCAAUGUAGUAAUCGAAGUUGUGUGAGAGCAAAAGCCCUCUCGAGAGCUGAGGUAUUGCUCUAUUCAGGAUGAUCGGCUCCUAUAUAUGUAUUUUAAGAUAAGUUUUGAUAAAAUUAUACAAAGCUCUUUUGAAUUUGGAUUAGGGCUAAUGUUUCAGUAGGCUUUGCUCCUGUUUCAACUCUAAUAUUAACAAUUCACUUGCUAUGUUUCAGAUGAGUUUGUUGUUUUCUUGAAGCUGUUUCUGCGCUUUGUAUACUUGUGUGCGAUCUUGUUUAAUAAGUUUGUAGAGUUGGACAUGAAUGUAAUGAUGCUCUUGUAGGCUAAAUCAUCAAGCGUUGAAGCAUCUAUGUAGUUUAUGGCUGUGACAACUCUGCUGAGGUUGACGUGGGGAUUGUAUUUACCGAAGUUCAAAAGACUUCCCACUCCUUUAAGUUCCUGUCUUUACUUUUCGACCCAUGACUGGCUUAAGUUUUCUUCUUGUAAAGAAGGUUUUCUCGGACUUUCUCUUGGUCUUCUCUCAAGCAAGUACACAAGCUGCCUACAGGGUUGCGUGGCCUUAACAUUAUAGAACCGUCUCUCUCUCUCAGUCUGCUUCGAAAUCAAUGAGGAGGGAAACUGGGACAUAGUAUGCUUUCUGCAUUGAAAGUAUACUAUUAAAUAUGACCAGAGAAAUUUCCACAUAUCAUGAACUUGAUAUCGAUUAGGAAAGUUUUAUCGCAAGUAUAAACAUAAGCAUAGUAAGUCUUUCGUAAGUAGUUGUUUGGUUUGGAAUUUUUUGUUUAAAAUUUUUCGUAAUUAAUUUAGGGUACCAAUAUGUGUGGAAAUUGAUAGUGGAUUUCGACGUGAUGUAUAAUGGAUUUUUCUGUGUAAUAAAUAGAUGGGUAUGGAAGCACGUUACUCAUCACCAAUUUCCUUGUUCUUUUUGCUCUUUCUUUAUUUCAUAUUCAAGAAAGAUAAAUUAGCUUAAAGAAGGAAUGAGAGGCUUUUGGAACUUAACGAGUACCAUUUCUCUUACUCUUUCUAUACUUUACUUAUUCGUUUACAAUGAUGAGGACGUGUCUGCGGUUCCUACUAGACACUUGUGUCGUCCUGAUCAAAGGGAUGCACUUCUCCAGUUCAAGAACGAGUUUGAGGUUCAAAACUCUUCCAUUUCUUAUUAUAGAUGUAUUUAUAGUGGUAUUAAACCUCAUGAGAAGACCGAGUCAUGGAUGAAUAACAGCGACUGCUGUAACUUGUUGGGUUCCUCCUAGAUGGAGGUAACCCAUUGGGUUUGGUUUUGACAACUAAACUUGGUGUUGGACAAUGGUAUUAGCCCAUGAAGUUAGUAUUGGGUCUUGGGAGUUAAUGACCCAUAAUGUAAGUCUCCUAACCUAAUUUGGAGAGUGGUUGCAGACACAACACGAACAGACAAGAUCAGACUCACAAUAAUAAAGUUUAGAGAGAGAGAGAAAGAGAAGAGAGAAAAGGAGAGAAGAAAACAGUUUUCGUCUCAGUUUGUCAAGACAUAUUUGGAGGGUCAAACGGAACUUGAUCGGGCUGAUAUUUUGUGGGAAGCUUCUUCAGUCAGUGGGUUAAAGGUUCACCGAAGGGAUUUGGAUUUCAACGGUUGGAUCUUCUGUUGUCUGGGUUUUAGUGAAGCUGGUCGUCACAGCUCUUCAGCAAGGCUGUUUUGGCUGUUUGGUAAAUCCAACGGUAAAAUAUUCUCUGAUUGAGCUGAAAUUUGGCAGAUGUAUUGUUGACUUGUUUAUCUUGGAUUUGUACGGUGAGAUUAGUCUCUGGUUUCCGGAAUCCUUAUGAGCUGAGGUCGUUUGGAUGCUGCCGGUUUUGAAGCUUUGUGUUGCUCUCUUGUUGUUGUUGUUUGUGUUGGAGAUAACUCUUUGAAGCUAGUGUCUCUGUUCUGUUCUGAUUGUUGAACAGGGAGGACGUGGUUGUACUCACAAACAUUUAUAUAGUGGAUUGUUGAGUGGACUACGGUCCCGUGGUUUUUUCUUCUCACAUCGAGGAGGUUUUCCACGUAAAAAGUGAUUGUCUCAUUUACGUUUCUGCUUAUACUAUAUUCUGCCAUCGUCAAAGUAAUUUCUUCACAGGUUCACACAAGGUCAGGGGAACACGACUUUGAGUAUUUCCGCUGCGCCGUGAGACUUUCCCCAACAGAGUGGUAUCAGAGCUUCUGGUUUUAGAGCUUUGGUUUUGAUAACUUUGGGUUAUUAUUUGCUUGUGUGAAAGAUGGAAAAUAUGAGCAGGAUGAUAAGCUUGAAUGGUGCUAACUAUCAUCUAUGGAAGGGCAAGAUGGAGGAUUUGCUCUUUGUUAAAGAAUUCCAUGUUCCAGUCUUCGAGGAGCAGAAACCUGAGAAGAAGACGGAUGAAGAGUGGAAGCUGCAGCAUCGCCAAGUGUGUGGGUUGAUAAGGCAGUGGGUAGAUGAUAAUGUGUUGCAUCAUAUUGAGACUGAGACGGAUGCUCGUUCUUUGUGGAAGAAGCUGGAGCAGUUAUAUGCUAGAAAGACCGGAAACAACAAGAUGUACAUGAUCAAGAAGUUGAUUGAGCUGAGGUAUCAGGAGGGGACUCCGAUGACAGAUCACUUGAAUGCGUUUCAGGGAUUGCUCAACAAGCUGUCUGAUAUGGGCAUCAGGUUUGAUGAUGAGAUUCACGGUCUGUGGCUUCUCGGUACUUUACCGGACUCUUGGGAGGUUUUCAGGAUGUCUCUUUGUAACUCCGCGUCGGAAGGUGUUAUUUCGAUGGAUUCAGUGAAGAACAGUGUUCUUAAUGAGGAAGCAAGAAGGCAGUCGAAUGCUAGCAGUUCGCGUUCAGAUGUCUUUGUUACUGAGUCAAGGGGGAGAAGUACAAGUAGAGAUCCCAAGAGAGACAAGAACAGGAGCAGGAGCAAGUCUAAUAGAUUUGCUAAUAUGGAGUGCUACUUCUGUCAUAAGAAAGGGCACAUGAAGAAGGAUUGCUGGAAGUUGAAAAACAAGCAGCAAGGAAAUCAAGAAGAAAAGGUGGAUCGGGUGACUCUCACCGAAGAUCAGUUUCUCAUUCUUCUUGAGGGUGAUGCCAUUAAUGUCGCAUGCCAGGACACCAGUUGGGUGAUUGACAGUGGAGCUACUACUCAUGCUACAUCACAGCGGGAUUUGUUUUCUACCUAUACUACGGGUAAUUAUGGUUCUGUGAAGAUGGGGAAUGAUGCGAUGGCUCAGGUUGCUGGCAUUGGUGAUAUAUGCUUGGAGACUAGUCUUGGGACUAGGUUGGUGCUUAAGGAUGUUAAGCAUGUUCCUGAUAUUAGGAUGAAUCUGAUAUCGACGGGAAGACUUGAUGAUGAGGGCUAUUUCAGUUUGCACGGUGGUGGUAAAUGGAAGCUCUCUCGCGGUUCUUUGAUUGUGGCUCGAGGUGAGAAGUCUUCAUCUUUCUAUUGGAUGCAGGCUAAGGUCUCCAAAGAUGUUGUUAAUGCGGUGGAGAAUGAUAAUGCCAUGGAGUUAUGGCAUAAGAGACUCGGUCACAUGAGUGAGAAGGGAAUGGCUGUGUUGUCUAAGAAUGAGGUGAUCUCAGGAAUCUCUGGUUUGCACAGUGUUCGCAUUGCUUUGCGGGAAAACAACACAGGGUAUCUUUCAAGUCUUCCGCACCUUCUAGGAAACCCGAGGUACUGGAUUUGGUACACUCAGAUGUGUGUGGUCCAAUGAAGACAAGAUCUCUUGGUGGCGCAUCAUAUUUUGUGACUUUUAUUGAUGAUCAUUCAAGGAAGUCGUGGGUAUUUCCUAUGAGGACGAAGGAUCAGGUGCUGGGAUAUUUCAAGCACUUUGUGGCAUUGGUUGAGAGACAAACGGGGAAGAAGCUGAAGUGUAUCCGCAGUGAUAAUGGUGGAGAGUAUCUUGGACCAUUUGAUGCUUAUUGCAAAGAGCAUGGAAUAAGGCAUCAGUUCACGCCACCUCAUACUCCACAGUUGAAUGGGUUGGCUGAAAGGAUGAAUCGGACGAUUGUCGAGAGGAUGAGAUGUUUGAUCUCACAGUCAGGCUUAUCGAUGACUUUCUGGGCAGAAGCUUUGAACACGGUGGUUCAUGUGCUGAAUUUGUCACCAAGUGCUCCAUUGGAUGGUGAUGUUCCAGAGAGGGUUUGGACUGGUAAGGAUGUUUCUUACAGUCACUUGAGGGUCUUUGGGUGUAAGGCAUUUGUUCAUAUUCCCAAGGUUGAUAGAUCGAAGCUUGAGAUGAAGUCGCGGCAGUGUGUGUUCAUCGGUUAUGGUCAUGAUGAGUUCGGGUACAGAUUUUAUGAUCCCGUUGAGAGGAAGCUCGUAAGGAGCAGAGAUGUUGUGUUUAUGGAAGAUCAAACGAUUAAGGACAUUGACAAGUCCAAAAAGCCAACUCAGAUUUUUGAGGGUUUGAUCGAUACAGAGGCUACUCCUUCUACAUCGGUUCACGGUGAGGUUGAGGUUGAGGUUCAGGAUAAUGCACCCAGUGCAGAUGCUCCCGCACAUGAAGAUGGUAGUGGUGAUCAUGGUGACGAUCAUGGUGAGACACCAGCUGCUGAGAACCAACCUACUAUUGUUAGAAGAUCCGAGAGAGGUCUUAAACCGUCGACAAGGUAUGAUCCUAGUGAGUAUGUAUUACUUACUGAUGGGGGAGAGCCUGAAAGCUAUGAUGAAGCUUUGGAGGAUGAACACAAGGAUAAGUGGUUUGGAGCCAUGGAUGAGGAGAUGGAUUCUUUUGAGGAGAACCAUACUUUUGAGUUGGUGGAAUUGCCUAAGGGCAAGAAGGCUCUGCUUAAUAAGUGGGUGUACAGAAUUAAGCAUGAGGAUGAAAAUUUGCCACCUCGACACAAGGCUAGAUUGGUUGUGAAAGGCUACAGCCAAAAGAAGGGAAUUGAUUAUGAUGAAAUCUUUUCUCCUGUUGUGAAGAUGUCAUCCAUUCGGGUUGUACUUGGAUUGGCAGCGAGCCUUGAUCUAGAGGUUGAGCAAAUGGACGUGAAGACUGCUUUCCUUCAUGGUAAUUUGGAGGAAGAGAUCUACAUGGAACAACCGGAAGGCUAUGUGCAAAAGGGCAAAGAAAAUUUGGUUUGCCGCUUGAAGAAAAGCCUUUAUGGAUUGAAGCAAGCACCAAGGCAGUGGUACAUGAAGUUCAAGUCUGUUAUGGGGGAGCAUGGUUAUGCAGAGACUGAUUCAGACCAUUGUGUAUUUGUGAAGGUGUUCGGUGAGGAUGAUUUUAUCAUCUUGUUGCUGUAUGUCGAUGAUAUGUUGAUUGUGGGCAGGAACAUGGACAGAAUUAAGGAGCUGAAAGAGCAGCUAGGUAUGUCCUUUGCCAUGAAAGAUAUGGGUCCAGCGAAACAGAUUCUCGGUAUGAGAAUUAUUCGAGAUAGAGGUGAGAAGCUGAUUCACUUAUCUCAGGAGAAGUACAUUGAAAAAGUACUUAAGCGGUUUCACAUGGACAAGUCUAAAGUGUUGAGUACUCCUCUUGCUCCACACUUAAGACUGAGCAGUCAACAAAGUCCGAAGACAUAUGCGGAGAAGGAAGAUAUGGCGAAGGUUCCAUAUGCUUCUGCAGUGGGUAGUUUGAUGUAUGCCAUGGUCUGUACAAGACCAGAUUUAGCCUACGCCGUUGGAGUUGUCAGCAGGUUUCUCUCCAAUCCGGGAAGAGAACAUUGGAAUGCUGUGAAGUGGAUUUUGAGAUAUCUCAGAGGGACUUCUGAUCUGAAGAUUACAUUUGGGGGUAAGAAGCCUUUGCUGGUCAGUUUCACUGAUUCUGACAUGUCUGGAGAUGUUGAUUCUAUCAAGUCUACUUCGGGUUACUUGAUAACAUUUUCGGGUGGAGCUGUGGCAUGGCAGUCAAGGCUGCAAAAGUGUGUUGCACUAUCUACCACUGAGGCAGAGUUCAUUGCCGCAACUGAAGCUUGUAAAGAAUUGUUGUGGAUGAAGAACUUCUGUGAAGAGAUCGGUUUCAAGCAAGAGAAGUAUGUGUUGCUUUGUGAUAGUCAAAGCGCUAUUUGUCUCGGGAAGAAUUCUACAUUUCAUUCGAAGUCAAAACACAUUCAGAGGAGGUAUGAUGUGGUUGCUUCUAAGGAAGUGGAACUUGAGAAAGUUCAUACGGAUGAUAAUGGAGCUGAUAUGAUGACGAAGUCAUUACCGAGGGGGAAGCUUGAAGUAUGCCGAGGGAUAGCCGGAAUGGCUGUUUCCUCCACCUAGUCGGAGGGGGAGUUUGUUGGGUUCCUCCUAGAUGGAGGUAACCCAUUGGGUUUGGUUUUGACAACCAAACUUGGUGUUGGGCAAUGGUAUUAGCCCAUGAGGUUAGUAUUGGGUCUUGGGAGUUAAUGACCCAUAAUGUAAGUCUCCUAACCUAAUUUGGAGAGUGGUUACAGACACAACACGAGCAGACAAGAACAGACUCACAAUAAUAGAGUUUAGAGAGAGAGAAAGAGAAGAGAGAAAAAGAGAGAAGAAAACAGUUUUCGUCUCAGUUUGUCAAGACAUAUUUGGAGGAUCAAACGGAACUUGAUCGGACUGAUAUUUUGUGGGAAGCUUCUUCAGUCAAUGGGUUAAAGGUUCACAGAAGGGAUUUGAAUUUCAACGGUUGGAUCUUCUGUUGUCUGGGUUUUAGUGAAACUGGUCGUCACAGCUCUUCAGCAAGGCUGUCUUGGCUGUUUGGUAAAUCCAACGGUAAAAUCUUCUCUGAUUGAGCUGAAAUUUGGCAGAUGUAUUGUUGACUUGUUUAUCUUGGAUUUGUACGGUGAGAUUAGUCUCUGGUUUCCGGAAUCCUUGUGAGCUGAGGUCGUUUGGAUGCUGCCGGUUUUGAAGCUUUGUGUUACUCUCUUGUUGUUGUUGUUUGUGUUGGAGAUAGCUCUUUGAAGCUAGUGUCUCUGUUCUGUUCUGGUUGUUGAACAGGGAGAACGUGGUUGUACUCACAAACAUUUAUAUAGUGGAUUGUUGAGUGGACUACGGUCCCGUGGUUUUUCCUUCUCACAUCGAGGAGGUUUUCCACGUAAAAAGUAGUGAUUGUCUCAUUUACAUUUCUGCUUAUACUAUAUUCUGCCAUCGUCGAAGUAUUUUCUUCACAGGUUCACACAAGGUCAGGGGAACACGAUCUUGAGUAUUUCCGCUGCGCCUUGAGACUUUCCCCAACAUAACUGGGAUGGUAUCACCUGGAACGGCAAGUCUAGUGAAGUGAUCGGGCUAGACCUUAGUUGCAGCUACCUAGGUGGCCAGUUUCAUUCCAAUAGCAGUCUUCAAAACCUUCAUUCUCUAACCACUCUUGACCUUACAGGAAAUCGUUUUAGUGGACAGAUCAUGUCUUCAAUUGGAAACUUUUCUCAUCUCACCUCUCUCAACCUUUCACAAAAUAAUUUCAGCGGGUUCAUUCCUUCUUCGAUAGUAGACCUUUCUUAUCUCAUCUUUCUUGAUUUUUCUAUUAAUAGUUUUUCGGGUCAGAUUCCAUCUUCGAUUGGAAAUCUUUCUCAUCUCACCUAUCUUGACCUUUCUUCUACUCAAAUUUUGGGUCAGAUUCUAUCUUCUAUUGGAAAUCUUUAUAAGAUCACUUAUCUUGACCUUUCUAACAACAAUAUUGUUGGUGAAAUCCCAUCUUCUUUUGGCUAUCUAAACCAGCUGACCAGCUUAUAUGUUGGUCUCAAUAGGCUCAAUGGAAGCUUUCCCAUUGCACUACUGAAUCUGACAGAGUUGUCAUCUUUAUCACUUAGCUACAACCAGUUCACAGGCAUAAUUCCUCAUAACAUCACUUCACUCUCCAGCCUUCUUCCCUCUUCACCCUUCCUUCUAUGGAUGUUGUUACUUUCUCUGAUAACCAACUCAACGGAACUCUUGAGUUUGGGAUUAUAUCUUCACCACCUAAGCUACAAGUGUUAGCCGUUGGCAGUAAUAACUUGAGAGGGCCAAUCCCAGAAACAAUAUCCAAAUUUACCAACCUUGAAGAACUUGACCUUUCCCAUUACAAUACACAAGGUCCAAUUGACUUUAGUAUCUUCUCACAUCUCAAGUUGCUCGAUUAUCUUGACCUAUCCCAUGUGAACACGACCACUACCAUUGACUUGAAUGAUUUCUUGUCAAAUUUUAGGAGGCUCGAUGGGUUGUUUCUCUCAGGCAACCAUGUUUCUGCCACAAACAAGAUUCCAGUUUCAGGUCCCCCAUUACUGCGUUAUUUGCACUUGUCAGGCUGCGGUAUGACCGAGUUUCCGGAGUUUGUAAGAAACCAACAAUAAAAUCAAAGGUCAAGUGCCUGGCUGGUUAUGGACGCUACCAAAUCUUACUUACCUGAAUCUUUCCAACAACACUUUCACCAGCUUUAAAAACUCAACGAAACAUGGGCUAUCUAUGAUAAACUUGUUAGCCUCCAACAACAAUUUCACGGGAAAUAUUCCAUCUUUCAUAUGUGGUUGGCGCAGUCUUGCCACUCUUGAUUUAUCAAACAACUACUUCAGUGGUUUAAUCCCUCUUUGGCUGGGAACUCUCAAGGAGGAAUUCCGGAGACUAUAUUUGAAAGCUUAAGAACGCUUGACGUUGGUCAUAACCAUCUGACCGGAAAACUUCCAAGAUCUUUGAUCCAUUUCUCUAGUCUUGAAGUUCUGAACAUGGAAAGCAACAUUAUCAAUGAUAUGUAUCCAUUUUGGUUGAGUUCUCUACCAGAGUUAAAAAUUCUUGUGUUACGUUCCAAUGUUUUCCAUGGACCGAUACAUCAAACUUCAUUUCCUAAGUUGCAAAUCAUCGACAUAUCUCACAAUCACUUCAAUGGAGCUUUGCCAUCAGACUUCUUUGUUAAGUGGAGUGCUAUGUCAUCACUUGGGACAGUUUAUGAUCAGCAGAACAAAAUGUACAUGGGGGAUUCCUAUUACCAUGAUUUAGUAGUUUUGAUGAAUAAAGGUUUAGAGAUGAAGCUACAGCAUAUCCUAAAGAUCUACACAGCACUCGACUUUUCAGGGAACAAACUUGAAGGAGAGAUCCCAAGGUCCAUCGGUCUACUAAAAGAGCUUCAUGUGCUCAACUUGUCGAACAAUGCUUUCACCGGCGUCAUCCCUUCAUCUAUGGGAAACCUGACAGCUCUUGAGUCACUAGACGUUUCCCAAAACCAGUUUUCAGGAGAAAUUUGCAAGAGCUAGGGAGCCUCUCAUUCCUUUCCUACAUGAACUUCUCUCAUAACCAGCUUACAGGUCUAGUACCAGGCGGCACUCAGUUUCGAAGGCUGAAUUGUACUUCCUUUGAUGGUAACAUGGGACUUUUUGGCCCUUCUCUUGAUGAAAUUUGCAAAGACAUUCACACUCCAACACCACAUGAAACGUCGGAAUCAGAGGAAGAAGAAGAGGAAGAGGUGUUGAGUUGGAUAGCAGCUGUAAUAGGAGUCAUACCUGGUAUUGCCUUUGGAUGGGUGAUUGGAUACAUACUUGUUUCCUACAAACUAGAGUGGUUCAUGAACCCUUUUCUCCGAAACAAACGCAGACGCAGCAGCAACACAACUCAUUAAAGAGGUAAUAUAUUCGAGAGUUUUAAGUCAACUUGUUAGCAAACAUUUGAAGAAACAAAAAUAUUAUAGUCAAAUCUCCUGAAUAAACCUCCUUGUUUUCUUUGUAUAGGUCUUUUAUAACCUACCUGAGGAAUCUGAAAGAUGAAAUCGGAGGCAAUCACUAUGUUUAUCUGUAUCAAUGAGGAUUUGGAGUAUCAUCUCCGGUUUAGCUUGGUGUUUUCUCAUUACUCUGUUUUUACUUUUUAUUGUUAAGCUAGACGGGCUUCCAACCUAAAAGCAAUUGGUGAUAAGUGGAGUGGUCCAUCUAUCUUAUAUAUUACUUAGGAUCCCUUCCAACUACCGAUGUGGGACACUUUGUGUCUAAUACGCCCCCUCGAGAUGAUGGCUCUUUGAGCGUCAAUCUCGGAAUGCUCGGGAAAGGAUCGAUAGGCCAACUUGGGCCAGAUCGAUGGAUCGGAUUGGACUUCGUGGAUCGGGCUCUGAUACCAUGUUAAGCUAGAUGGGCUUCCAACCUAAAACCAAUUGUGAUAAGUGAAGUGGCCCAUCUAUCUUAUAUACUACUAAGAAUCUCUUCCAACAUCCGAUGUGGGACUUUGUCCCUAAUACGCCCACUCGAGAUCAUGGCUCUUUGAACAUCAAUCACAGAAUGCUUGAGCAAGGAUCGAUGGACCGACUUUGGACUGGAUCGAUAAUAGAUCGGGUUGGACUGCGUGGAUCGGGCUCUGAUACCAUGUUAAGCUAGAUGGACUUCCAACCUAAAACAAUUGGUAUUAGACACAAAGUGUCCCACAUCGGUAGUUGGAAAUGAUCCUAAGUAAUAUAUAAGAUAGAUGGACCACUCCACUUAUCACCAAUUGGUUUUAGGUUGGAAUCCCGUCUAGCUUAACAUGGUAUCAGAGCCCGAUCCACGAAUUCCAACCCGAUCCAAACAAUCCAAUUCGAUCCUUGUCAAAACAUUCCGAGAUUGACGCUCAAAGAGCCAUCAUCUCGAGGAGGCGUAUUAGGGACAGAAGUCCCACAUCGGGUAUUGGAAGUGAUCAUUAGUAAUAUAUAAGAUAGAUGGGGCACUCCACUUAUCACCAAUUGGUUUUAGGUUGGAAGCCCGUCUAGCUUAACAUGGUAUUAGAGCCCGAUCCACGAAGUCCAACCCAAUCCAUCGAUCUGGCCCAAAGUUGGCCUAUCGAUCCUUGCCCGAGCAUUCCGAGAUUGAGCCAUCAUCUCGAGGGGGCAUAUUAGACACAAAGUAUCCCACAUCGGUAGUUGGAAGGGAUCUAAGUAAUAUAUAAGAUAGAUGAGCCACUCUACUUAUCACUGUUGUAAAUAGAGGGUUUAGAGACUGAAUAUUUCUCUGUGUGUUAUUAUUGAUCAAUAGUGGUUCCUUAUAUAAGGAUUACAAAGAGUAGAUAAAAGGAAAGUAUCCAAAACCUAAUCCAACAGGAAAUAGGAAAACUAAAGAUAACAAGGAAAAAGGAAAACAUCAUAAUCCUAAGACGGUCUAAACCGACCGUCUCUCUCUCCUCGGACGACCGACUCUCUCUCCUCUUGGUCACGGCCACGGCUGGGCCUGGUCGUGGCUGAUGGGCUUUCUCCUCUUGUCUUGGUUAAUGGCAAUCCACUCCAUGAUUUAUAACACUCCCCCUUGGAUGCCAUAACCAUACAGGAUUUGUAGUACGCUUCAUGUUGCCUCAUUAAAACCUUAUCAGGAAAACCCAGUGGGACAAAACCAUGAUGAAGGAAAAAGAGUACAACACGAACUACUCCCCUUGAUGUGAACCUCAGUGUCGGUUCUACAUUCUACGCAUCUUGGUGCGUGAUAUUUCCUAUAUGUAUAGGAUGGGAGUAAUCGACCAGUUUCAUUACUGAACCGUAAUUAGACCACUUCGACUUCUUAGGUCGUUUCUCAUGUCCUUUGACAUCGAGUGUCCCGGUAAAGCUAUGUGCUAAGCAAUGUGAAUCACAUUGUCCUCGGAGAUCACUAUUGGGUCUUUGCAAAUUGUGUUUGCAUGUGUCCAUGGUCUAGACGUGUUUGUCUACUGUCAAACUCUUUUCUUUGACCAUUAUAAUCACCAUCGACCAUGUAUCAAUCUGGUCGAUCUAUGAUCGGGUCAUAGACCUCGUCUAUACGUGUCCACUACUUGUCUCAUGAGUGUUCAAGAUCAAUGAUCAUUACUGUGAGUUUAUAAUCUCUAAUUAUGGCUCUGUGGCCGAACACUCUCAUGGAUGUGGACAUCGAUUUCUUUGCCUUAGGUAAUGCCGUAUUCAUUAUUCUUUGCAUUCCUAUCUUAAUGAUGAUGAUGGCGUCUCAUGACCUUAGUUGCUGUGGAUCACAUCACACGCUAAGUAUACAUUAUUAGGUCAUGGACUUCGGCUUUCACGAGCUUAUGGACUACAAUACUUUAUAUCCGACAGGUAAGGAUAGAUUAAACAUCUCCUCUUACCCUUACGACAAAACUUUGUGGAGUUUAUACAGCAGCAGACCGUUCUGCUAUGCCGGAUCCUUAAGGGAUCUGAUUGUCGGAUUGCAACCUGAUGGUUGAUCUUUUCUACUAGCCCGUGAUCUAGAAGAAAGGACGGACACCUUAAGCUGAAGGGCCGGACGCAUUUUAUGGCCGAUGGGCUUAGAGCCGGAUGCCAUUUAGCAGAAGGGGCCGGAUGCCAUUUAGCAGAAGGGGCCGGACGCUUUUAGCUGAAAGCCGGAUGCCUUUUAACUUAAGGGUUGGACGUCUUUAGUCGAAGGACCGGACGCCUACAGAUACAUUAUGUAUCAGUCUACUAACCUCCUUUAGGUUUAGUACAAACACAAGGGAUUUCAAAUGUAUAUGGACUGUUAUUGGAUUGUCUUUUAUACAACUCCAAGAUCAUGCGUGAUCGCUUUCUUUUACAUACUAUAUGCAGCUGAUUUUCAGUCGAUGAAUCAGCUUAGGAACAAAGCUGUUCUUUCAAUUUUAUCCAGUGAUCCAUAUGCUGCUUACUACAUCGUUGUAUCUAAUUUCUUUCUUAUGACCAGACCAUUUUCAAUUUCGAAAAUCUGUAGCAGCAUCAACCACAUAGGAGUUUAUCUCCUUAUAAUAUGUUCCUUUGAUCUCUGUGAGUACAAGCUAUAAUCGAAUGCUGUGAAUAGGAAAACAUGAACACCUUUACAUCAUGUACAUCUCUCACGGUUUCUUUACUUCUCACAGGAUCCAUCUAUUUCACUGGUUUAUAGGAUGGCGUUUCUGUAUAUAUGUAUAUGGCCAAUACGCCCAUCACUUUCUUUAGAUACUUUGAACCUCCACGUUUUACCUUUUCUAAUCUCUAUGAUCUUUUAUGAUUGUAUGAGUACUCUUUCGUGGGUUCAUGAUCCUCGUUCAUCUCUUUAUGUUCAAGUGCUAUAACUUUAUGUAUCUUUAUACAAAUGUGUGUGUGUGUGUCGACACUUUCAUGUGGUUCCAUUAUGUUCCAGACAUGAUCUAUAGAUUUGAGAUCUUAUUAUCCAUGACCUUUGUUACCUAGUAGCUUGGCGUCCCAAUACUACAUGGUUUGGUACCUUAGAUGUGUAGCUGCACAGCCUUUUCUCAAUGUCUGUUUGGUUUCUAGUAUGAUCUCGGAUCUAUCAUUCCAUGCACCAUUCUUUUCUAUCCGAGAUCCCUUUAUCUUAUGGAACACUUGGCCUAUCUUGUAUAGACUCUAUAGCAACUUGAUUAUGUCUCUUCUAGGACAUUCAUUUGGUGCUAAGCUGGUUAGUCAUUUCUCGGGUCAGUGUCUGGCAUUUCGAUUAGCAUCUUAAUUAGCUAUCUUUAUAAUCUUUCUUUGGACGUCUUAAAUCAUAAUCUCUAGUCCGAGGAUCUUUGCCAAGACAAUGAUGGUUAAAAUCAUUCUUAUCAUUCUUUUAUCCAGCUUAUAAUCUUUCUCCUUUAAUGUUUGGAUAGAUGGAUGCAAUCCGUGUACUUGGCCACAAUCCGAUCACCCAUGUUUGGCUCAAGUUUUCUUUAUAAAUCGUGGGAGAAAGUAAUACUCCUAUCCAACAUAUAUUCCCAAUCCUCUUCUGAGGUUCCAUCUUAGACGGCACAUAUAUGUAUGUGGUGGUUUAUUCAAAAUCUCUUAAGAUGGUAUAUGUCUGGUUUUAUGACCCGUAUUCAAUCUGAGAUGGGAAUAUCUAUGCUCACUUAUAUGGCCUGAUGCAUUUUGUCAUUUAUAUACAUGUAAAUUCAUAAUGUCUCCAAGCUUAUAGACUUUAUAGUCUUAUCCUUAUAGGUAAUGGCUUACAUGGCCGAUAUCUUAUAGGUAAUAGCUUACUUGGCCGAAUCCUUAUAGGUAAUGGAACGUGUGCGGCCAAGCCUGCACUAUGCGGCCAAGUCACGACCAAGUCACGGCCGAGCCGUUUAUUCUCAUGGCCUCUUUGGUUUGGCCGUUUGUAUCAUGGCCUCUACGGCCGAGGAAUGGUCAUUUAUGGCCGAGUAAUGGCCGAGCCAUACACGAACUUGUAGUAUUGAUCAUGGGUUUAUCCUCUCUCCCCCUCAUGACCAUACUAUAAGUUUGUGGUGCUUGGGACAAUUAAGCCUAAUGAGUUUCCCUUUGUGUACAUGUUUCACAACAUGAGAUCUUUUACGGGAUAACUCUGUGCCUUUUCAAUCUUUGCAUCAAGUUUAGACUUUAGGAUGGCUAAUCCUAUCAUGCCAUAUAGUGUAAAAUUUCGUGGUGUUAUCUCAAUAUGGUUACCACAUCUCUUGCCUCUUUAUCAUACUGAUCUGUAGCAUAGUUUUGAUCAGUAGAGAUCAUAGGUAUAGUCUCGACCACUUUCUUUCAAGGUCUUAGGCGUUUUUCUUCUUAAAAUCUAAAGGAACUUGUUUCCUUCCUUACCCAUUGUUUCUACUUGGAAACCAUACAUUAUAACUUCAAUGGGUCACAUGUUCUUUUGGGUGUGUAUAAUGCCUUUUAAGGCAAUGCCUUAGCCAUAGUUUCUUUACUAUGCUUACUAUACCCAUUCAUGAUUUCUUACUUGGUUUUAUGCCCUUUAGGCAACUCUUUAAAAUCAUUUAUAUGUUCAAGUAAGAUCAGGCAAGACAAUGAAUUCAAAACCAAUUCCAUUGUAUAUAUAAAAUCGUGAACCAUCAAGUAGGUUAAAAGCAAAUCACAAAACAAGGACUUUAAAAUAAAAUGUCGAGAUCCCUCUUAGUUAAAUAGAUAAGCCGGCCUGUCCAUCUAUUGCAUUGGACACGGCUGCCUUGGAUUCAUCUUGAUCCAUUUCCUCAGGAUAUUUCAUCUCACUGCUUUUCUUUAGUACCUUGUCAUUCUCAAUCACCGUUAGGCAAGAGAUCAGGUCAUUGUAAGUGGUAGAACCUCUUUCUAUGUAGAUAUGUUUUGACAACAAAUCUUCUGGAUGGAAUGUGGAGUAUGUCUUGAAUAGACAAUCAUUAUCUGUUACCUCUUCUCCACAUAAUCUCAGUUGGUACACGACCCUGGACAAGGCAAAGUGAAACUCGGCCACUGUCUCAAAGUCUUGGAAUCUGAGACUCAUCCAUUCAUGUUUGACCUUUGGUAAUAAUACCAUAGUGUAUCUGGACUUUAAUUCUGUCCAAAGGUCACGAGGAUUCUCAAUAUGUAGAUACUGAUUUCUCAGUUCCUCAGUGAGAUGAUGGCGCAUUAUUGUAAUGGCUCUUAACUUUUCACUUUUAGUUGCAUAAUCACCCUGAAUGAUACUCCUUCCGAGUCCUCUUGAUUUCAGGGUAACUGAAGUGUUCAUUGCCCAUUCUAGAUAAUUAUCUCCAGAGAGAUUUAGAAUGGCAUAAUCCAUGGGUUCAAAUCUCGGCAUCUGAAAUCAUAUUAUCAAUCAAUUCAUUGAUUUAGAAUUCUUGCAACCAAUUUAAAUAAUCAGUGCAUAUGAUUUCAUAAGUCUAUCUAUGAUACUUAGGCCAUACGGCUUUUUCAUUUGUGAUGCUUAUACCUCACGGCCAUACAACGAUCUUAAGGAUCGGAUCAUGAUGCAAUCCGGUUUAUAAAAUCAUCCGGAUACUAGGCCACACGGUCACUUUGGUAUGCACUAAGCCACACGGCUUUUAAUCAAUCAAGGGCACAAAGCCGCAAGUGUGGGCAAUGUAUUAGGCCACAUGGCCAUAUACAAAAGGAGAUUAUUAAUCUAAGUGUAUUCAAUCCUAUUGCUUAGUUGCAUAUCUAUUAAGAUUUACCAAUUUCAAGGUUGGUAAUAUUAGAUUUUAGAAUCAAGCACUCUAGCAACCUAACUCUCAUUCAAUAUGUAAAUUCUUUAAAUCAAUCUUUCAAGCUUUAAGUAAUGAGAGAUUUAAGGUUUCAAGGCCUUUAGGAAUUUCAAACGAGAUUAAGGGUUUCAAGGCCUUAAGGAUUUCGAAUUUUGAGAUUAGAUCUAUCAAUACUAAAAUCUCAGAUCAAUCAAUCAAACAAUCAAACAAUUUAGAAACCUCAAUGAUCAAUAGAUCAGAUGAAGUCAAAACCGAUUUAAGCUUUUAGGGUUUCUAGGGUAUUUCGAAAACUUUGAUCUUUGAUCAAGGGGAUUUGAUUUGAGAUUCAAAAACCUUUAAGGUUCUGAUUUUAAUUGAUCAAUGGAUCAAUCUCGAAUUAUGGUUUAGGGGAUCGGACUUAUUCGAGCUCCGAUUUACUCUUUUAGGGUUUUAUCUAUUUAUCCUAAUGCUUUCAUCUUAGAGAUUAGUUUUAGAGUUUCAAUCUUUACAAACAAUCAGGUUCGAUUCAUGUUCUCAAAUUAAGUCUGUACCUUUGUUUUGCAGGUCUGAACCGGACCACCAAAGAUCAGAGACGAGCUGAGACGAACGGACGCGGAACGGCUCCUAUUGGGUCGCGUUGCCGAGAGCUAUCGCGAGCUUGUUUCUUCUCGCGGACGGUUUCGUCUGGUCGGGGAUUUGGUCUGAGCUGGACGCAAGCUGAGCUGAGGCUGAGGACGUUGAUCACGGACAGGGAACGUCUGAAGCUGAGCUUGAUCAGAGUUGAGCUUGAUCGGAGUUUGCAAGCCAGAACGCAAGCAAGAACAAUUUAGGGUUCUUCGGGAUUAUAUCUUUGCACGAACUCCUCUUAGCUCAUGAAAUAAAAACAAGGAGUAUUAGAUUACAUGAACACCAUAAUCUGAACAAGAUAUCAUCAAACAACUAAGGUAUGAUAAACUUAUCUUUCACAGGUUUUGAAUUUGGCUGGAAAAUCAUGUUGGUUCGGAUUAGGGUUCCAAAGACCAAGACGCCGCCAUGUAUUGUAUCUGAGAUCGUGGGCGCGUCUGAGAUUAUAUCGACGAACGGUUUGCGCUGAUGGAUUCGUUUCGUAAAGAGCUUCAAUUUGAUAUGUGGCUCGUCGUCUGGUUCCUCGGGGUUUGAGAGAUAGAUCGAUUUUAAGUUGCGUCAAAAUUAGGGUUUAUGUGUGACGGAUUUUAGGUUAGGUUUUGUCUCAGGGUUUUGGAGUCUAUCGUGCUGAUAACGUGUUGUAAAUAGAGGGUUUAGAGACUGAAUAUUUCUCUGUGUGUUAUUAUUGAUGAAUAGAGGUUCUUUAUAUAAGGAUUACAAAGAGUAGAUAAAAAGAAAAUAUCCAAAACCUAAUCCAACAGGAAAUAGGAAAACUAAAGAUAACAAAGAAAAAGGAAAACGUCCUAAUCCUAAGACGGUCUAAACCGACCGUCUCUCUCUCCUCGGACGACCGACUCUCUCUCCUCUUGGUCACGGCCAUGGCUGGGCUUGGUCGUGGCUGAUGGGUUUUCUCCUCUUGUUUUGGUUAAUGGCAAUCCACUCCAUGAUUUAUAACAAUCGCUAAUUAUUUUUAGGUUGGAAGCCCUUGCAAACUUCUUUGUUUCUCUGGCAUUGUUUCCGGUUUAAGUUGGUGUGUAUUUUCUCUACUUCUCUGUUUCUCUGUAAUUGAACAACUAUGUUUAUUACGCUGAAAAUUACAAGCACAGUCAAAGAUGUGUGUCUUUUCCGCUCUUCUGUAUCUAAACAUCAACUGUAUGGACGUGAGAUGAGCAAUAAACAGAUGAUCCAGAUCAACGCUAUAAGCAACACAGGACUUUCAUCACGGAAUUGGAUGAAGGAAAAGCUACCUGCGAUGAGAUGCUUGUCCCGGAGCCAGCAAGGCGUCUGGAGCUUCAACCAAGAUCAUACCGUCCCUGUUCAAGAUAUCCUAGUGAAAGUGAAUGAAUCCAUCGAAACCUUGUUGAAUCUGGUUAGGUGUGUCUUUGGUUUAAGGGCUGAAACACCAACGGUGAUCACCGUCAAGCUGCCUCCAUGGAUGCAUGGCCCAGAAGGAGCCACAAUCGCCCCACUGAACAUUGUAUCAAACACCGAUGUGGAGAUAAUGAUGGGUGCGCAUGAGUGGAACACAGAACCAAAACUCUCGGUCAUUAUUGGAGCGGAGGAGGUUGCGUGGUACCAGUUCGUAUGUCGAACAACGUUCACCAUAGGGGACAGAACGUUCUUGACAGAUGGAGUCUCCGAAGAGCAACACCUAGCAACCAUCAACGGUAAGCAAAAUCAAAAUUAAUAAAAAAGAUCUAUAGUUGAACCAGAAGAAGAAAAAUAGAUAAUUAAUUCUUUCCUUCCAAUUUUGUGGCAGAGAUAAUUGGAGAUGAGGAGAUAAAGUGUCCUAGGCGAUUUCUAGAGGAGCUUUUUAACCAGGACAAAAUGGCUGUUAUUUUUCGUUUUGCGAUGGAGGUUGAGAAAGCAAGAAAUAGUCUUGAUUUGAAUUUAAGCGUAUUUGAUGGAAACGGUGAUCAUAUAGUCCCAGACAUAGGAAAUCUUAACGAGGUCGGUCCAGAGUGGGGAGCAGGAGAGCAAUAUGGUGGUAUUGAUGGAUUUGGGGAUAUGGACGAUUCAGGUAAUGGACCAUAGUAUUCUUUAAUACACAAGCAUUGUUUCCUUUCGGUUACCGGAACUAAGACGUGUUAGAUUUCAUUUUAGAUGUGCCAGCAUAUCAAAAUGUCCCGGGGGGCCAUCUUCACGCGUUGAUAUCGGGCCGGUGUAUUGGCAAGACUUGAUGUCCAGCAGUUAUGCACUGCAGCUUGAUCGAAUUUAUGGGGUGGAAGGCUCGGAGUACGUGGGAUACCAACCUAGUGAUAUCGCUAUUGGGGGACCUGAGGCUAAGCAAAGGACACAAGCUUUACCGGUUUUUCAUGGGUCUCCGGUUCUAUCAUCAUCUGCUGUUACAAAUCUCCCAUCGGUGGGGUCUGAAGGGAACGUCAGUGGUGCGACAGUGGUUCAUAGAGGUACGUUGGUCAUUGUAAAUAGUAUUUUGCUAUACAUCACAUAUAGACGUCCUAAUGUGCAUAAUGUUAAUAAGGUGUAAUGGUUCUUUCACGGUUGCUGUUUCAUAGGAGGAGCAUUGACAAUCGUUCUUCAGGACAUUACGGGGGAUGAGGAGAAUAACGCUAAAGGAGGCGAGGAAGGCAAUAACGACGGCCCGGGUGGUGACCAGUAAACAUGAAUCCAAAUGCGUGUGGUAGUAAAGGGGUUGCAGUUUUUUGUUAUGUUUAAUAUCUACGGUCUUGAUGUUUCUGCAUGUUGUUUCUACAAGCUGGAAAAGGCGUAUUUCAUAAGGUUGUCCUGUAAAAUACCUGUGGCCUUGGGGUUUGUUUUUGGUUUGUUGGUCCCGGUUAAGUGUGUUCCUCUAUAUGUAGUGAAUCCUAUCGAGUAAUUUAAAAUACUUGGGUAUGUUUCGUGUAAUGUAAAAUAUUUGGGUAUCUAUCGACUAUUGCAAAAUAUUUCGUUCUCGCCAAUCUAUAAGUAGGAUCUUGUGUAAUAAAAACCCGGGUUUAGUACUUAAUAACCAUAAAUUUAUCCUAAAAUCCGGCAAUGUUAAUUGAACUACUCAACGAUAAAGAUGAAACAGUUUGACAUAAGUGGUGUGGUCAAUGGUACUUAGACGAAAUAUAUUUUGGAUAUGUUUGAUGUACAACUAUCACUAUGUAUUAAGUCAAAUAUGUAUUCGGUUAUUAACACACCUACUAUGUCGUGAAACUUUUAGUUCGAACCUGAUAAAUGAUGACAUGAGAGUUAGUAGAACGAAACAAAUGGUCUCAAUAAAACAUGUACGAAACAAAGGAGAUUGGAACAGAGUUUGGGCGAUAAAAAUGAAACAAGUCUAGCGUAGGACAACGGAGUUUUAACCCUAAACCCUAAAGAAUCUGGUGAAACUCAUUGAGCAUGACAGCGGCCCUCUGGGAUUCUUCGGUAAGAACUAGCGGGGUGACACACCUGAAUGUGUCUGGACCAAACAAGGCAUGAGUUUGCAUGAGCAAUGCUGCUGUAAACCCUGAAUCACCAGGGGGCAGCGUUAACUGGAACGCCUUUUAUUCUUUCAACCGACAGAUUUUGACCAUCAACUCUGUCAAUGCGACCACAAUACUUGAGGAGAAGGAGGAACAUCUCGGCAACAGGGUACAGAUCUCUUGACAACAGAGCAUCAGUGCGGACAACGGGGUUGCAAUCUAAAACGUAUAUCUUACAUGAUGGGCAGUCAACACAAAUGCCAAUCCAAUGCUUGUUCGCGAUGAGGAAUGGGAAAUAGAAACUGGUGGUGUUGCUAUCUUCAGAUCCAGUUUUCUUCAAACAAUCUGCCAGCCCCUUACUGAACGCAUAAUCUUUUUUGAUUUUCGCUUUCUUAAACUUGGGAUAGUUCCUAGUAAACAUUGUCACAAAUCGGGUAUCAAAGAACUCAGCGGUCUUGUCGCUCUUGGCCUGUACGUGUUUAUUGAAGGUUGAUCUGACUAGAUGCAUAAGUAUAUCCAUCACCUAACAUACUAAAAAUAUUAGGUUUCCCUUCCGAGAAGCAAGCAUUUUGGAAGCAUAUUUGAUUUUUAUUAACAGUACCUUAGCGGGUAGGAGCCUGUUCUUAUCAGCAAUGCCUGAUGUCCUUCGUGUUGAUAGAAAAACCGUCGACGUUUAUUAAACAGUCACCAAUAAAUAAUCAGCAGGGGAGUCAGUGUACUAAUGCACAACAAAAACAGAAAAAUUAGGUUACGUGUUAAAAUAACCGGGAGUUAGACAACCCACCGAGGCGGGGUGAAGAUGUGUAGAUAAACCAGUUUGGGGAAAUGUUAAUGCAGUUUACGUAAAUGAACUCCGGCCUCUUAUAUUAAUAACCGGUUACACAAAAAGUGUAUAGGGAGUUACCAUGGUCUAGUUAUGAGUGUUGUGAGCUUCGUGUACUUCUCACGGAGGACCGCAUUCACAUAGCGGUUGUCUGCACACAUCUGGGCUUCCCAAGCUCUGUUUAGGAUUGCAUAACUACAAUGGUAGUCAUUGACCAGUGCUGGUGGAACUGUCCUUAAGCGUUUGCUUUUGCGGCAAAGAGGACCGCCCUCUCCAUUUUCAUCGUUGUCUACAUCAGCAUUUACUAAAACAUCGGCAACAGCAUCAGUUGGUCUUCCCAGCUCAUCAUGAGUUAAUCCGAGCGAGAAAGAAUGAGCCUGCAUAAGUAUAAUUAAAGGGCUGUGAUUAACAAUAAAGCGAUAUGACCAAAAAUUCCUAUUUCAAAGCAAUGAUUUACCAGUGGGUCGUUCUCAUGCUUGGUAAUGCUGGUAGCAGACAAGGAUGUCUGUUGCUGAGUCUCACCUUCCUGAUGACCACUAGAGUGGGUGAGAGAUUUGUGCUUGUUAGAUCUCGCGUCGGAAAGCUGUUAUGAAAAAUUUUAAUAAAUAGAAACUCAGCAUAAGAUGAAACCAGAUCUGCAGACUAUAAUUUGGCUACAACACAGAGAAACCGGAUCUAUGUACUAUAUAUAUAUGCUACAACCCAAUAAAACAUGUAGUAUAAAUAGGUGAGAACUAAAACAAGAAACUAGAGGCUUACCGGGCAGCGUUGGGCAGACCGAGGAGGUGUGGAAUACUGACUAAGGCUCGCUCUCCAUCACACUAUUAAUAAUCUGGUCAUUGGCGUCUUCACCUGAUGGCUUUGCAUGUCGGGAGGUACCUGACCUGCUUCUAUUGUCAGCCGAUGGUGUAUGUUCUUGUGGCCGUUGCGAAGGGGUAAUAUUCCGUGUUUUUAACGGUUUUAAACUCGUUUUGGAGCAAUUAAAUGGUCGGUUUUAAUUAAUGUUUUGGUCUAUUUGAUGCGUUUUGGUGUUCUUAAGUGUAAUAUGCAGGUUACUAGAUAGCUUGAAAGAAAAGAACGCAUUCGGGAUUUAUUCAGAAGCAAGAUGGACCGAACAAUGGACCGAAUGAGAAGUAUUGAUCGCACAGNNNNNNNNNNNNNNNNNNNNNNNNNNNNNNNNNNNNNNNNNNNNNNNNNNNNNNNNNNNNNNNNNNNNNNNNNNNNNNNNGAAGAAGUUCAUGAGAGAUGUGAACCACUAUUACUGGGAUGAUCCCUUCCUCUACAAGAGAUGCUCAGAUGGUUUAUUCAGGAGAUGUGUUCUGGAGAAUGAGAUGCAAGGGAUUCUUUUCCACUGCCACAGUUCAGAAUACGCAGGCCAUUUUGCAACAUUCAAGACGGUUUCUAAGGUCCUGCAGGCUGGUUACUGGUGGCCUACACUUUUCAGAGACGCCCAUGAGUUUGUCUCAAAGUGUGAUGCAUGUCAGCGGAAGGGUAACAUCAGUAAGAGAAAUGAGAUGCCCCAAAAUUUCAUCCUUGAAGUUGAAGUUUUUGAUGUAUGGGGAAUUGAUUUUAUGGGCCCUUUCCCAUCUUCUUAUGGAAAUGAGUACAUCUUGGUUACGGUUGAUUAUGUCUCCAAGUGGGUGGAAGCAGUAGCCAGCAAGACAAAUGACUCUAGUGUUGUCAAGAAAAUGUUCAAGACAGUCAUUUUUCCAAGAUUCGGGAUCCCGAGAGUGGUUAUAAGUGAUGGAGGCUCUCACUUCAUCAACAAGACGUUCAAUAAACUGCUGAAGAGAGUAAAGCAUAAGGUAGCUACACUUUAUCAUCCUCAGACAAGUGGGCAGGUUGAAAUAUCGAACCGAGAAAUCAAGGGGAUUUUGGAGAAGGCUGUAGGCAAAACAAGGAAAGACUGGGCUGUGAAGCUUGAUGACGCCUUAUGGGCGUAUAGAACCGCCUACAAGACUCCCUUGGGCACCACUCCUUUUAAUCUGGUCUAUGGAAAGUCUUGUCACCUACCUGUGGAAUUGGAGUACAGUGGUUUUUGGGCAACGAAGUUGAUGAACUUCGACAUUAAAACCGCAGCAGAAAGGAGGAUGGUUCAGUUGAACGAGCUGGACGAGAUUCGGUUGAACGCCUAUGAGAACACCAAAAUCUACAAGGAAAGAACUAAGGCAUGGCAUGACAGAAAGAUAAUCCCGAGAGACUUCGCUGCUGGAGACAAAGUCCUUCUGUUCAACUCUAGACUCAAGCUAUUUCCUGGAAAGCUUAAGUCUCGUUGGUCCGGACAUUUCACCAUCACAGAGGUUAGACCUUAUGGAGCUGUCGUCUGGGAAGACAAUGGGAGGAAAUUCACCGUCAAUGGGCAGAGGCUAAAACCUUACUUCACAGAUGCAAAACCCGAAGAAGGAACCAACAUUCCUUUAUCGGAACCCGAUCUCGCCUAAGGACAACAAAAUAGUCAGGCUCGCGACUUUAAACAAGCGCUGACUGGGAGGCAACCCACAUGGUUUGAUUUUCUUUNNNNNNNNNNNNNNNNNNNNNNNNNNNNNNNNNNNNNNNNNNNNNNNNNNNNNNNNNNNNNNNNNNNNNNNNNNNNNNNNNNNNNNNNNNNNNNNNNNNNNNNNNNNNNNNNNNNNNNNNNNNNNNNNNNNNNNNNNNNNNNNNNNNNNNNNNNNNNNNNNNNNNNNNNNNNNNNNNNNNNAAAAAAACUCUCUACGUAUUUUUCUCAGACCCUGUGAUGAUUAUUAGACUAUUUCCUUGUGUGUUGUGUAUUACAUUAUAUAUUGACCAUUUUUCAGGACUGUUGGCGCAGACAAACCGAGGAACUACUUGACCAAGCAACCUCUCCUUAAAUCUUUUAUCAAGUCUCGGUGAAUUGUAAUCGACUCAAAUAUUUUUGACCAUUAAUGAAUUUAAUUUCUUUUGACCAGGAAUCAACAUCAGGAAACGGUACACCAUAUACACAUUCAGGAUUUUCUUUACCACAUUUUACCACUCUUUAAUAAUCCUGAAUGGCCAGACUCAUCAAUAGUUUGGUACCUCACCUACACCUUACCCUUUUAUUUCAUCUCCAUGCAUUCUUACACACUGAUCAUAUGUGCAUACAUGUGCAAAAACAAUGGAGAGAUUAGGGUAGACAUGGUUCAUCCGACUGCUUAGGUAGGAUCGGAACAUUUAGGUGGUUAGACACGGACCUGUGUGUCUAGAGGUGUAAAUAGAAAAAUUGGGUGUUGUAAGUGUGUGAUUGCAUCGCAGUGUAUAUAUUCGAUUUCGGUUUGUAUAAGUUUUCGUUCUGAAAUAUAAAAAAAAAAAAAAAAAAAAGUUCAUGUUUAUAUCUCAUUCAGUAGAUUUGAUUUAGACAUUUUAUUUUUAUUUUGUGUACCAGAGAUGAUGCGUUGUUUAAAUUUGGGGUUAGAGUUUGAGAUUUGUUGGGUUUUGAUCAUUUGAGACUUGAGCAGUUCGGAGCUUUUCACUCCUUUUUACCCACUCCCCUCAAUAAUAGACAGAGGAACUCGACUUUUGAGACUCAGAAAAGACCAGGGGCGACCAAGGAGGAGAUUUACAAGUUCUAGAGAGAGAUUUGAGUGUUUUGUACUUGUUUUGGUGUGAUUUGUGAAGAUUUGUAAAGGAGUUCAUCUCAAAACCAUUUGGAGAAGAUCUUCUGAACCUUUACUCUGUUUUAAUACAAUCUUAUCAUGUUUUCUUCAUCAAAAUCGUUUUGUUCUUGCUUAGUUAUGUGUGAGUAGUCAUCUAGUUGGGUUUAGGGGUUCUCAUAGGGGAUUUCUUGAUGUUUUGAUCCAUAAAACGUGUGUAGACUAAGGGAUUACGUUUUGGUUCUUCAUCUAAUGGAUUUCUUACUGCUUGAACUGAAUUGAUCACUUAGUUCAUGAUUUCAGAUUGUUUGAUGCACCGAAAGUGAUUGUUUGAACUUCCGAAAAUACUUUAGAUGAGCAAAGUGUCCUUAACCCUCGGAAGUUGAUGUUAUUGCGCUUUGUGAACAUAUUGAACCUGUUCUUAAUGCUUGUUUAGAAAUUGAAACUCAGCGGAAGUUAGUGUGGAGAUUUCUAUAACAUAGAGAAUUAGCGCUACGGAAGUAGGUUAAUUCUAAUAUCGUGUUUGAGUUCUAGACGGUUCUUAAUAUAUCCCUGUGUCUUCCAUUAAUUGUAUCUUGAUUAAAAAGAAAUCCCUGAGAAUUCCCAAUGCCCAACGUUUGUUUUAAAAUAGUUUUCAAAUCGUUUAAAUCAUCUUUUUACAUGCUUGUUUAUGUUUUGUGACACCUAAGAAAAUUAAAUAAGAACCAUCAAAAAUAUAUCUUGAUUCGCUGUAGCUAUUAACUUGUCUGCAACUCUACGUGUGAUCAUCGGUCCCUGUGGAUUCGAUCCCGCAUUACUACUGCGUACUUUAUUGUGCACUUGCAGUUAGAUAAUCGGGUUAAAACUCGACACAUCAAGGGGGACAGUGUCCUUCGUGUUCUCCAAAAACUCGGGUCUGGGAUGUCUGAAGGUUGUCGUUGUUCUGUUCAGCAACCUCUAGAGGUGACUUGACAAUGGACGCCAUAAUUUCCUGUUUGAAAGCUACAAGCAUUGCAUCGAGUGGUCCAAGCACAGUAGCUUGUUGUUGGGCCUCUGCGCUCCGGAUUAUUGAUGCAAUUGAGGCAUCUAUUUUUGAAAUCUCGGGUUUCAUGACAGCAAGAACAAUUGGCUUGAUAGUAGAUUCAUCUAUGACUCCAGCGGUGGUUUCCUUCGAAGUGGUUUGCUUCGAUGUGGGUUGCUUGCGUUUGGCCGCAACUUUCGCUGACUCCCUCAUUCUCUCAACUUCCUGUUUUGUUAGGCCCCCUUUAAACAUGUACUUUGAAAAACAAUGAUUCGCAUGAAUCAGCUUGUCGACUUUAGUAUCUUCGACAUGGUCUUUUACAACAAGAAUGGAUUCAUCAACCGGGUGAAGAGGGUCUUGGGGGAAUGAUACUCAUAUGGGCUAGCCAAUAAAACCGUGAACUUUUGUUGACUUUUUUAGUUUAUUAAGAAACUUACGAUUGACUGACCAUAUUAACACACCGUUAACCGAGUUAACAGAUAAAUAAGCGGAUGUUAAUUUUGGGUGUUAAAGCAUACGACGUCGUUUCAUAUCUUUGUCUGAUUAAAGACAAACGACGUCGUUUAUAUAGGUUUGUUAUUAAAAAUAUGUGUUUCCAACGGGUCGAACUCGUGUACUCGGGUUUAAUGGUAGGGGUUUUUGCCACUGAGCUAGUGGACUUUGCAAUAGAUUUACGAACACAGUUUCUUUUAUUCUCUUCGAAGCCGAGUUAAAAGACAAAUGAAUGAAACGACGCGUUUUAUAUAGCUUUUUUAUUAAAAAGAUGGGCUUCCAUCGGCUCGAACUCGUGCACUCGGGUUUAAUGGUAGGGGUUUUUGCCACUGAGCUAGUGGACUUUGCAAUAGAUUUACGAACACAGUUUCUUUUAUUCUCUUUGAAUCCGAGUUAAAUGAAUCAAAAAUCAUAAAUCCAGCUCGAUUCUCUUCGAUCUCGUCCUUAAGAAUCUCGAUUCUCACCUUUCCUUCUUCGAGUAUCGCAUGAUGAGUUCGGAUCCUUCAACGCUUUUACGGAUCCUCGAUCUCUCCGGCGAUGACAAACUCACAGAAGCAUCGCGUUCUCCACCCUUCUUCGACUCUUGAAUAGCUUCGUCACUCCCGUAAUCGAAAUUCCUCAUCGCUCCGAAAAUCAUUACCUCCCUUCCAUUCCUUGUGAACUUCGUCUUUACCAUCUCCUCACAUCACAAGAUAAAUCCCCAAAUUGAUUUGAGAAAUUAGGGUUACGUUCAAACACGGGUUUCGUUUUCUUUGAUUUCAAUCAAACACAUCUUUUGAUCAAUAAAAAUAAACAUGUGUGGUAAUCUUCCGAAAAGUCCACUAGCUCAGUGGCAAAACCCCCUAAGGACCACGACUGCACGGGUUCGACUCCAGCCAACAACAAUUUUAAUUAAGCAAAACGACGUCGUCUUGACAUUUUGUCUUUAACAAAACAAUUGGAUGAAACGACGUCGUUUCACUAAACGACAGUAAUUAACAGUGAGUUAACACUGUCUUAACUGUCGGUUAACGGUGUGUUAAUCUGGUAAGUCAACCGUAAGUUUGUGAAUUAACAAAAAAUGUCAACAAAAGAUCUGAAUUUUAUUGGUCAGGCUCGAGUACAUGUUUCUUUUGGCAAUUUCUGCAAAGUUCAGUGUUUUUUGGCCGAUUUCUCAAAGUAAAAUCCCUUUAGUUUCUCACACUACACGCAUGAUCUCCCAAACCAUUAUUUUUUUCUCGACACGAAUUAACUCUCGAUCAGAAACUGUAAAAUUUUAAAUUAUUUGCAACAACUCCAUUAAAUUGUUUUUUUUUUUGAAUGAAAGUAAAAUUAUAAUCAAACAAAAACUGUGUUACAUCUUGUGCUUCUGUUUUACUUAUGAACUCAUAAGGCAAUAAAAAUAAAAGAUUCUAACCACCUAUUACGAUGGUGUUAGAUCUUCUCUCGUGCCAAACCAAGUACGCAGACUUCUCUCCAAAUAGGCUUGGCCUCUUGCUUUGACUGCAAGCAGAUGCAAUCUGAUCGUUUUAUCAACGAGUUUGCUCAGAGUAAUGGCAUCCUUUGGUUCUUCACCAUGUCUCCUCGAGUUUCUUUCCCUCCAGAUACUGUGAACUGCUGCCUGCAGGGAGUAUCUGAUAAGGAACAAUUCUGUGGCAGGAAAGGUCGAGCCAGAUAUUAUAGUGAUAAUGGUAUUCCAGUCUGUGGUAAAGCCAUCUUUGAGAAGCCCUUGUACCAAUGAUUUCCAAACCUUAGAUGAGUAGGUACAUUGGAAAAAGAGAUGAUGGCAAGUCUCUUGCACUUCAUGACAUAGAGUACACUCUGCGUUUAUGGUAGCAUUCCAAGCUUGCAUUUUAUCUCCUGUUUGCAACCUGUUCUUUAUUGCAAUCCAGAUCAUAAAUGAGUAUUUCGGGGUGGACUCGGGGAACCAUAUGCCUCUGCUCCAAGGACAGAUAGAUUGCCUCGUCCUCAGCUGAUGCCAUGUCUUUUUAGUGGAGAAUCGGUUUCCAAAUUUUCCUUCUUCGCUUCUCCAUAACGGGACAUCAUCCAUGUCCCUUAACCCUCCAAUGCGCAAUUUAUUUAUGUCUUCCUCUAUAUCAUUUAGAAUGCGCUCUCUAUGUCUUCGCCUCCUGUUAUUUGAGAGGACAUCUGCCAUCGUAGCAUUUUCCACAAUACCAAGCGCUAUUUUACCUCUAUCACCUACGGCUUCCUUUAGGCAACCAAUCUGCGACCAGACAUUAUACCAAAAGGAUGUAUGGUUCCCAUUUCUGACAUCUAUACGCAGAAAUUGCCUUGCUAUGUCUCUCAUUCGUAGAAUCUUCUUCCAUAUCCAAGACCCCAAAUUUGUCUUAACUGAGAUCGACCAGAAAGACCCUUUCCUUAUCAAAUAACAAUGUAUCCACUUGACCCACAAGGAGGAUCUAGCAGAUGAUAUUCUCCAGAUUAGCUUCAGGCAGUGAACUUUGUUUAUCUCCUUUAAAGACCUGAUUCCCAAGCCUCCUUCAUUCUUUGGUAAGCAAAUGUCUUGCCAGCUCACUUUUGCUUUUGUAGGUUUUAAAACAGGGCCUGACCAGAGAAAGGCUGCGCAUAGACUUUCUAUUUCCUUCAAACAACUACCUGGGAGUCGAAAAGCCGCUAGCCAGAAGUUUGCUAGACUCAUGAUUACCGAGUUGAUCAGCUGUAGCCGCCCUGCAUGGGAAAGGAAACGACCAGUCCACGAGCUCAUGCGCUUUCUUAUCUUUUCCACCAAUGGCAUGUAGUCACUUACUGUCAUUCUCUUUGUGAGGAGGGGAAGACCUAAGUAGCGGACUGGUAGCUGUCCUGAGGCGAAGGGGAAGCUUUCGAGGGUCUCUGCUUCUUGUUCCACUGUUGGACCUGCCAUGUAGAGAACUGUUUUCUCCAAGUUGAUUUUCAGACCCGAUAUCACUUCAAAGUCUGCAAAGAUCCUAAGAAUACCUGCAAUAGACCUUCGUGUGCCAUCAGUGAAGACAAGCAGAUCAUCAGCAAAGCAUAAAUGUGUCAAGAGGAUGUUCCGACAUCUCGGAUGGUACCCUAUUUCUUUUCUUUCUACUGCCUUGUCAAGCAUAUUUGAUAAUACAUUCAUGCAUAUGACAAAGAGGUAUGGCGAUAGUGCACAACCCUGCCUCAGCCCCCUCUUGCUUUGAAAGAAACCCGCUAGUUCCCCAUUUACUUGUACUGAAAACGAAGGCGUGCACACACAUAGCUCAAUCCAAUGGAUAAAUUGCUCCGGCAUGUUCAAGGCUCGAAGGGUAUUCAAGAGAAAUGGCCACUGAACAGAAUCGAAAGCUUUUGCUAUAUCAAUCUUCAUGGCACAUCUUAAUGAGAUGUCCUCCUUGUGGUAGUCUUUUACAAUUUCAGUGGCGAGAAGUAGAUUUUCCACAAGCAAUCUGUCCUUCACAAAUGCGGACUGAUUGUAAGAUACACAGCGAGGGAGGGUGCCUUUCAGCCUGUUUGCGAUGAUCUUUGAGAUGACCUUAUACAAGACAUUACAGCAGGCUAUGGGUCUGUAGUCUUUCAUCUCCAUCGCCUCAUCUUUCUUUGGUAUCAACGCAAGGAUUGUGGUGUUGAGGCCCUUUGGAAGAAACCCCUUGCUGAAAAAAGAAUGCACCGCUGUGGUAAAAUCCUUUGAGAUGAUACUCCAUGAAACCUUGAAGAAUUCAACAGUAAACCCAUCAGGUCCCGGAGAUUUUCCACUAGGCAUUCGAAAUAGGACUUGUUUGAUUUCUGCAUCCGUUACCGGUUUAAUGAGAGUAUUAUGUUCUUCGUCGGAGCAGCGGAAGUUGAUGAUUUGCUGCAUCUCCUCUACUGUUUUCUGUUUCAACCCAUCCGGUAUAUGAGAUAGGGAUUUAGAGAAAAACCUCUCAGCCUCAUUUUUUAUUUCUUCUUGAGAUCGUACCACCUGCCCCGAUGCACAUCUAAUUUCUCUGAUUGCAUUCCUUGUCUCCCGAAUCUUAACGGCGUUGUGGAAGGCUUUAUUGUUUUUGUCUCCUACUUGCAACCAGUGUAACUUCGAUCUUUGCUUUAGAAUUUUUUCCUCAAUUCCAGAAACCUUCUGCCACCUCUCAGCUGCUAAUAGUUCUGCUUGUAUAUGAUCGUGGGAGGGAUCACUUAAGGUAGCUUCUUGCUUCUCACAUAAAUCUUGAUAUGCUUCCCUGACCUUCUUGGUCAAGUCACCCAGCUUCUCCUUGCUCAAACUUCUUAUCAGUGGUUUCAGGCCUUUGAGAACCUUUGAAAACCGAAACAGAGCUGAUGUGGACUGAAACAAUGGUAUCUUAUCUCUCCAAUAUUCUUCUAGCCUUCUAAGAAACUCUGGCAUUUCUGCCACUGCAUUCGUAAACUUAAAUGGUCUGCGUUUCCCAACAGCUUCAGGCUUCAAGUGGAACCUUCCUCUCAGGUGGUCUGAGCAACCUCCAGAUUCAAAGACAUUAUAGGCUUGAGUUCUCCUGUGAAGCCACACUUCAUUAACUAGGAUUCGAUCCAGUUUCUUACAUAUGAUCCCUUCAUCCCUCCUAUUGCACCAAGUGAACUUAGGGCCUUGAUACCCCAUAUCAGUGAAAUGACAAUACUGAACCACACUUUCAAACUCUCUCAUUCCUGUGGUUGUGAUCCCAGAGUCCUGAUAAUUUGAGUGCUCUCCUCCCCCCAGUAUUUCAUUAAAAUCUCCCAUGACUAUCCACUCCUUAUUUCUGAAUAAGGGUGAGCUUUGAUGUGACUUUAUAUCGUCCCAUAGCUCUCUUCUCUGCUCUACUGUGUUCUCCGCAUAGACGAAAGAACAAAAGAACUCUUCCUCCUCACCCUCCAGCAGAACUGAGACCGUGAUCAUUUGUUCUGACUUGAAAACAGGUGUGAGCCUGACGCGAGGGCUCCAAAGAACCCAUAUCCUUCCCUUCCUACUAAACUCGUAAUUGCUUAUACAAGACCAUCCUCUGCAGACUGAAUCAACAAUUGCAGCUGAUUUCCUUUCCUUCACUCUUGUUUCCAGCAAGCACCCAAACUGAAAAUCUUUACUUCUUAUCCAAUUAUGGACCACUGUGUGUUUUGAUGGCUUGUUGAAGCCUCUUACAUUCCAAAAAAACCCAGUCAUUGGGAAGAUUUGUUGGAGCUUCUUCUUCCUGAAUUACCAGGCAUGUUGAUCGCAAGGAUGACCUUAUGAUUCGUCUUGGAGUUUCGUGGGAUAUAGGGUCUUUUGUAAGUACUCUCUCCCUUUUCCGACUUUUCCUCAUCCCCUUUUGUCCCUUUCGUUUCAAACUUUUGUUUUCCUCCUUGUACUGUCUGUCCCCCUGCUACUUCAACUUGAGCUGGGUCUGAUGUCACAUCUUCCUCCAAAAGCUCUCCUCCUUCACGUUCUUCUGCCAUGUCCUUCCUUUCAUUUUUCUCACUCACCCCGAUUUCCUUCUGCUUUACAUUCCCCUCCAAUAUCACAGUUUCCUCCGGUAUUUUUGUAGUUUCAGAUUUCUCAUCCUGCUUCAAACUCUCAGAUUCCUCCAUAUUAUCUUUAACACUUUGCUUCUCUGGUUCUUCCACCUUCUCAGUUUCCUCUAGAUCAUUUAGCACUUCAGAUUUCUCAUCCUGCUUCAAACUCUCGGAUUCCUCCAUAUUAUCUUUAACACUUUGCUUCUCUGGUUCUUCCACCUUCUCAGUUUCCUCUAGAUCAUUUAACACUUCAAAUCUGGAAGCUAAUUUGACAUGACCGUACUUCAGCUCUUGCCUUUUGCUACUACUUUUACCAUUUGAGACAUUAUACCACUCUUCUACCACCUGUCCCUCUUCAAUUUCAUCAUCCUGCUCAAUGUUUUGCAAUUCUAAUUUAUCAUUCUCUACUACGAACACAUCGACCUCAUUGCCUCCACUCUCUCCUUGCUUUUUACUUGAUGUCUCCGUAGCUACUUUGGCUAGUUCCUUUGCCAUAUCCUGAACUGACAAUUCGUUACUCUCCUUUUUGCUCCUGACACAUGAUUUCUCGGCAUGUCCCCAUUUUGCACACGUGAGACACCGUAGAGGAAGCCAUGGAUAGAUGAACUCAACAUUGAAAGCCUUGCCAUUUUUUGUGAAUGUCAUCUGCUGCGGUAGCUCCUUUGUUAAGUCGGCAUUAAUAAACACCUUUGCUAGCUUGAAGUUUGUGCAAGACGCCGUCUCAGGGUGUAGUCUCACAGGGUAGCCAGCUGCACUUGUGAUAAAACUAAGCCCCUGCCAAGAGAACAUAUGCAUUGGAACAUUUUUGAGGUGGACCCAUAGUGGUAUAGACUUCACUUCUGGCUUCUCCUUUAGUUCAUCUGGAGUCCAUUUGGUAACUACCAAAGGUAUGUUCCCAAUGUUCCACAUGCCUCUUCGGAGAACCCUUGCUCUCACAUUAGCGUUUGUAAUGCGAAACUUCAUUGUAGUACCAUCAACCUCUUGUACAUCAAUCACUUGCUUCUUGUCCCCGUACGACCAAAUCUUGUUUACCACCGCAUGAAUACGAGCAAUAUGGGGAGCUGUGUCCAGGAAUUUUCCAAUCAAGUAAUCUUUCCAUAGUGGAUUUGCGUUGUUGAUAACCUCAUCUGGUAUCUCCACCGUUUGCUGUCCCUCAGACUCAGUGAUAGCUAGAUCGUAUUUUCUCAAGAUCUUCUUCUCUUGAGCCGCUGUAACCCAUGACAUCCCUUUUGAUGUCGUCGACCCCGAUUGACUCUUCGCAGCCAUACCCGGACCCUCUUUCUGUGUUUGUAACACCUGAACCGCCUCCUGACCCUCACCGCAGCAUCCCCCCUCGACGUUUGUUUAUUUUCCAGCCAUCGACCCAGCUCCCGAUCCGGGUCCCAGAUCCUCCUUUUGCACUUCUGCCACUCGCCCUACCCCCUGAGCACCUUCAACACUCGCCAGCACCCUUGAGCCGUCCGGCGGCUUCGUCAUGACGUAACCGCAGGUCGGAGUCCUUCGAAAUCGCCUAUCUCGCGAUCGCGUUGGAUGGAACCGACCGAAGAUCUGGAGUGUGGAGGAGGAAGUUGCCGGACGAUCUUGAAAAAAUCGCAGUUUGUUUCGCAAUCACUGUUCACUCAAUCGUUACUGUUCACUCAAUCCAACUCCUUUUGUCUAUAUUCACCAUUUUCAACUCCAUUAAAUUGGGGUUGAGUGUUUGCACUUACUUUCUUGUGUGUUUAUGGAAACGUUAAAAAGGUGUUGGGGACUUUCAUCACGGAAUGGGAUGAAGGUAAAGCUACCUGCAAAGGAGAUGCUUGCCACUAAGGAGUCUGCUCUGAUGUAUGCUGAGCGUUUGGUUGAGCUUGCUACUUCUCUAGGUUUUGAUGGUUGGCUGAUGAGUUUUGUAACAUAUCUGCAUCCAAAACAUACUACUAGUUAAGUGGAGAGAAGGUCAUUUCGUUUAUGUAAGCUGUUACAUGCAGAUUAAUAUAGAGAACGAAAUAGAUGAAGAACAGAUUCCUAAUUUGAAGGAAUUCGUAAGCCAUCUAACAAAAGUCUUGCAUUCAUCUACUCUUGGGGCUUUGGUUAUAUGGUGAGUUGUUAACAAGUUCUUUCUUUUGGUAUAACCACUUUGAUCUGAUCACCCUUUUUAAUUGCAGGUACGACAGUGUCACUGUUUCUGGCGAUCUCAAAUGGCAAGAUCAUUUGAAUGAGAAGAAUAAACCUUUCUUUGACUUGUGUGAUGGAAUCUUCAUGAACUAUACAUGGAAGGUACCGUUUUGGUUUUCGGUUUGUGUUUCUUCUAUUUGCCUUUGCAUGUUAUUUGAGUAAGUGAUGAUAUUUCAGGAGAGCUACCCCAACCUAUCAGCUGAAGUUGCUGGGGACAGAAAAUACGAUGUCUACAUGGGGAUUGAUGUCUUCGGUCGCGGAUCCUUUGGUGGUGGGCAAUGGACUGUAUGUUUUCAGAAACUCUUGCGAACACCAAUUAUUUUGUCAUUGUUUUUCUUCACUGUCUCAUCAAUAUCUAUAUAUAUGCUAGGUUGAUACUUCUCUUGAUUUGCUGAAGAGAAACAAUGUAUCAGCUGCCAUUUUCGCUCCCGGAUGGGUAUAUGAGACUGCACAACCUCCUAAUUUUCAUACAGCUCAGAAUAAGUACUACUCUUCUUUUGCCUGUUUGUUUGUAAAAUAAAUUGCCAUUUAUUUGUCAUCUUAUUAUCGUUCAUUCGUUCUCUUCAGAUGGUGGUCACUUGUUGAGAAGUCAUGGGGAAUAGUCCAAACAUAUCCACAAAUCUUGCCUUUUUACUCGGAUUUCAAUCAGGUAAACUGAGAUUGAUCUAGUCUUUCUUCCUAUCAGUUAUCUGAUGCUCCAUGGUACAACAUAUCUUGCCAAAGUCUCCAGGUUCAACCAUCUUAUAGUCAUUCAUUGUACAUAUAAUAUUAUCUUCUCAUCUGAUUGUUGUGUUAUUCACGUCAGCCACUCCUAGAGUUCAAGGAAGACAAGUUCUAAACUUGGACUCCUGCUUCGUUUCUCAUCCCCAUCACACGAAACUAAAUCAAUACUUGUGGCCCCACAAGAACCAAUCCCCAUAUUAGUAGAUCACAUGUUCUUGAAGUGCCUUGUCAUGGAUGGACACACACUGAUUGAAAUCUUUGCCUUUUGCUACGGACCAUAGAACUCGACAAAGACAUCAGAGUACGUUGCAUUGCUCGGUCACAUCUCAAUCAAAGAUCAUGUUCAGCUCCUCCAGCAAAACUUCGUUUCCUUACAUCAUGGGUCAUCGAGGCUCAUAACAUACAGCUUGUACCGUGUAAUUCCGGUUCUAAGAUCCUCAGGGUUAAGCUAGAAUGGAGACAGAAACAGCGUGAAGACUCUGUUCUCCCAGUGUACAAUGUGUAUGCAGAGAGUGUGAAGUCAACUGAUGUACUAAGAUCGAGGAAGGUUUUGGAGAAACCAAGAAGCGAGAGAGUGUUCCUCGGAAUCUCUCACGUACCAGCCUACUACGUUUCGGAACUGGUGCUAGAUUCGGACGUGAAAGGAGUCAGCUUCGUGGUUCAAUCCUGUGGUGAAGAUGGUUCAUGGAUGAAGGUAGAUGAUUCCCCUAACCUUCUUGUGGACUUGGAAGGUCUCUCGUAGGUUGCUUGAAACUAUGUAUGAAACGAUUAAUAAUGUAUAUUACAAAAUUACAUUAAUCUAGAAAGUGGGGAAAAACAUAAUAAAAAAAUCUGAACCAAGUCUCUUCCGUAUGGAAGUUUUGGUUUCUCAUCACUAGUAGUCUCUUUUCUGUAUAUUUUAUCGAAUGAAAGUGAGAUGAUUAUCACCAAAACUUGUUAUUUAUGGACGUGAGAAAGAACAAAUGCGGAAACUGAUUGGUUCAUCAACAUUUUUUUUUUUUGUUUACUACUGCCAUAUAUUGAAGAAACAAAAUAGCGAUGGAGUAAAAUCUUGGCUUCUUCCCGACGAUCUCGCCCUGAGAAAUAUUAUUUGAAGAAUAUACUCACUAUUAUAUGGCUCGAUCGUGAGUACAUUUAAUUCACGACGAAGAGUUGAUUCUUCUGUCACGAAGAAUGUUCUCAUUAUUAUAUGACUUCGAGCAGAUUGAUAUUUUUGUUCAUUUUGAUUGAUUCUUUUAUUCUUUUUGUCAUUUUGCAUAUAUUUCUCAUUUUGGAAGUCAUGAGGAAUAAACCAAAAAUAAAAAUAAGACCAUUCGCCGUUGAGUUUUCUUGAAAAGGUUGAUGUUUGUUUUCUUCUUACUAAAUGUAAGAGAUUCAUUCUUAUUUUGAAAUUCUAUCAAAAUUAAACUAGUUUAGCAGUUAAAUUAGUUCUUUUUUCAAAGCAAGGAAUGUCAUAAAAUCUUGAACUUUUAAAUAAUAAGUAAAAAAGAUAAAACAUUUAAUAUCAAAUCGAAAGACUACAAUAUAUGCAAAUAUGCAUGGGUCUCGUAGUCGUAAACGUUAGUACUUUUGGGUCAAUAUGCAUGGGUCGUUAGUAUACGUUAGAUUAAAUCCAAAUGUAAACCUAAGCAAAAUAAAACUUCAUAAAUUACGUUUUCUUUGGUUUAGACAAUUCUUUUUUUUUUUUUGAAAAUUCAUGUAAUUAGUGUAGGGGACCAAUAUGUGUAGAAAAUUGACUAUCCGACACAAAGAUUUUGCUUUCGACGUGACGAAUAAUGUAUUUUUCUCUAUGGAUUUUUUUUUGUGGGGAGUAAAUACAGAGUCUAUUAUUGUGUAUAUAAAGAAAUGACCAUGGAAGCAUAUUACUCAUCACCAAUUUCCCUUUUCUUUUUGCUCUUUCAGUUUUUGAUAUUCAAGAAAGUUAAAUAAGCUUAAAGAAGAAUGAAAGGCUAUUGGAACUUAACGAGUACCAUUUCUCUUACUCUUUCUAUACUUUUUUUAUUCGGCUACAGUUAUGAGGACGUGUCUGCGGUUCCAACUACGCACUUGUGUCGUCCAGAUCAAAGGGAUGCACUUCUUCAGUUCAAGAACGAGUUUGAGGUUCUAAACUCUUCCUUUGCUUAUGAUUGUUAUUUAGAUGAUUAUAUAGUAAAGCGUCAUCCAAAAACGGAAUCAUGGCGGAAUAACAGCGACUGUUGUACUUGGGAGGGUAUCACGUGCAACGUCAAGUCCGGUGAAGUGAUCGAGCUAGACCUUAGUUGCAGCUACCUAGGUGGCAGGUUUCAUUCCAAUAGCAGUCUUCAAAACCUUCAUUCUCUCACCACCCUAGACCUUUCAAGUAAUCGUUUUAGUGGUCAAAUCAUGUCUUCUAUCAGAAACCUUUCUCAUAUCACCUCUCUCGACCUUUCAGAAAAUGUUUUCAGCGAGUUCAUUCUUUCUUCGAUUGUAGACCUUUCGUAUCUCACCUAUCUCGAUCUUUCAUGGAACUUUCUUUCUGGUCAGAUUCCAUCUUCGAUUGGAAAUCUUUCUCAUCUCACUUCUCUUGACCUUUCUGGGAACAAUAUUGUUGGUGAAAUCCCAUCUUCUUUUGGCAAUCUAAACCAUCUGACCAGCUUAGAUGUUGCUGUAAAUAGGCUCAAUGGAAGCUUUCCCAUUGCACUACUAAAUUUGACGAAGUUGUCAUCUUUAGAACUCUAUUACAAUCAGUUCACAGGAACAAUUCCUCAUAACAUCACUUCACUAUCCAAAUUGACGACCUUUUAUGCAAGUAACAAUGCUUUCACUGGAACCCUGCCUUCUUCUCUCUUCACCAUUCCUUCUAUUGAUUACGUUAAUUUGUCUGAUAACCAACUCAACGGUAAUCUUGAGCUUGGGAAUAUAUCUUCACCACCUAAGCUACGAGUGUUAGUCGUUGGCAAUAACAAGUUGAGAGGGCUGAUUCCGGGCACGAUAUCUAAAUUUACCAACCUUGUCAGACUUGACCUUUCCCGUUACACAACACAAGGUCAAGUUGACUUUAGUAUCUUCUCACAUCUCAAGUGGCUCAAACUUCUUGAUCUAUCCGAUUUGAACGCGACCACUACGAUUGACAUGAAUGAUUUCUUGUCAUAUUUUAAGAGGCUCGGUGUGUUGGAUCUCUCAGGCAACCAUGUUUCAGCCACAAACAAGAGUCCAAUUUCAGAUCCCUCUUCUUUGUAUCAGUUGUACUUGUCAGGCUGCGGUAUCACCGAGCUCCCGGAGUUUGUAAGAUUGCAAAAUAUGGAGAAGCUAGACAUUUCUAACAAUAAAAUCAAAGGACAAGUGCCUGGCUGGUUAUGGAAGAUACCAAAGCUGAUUUACCUGAAUCUUUCCAACAACACCUUCACUGGCUUCGAAAACUCAACGAAACAUGGGCUAUCUUUAAUGGCCUUGUUAGCCUCCAACAACAAUUUCACGGGAAAGAUUCCCUCUUUAAUAUGUGAUUUGCGCUUUGUAUUCAUUCUUGAUUUAUCAAACAACAACUUCAAUGGUUCAAUCCCUCGUUGUCUGGGAAAUCUCAACUAUACUCUUACAGAUCUAAACCUUGGUCAAAAUCAUCUUCAUGGAGGUCUUCCGGAGAAUAUAUUUGGAAACUUAAGAGCGCUUGACGUCGGUCAUAACCAACUUACGGGAAAGCUUCCAAGAUCUUUGAUCCGGUUCUCUAGUCUUGAAGUUCUGAACGUGGAAAGCAACUUCUUCAAUGAUACGUUUCCAUUUUGGUUGAGUUUUCUACCAGAGUUAAAAAUUCUUGUGUUACGCUCCAAUGCCUUCUAUGGAACGAUACAUCAUACUUCGUUCCCUAAAUUGCAAAUCAUCGACAUAUCGCACAAUCACUUCAAUGGAGCUUUGCCUUCACACUACUUUGUGAAGUGGAGUGCUAUGUCAUCACUUGGGUCAAUUUAUUAUCAGCCUGAUGAAAUGUACAUGGGAGAUUCAUAUUACCAUGAUUCAGUGGUGUUGAUGAAUAAAGGUAUAGAGAUGGAGCUUGUACGUAUCCUAAAGAUCUACACAGCACUCGACUUUUCAGGGAACAAAUUUGAAGGAGAGAUCCCAAGGUCCAUUGGUCUAUUAAAAGAGCUUCUUGUGCUCAACUUGUCGAACAAUGCUUUCACUGGCCACAUCCCUUCAUCUAUGGGAAACUUGACAGCUCUUGAGUCAUUGGACGUUUCCCAAAACCAGCUUUCAGGAGAAAUUCCGCAAGAGCUAGGGGAACUCUCAUUCCUUUCGUACAUGAACUUCUCUCAUAACAAGCUUACAGGUCUAGUACCAGGAGGCACUCAGUUUCGAAGGCUGAACUGCACUUCUUUUGAGGAUAAUCCGGAACUUUCUGGCCCUUCUCUUGACGAAAUUUGCAGAGAUAUUCACACGCCAACACCGCAUGAACCGUCGGAAGAAGAAGAAGAAGAAGAGGAAGAGGUGUUGAGUUGGAAAGCAGCUGUAAUAGGAUUCAUACCUGGUAUUGCCUUUGGAUGGGUGAUUGGAUAUAUACUUUUUUCCUACAAACCACAGUGGUUCUUCAUGAACCCUUUUGCCCGAAACAAGCGCAGAAUCAGCAGCACCACUACUCAUUAAAGUUCUUUGUUGGCAGUUUUUUUUUACGUUUUAUUAAACUUCUUUGUUUCUCUGUAAUUGAACAACUAUGUUUCUUAAGCUGAAAGUUACAAGCACAGUCAAAGAUGUGUCGUUUUUUCCCCUCUUGUGAAUCUAAACAUCAACUGUUUAGACGUGAGACGAGCAAUGAACAGAUGAUCCACAUCAACGUUAUAAUCAACACAGGGCUUUAGAAAAGGAUCAAUACUAUUAAAAAGGAAAAAGUUUUAAAAAAUCUACUUAAAAAAAAUUGUUGCAUCCUUUCAUUUUUAGUCCAACCUAUAAUAUAUAACCAAAUAUUAUAAUAACAUUUAUUAUAACAACCAAAUAAGAUUCUAGCGAAUAUCUUUCUCUAAUAGUUUUGGUAAUAUAUUAAUUCUCUAAUUGUUAGAUAUUUGUUCAUUAUUUAGAAAAUCUGUGUGACAUAUCUGGUCUAUUAAAAAUAUGUAUCACUAGAUAUUACGGAUUACGGUUACCAAAUAACAUUUGAAAAGAGUUUUUGUAUAUAUGUCGAUAUGUUACAUUGCAUUCAAAUAUAUAGGUUACUUUCGUGGUUUUCAAAUGAAUCAGUCCAAAUCUUAUAGUUUUCUAGAUUCCCUAAUAAUAUAAUUGUACAAUAUUAUACUAUAUUUUCUUAUAUCACACAUUAGUAUAUUAAAUAUAUAUUUACUUAUCCCAUGCGGUAAUAUAGUUAAAGGGAUAAUGAUGUAUUCCUAUAUACUAGGGACUUAGGUUUAUCUACACGUUCAUAGAUUCUAUAUUCUCGUUGUAUAAGUACCAAGAUUGGUUGAUGAAUAAACACAGACUUUACAUUAUAUUUUAUGGUAUCAGAGCUAAGAUUUCAUAACUUAUUUUUUUUUUUCAAUACUAUUGAUCUUCUUCUAUCUUCUACUACUACGGUUCAUCAACCAUAAUGGCUGAGCACGACACGCCAGCUGUUUCUACAACUACGCAGGCGACUUCCAGAGAUUCGUCACCAUACUAUCUACACCCAUCAGACAAUCCUGGAGCCCUUAUUACUUCUGUUCUACUUAAACAAGACAACUAUACUGAAUGGGCUACAGAACUCCGAAAUUCUCUCCAAGCGAAACAGAAAACAUGUUUUAUUGAUGCUACCAUUCCAAAACCUACAGACGGACCAGACUUAUCGCGAUGGCUUGCAGCAAAUUCUAUGAUUGUCGGAUGGAUUCGCACUUCAAUCGAUUCAAAACUCAGAUCAACAGUUACUCAUGUGCCUGAAGCACACAAGCUUUGGGAAUCUCUGCGUUUUCGUUUUUCUGUCAAAAACGGGACCCGUCUACAUCAGCUACAAGAUGAAAUAACAAAUUGCAAGCAAGAUGGACAGACGGUCCUUGACUACUAUGGUCGGUUAACUAAACUCUGGGAAGAGUUGCAGAAUAUGAAGACAACUCGACCUUGUACGUGUGCUGCUGCGACUGAUAUUGAAAAAGAAAGAGAAGACGCGAAAGUUCAUAAAUUCUUGUUUGGUCUAGACGACUCGCGAUUCUCUGCCAUCCGUUCUCGCAUCACCGACGAAGAUCCAUUACCGGAUCUCAAUAUUGUUUACUCAAGGGUGAUUCGUGAGGAGCAAAACAUGGCAACUACCCGAUCUAAAGAGCAACGAACCGAAGCUUUAGGGUUCUCAGUUCAAACCGAGAAUUCCAAAGAGUUGGUUUCUGCCAAAACUGAUACUACUCCACGACCAAGAGAUCCUUCUCGAACUUGUACCCAUUGUGGUCGUACAGGUCACGAUAUAACAGAGUGCUUCUUGGUCCAUGGCUUUCCUGACUGGUACACUGAACAACAACAACAACGCAAUGGUUCAUCAUCAUAUCGAGGUGGACGUGGUGGUCGUUCUAACAACAAUCGUGGGCGUGGCCGCGGAAGAGCUAAUGCUGCACAAAGCAAUUCUCACCAACAAUCGGAUCAGAUUGCAUCUCUGAUCGCACUUCUCCAAAACCAACAAAGCAAUUUAUCAUCGGAACGCUUGUCGGGUAAAACAAUGCUUACUGACGUUAUUAUUGAUACAGGGGCAUCACACCAUAUGACGGGUGAUAUAUCAUUAUUACAUGAUGUCUAUGAUAUCCCAUCAUCAUCGGUUACAUUUCCUAAUGGACGUGAUUCUCUUGCUACGAAGCAAGGAUCUCUGCGUCUCAGCAAGGAUUAUGUGCUUCACGAUGUUCUCUGUGUCCCCGAUUUCUAUUGCACACUCAUAUCAGUUUCGAAACUUUUAAAACAAACUGGAUGCAUAGCAAUAUUUACUGAUACAUUGUGUGUUUUACAGGACCGUUUUUCGAGGACUCUGAUUGGAGCAGGUGAAGAACGUGAGGGGGUGUACUAUUUUACGGGGGUUAAGGUUGCACGAAUUCAUGGAGCUUCUAAGACAAAAUCUUCUUCUUCAACUCUGUGGCAUCGUCGACUUGGCCAUCCAUCCUACAAAGCUUUGUCUUCUUUACCGGUGUUUCAGAAUUUUAAAAUAGAUUUUAGUGAGUCUAAAUGUGAUAUUUGUUUCAAAGCAAAACAGACUCGCCAAGUGUUUCCCGAUAGUCUUAAUAAAGCUGUUUUUCCUUUUGCAUUAAUCCACUGCGAUGUUUGGGGACCUUAUAGAACACCAGCCUCUUGUGGGGCUGUAUACUUUCUUACCAUAGUGGAUGAUUACUCGCGAGCUGUAUGGACUUAUUUGAUGCUUGAAAAAUCAGAAGUCUCUUCUCUUAUACGCAACUUUUGUGCGAUGAGUGAACGCCAGUUUGGACAUAAAGUACAGACCAUACGGACAGAUAAUGGAACGGAAUUCAUGACACUCGGACCUUACUUUCGCGAGACCGGUAUCAUUCAUCAGACAUCUUGUACCUAUACACCCCAACAAAACGGUAGAGUGGAAAGGAAACACAGACACAUAUUGAAUGUGGCUCGUGCCUGCAUGUUCCAGUCACGAUUACCUAUUGAAUUUUGGGGAGAGAGCAUCUUGGCUGCGGCUCACGUCAUUAACCGAACACCUACUAACAUUCUUAAUGGUAAAACGCCUUAUGAAGUUCUUCAUGGUCGACCACCUAUCUAUGAGCAGUUAAGAGUGUUUGGUUGCCUCUGUUACGCUCACCUAAGACCUCGUGACAGAGACAAAUUUGCUACAAGAAGUCGAAAAUGCAUAUUCGUAGGUUACCCCUUUGGCAAGAAAGCUUGGCGCUUGUAUGAUGUCGAAACUAAUGAGUUUAUUGUUAGCCGGGAUGUGGUGUUUUUCGAGGAUCAGUUUCCAGGUAUUGAAGACUUACCUUCGGUUACAGUACCAGUUUCACAAACUGCUCUUCCUAUUGACGACUGGUUGAUAAAUUUUGAAACUCCAGUUCUCUCUACUACACCUGAACCUUCUCCUACUAUACCCACGACUUCCUCUCCUACUCACAAUACUACUACUACACCUGAUGUUUCUUCUCCGCCUUUACCAUCUACACCUACUGCCCCGUCUACAAGCAAUUCCCCACCAGAUACUGUUGUCCAACCAACUCCUAACCCUACUUCUGCAUCUCCACUACCGUCUCCAUCUUCACCAAUACGUGAUCAUGACAUAUCGGGAUCUUCUCCUGGCCUACUUGAUCUUCUUGGACGUGGUCAUCGAACAAAGAAACCAUCGGUCUUAUUGAAGAAUUUUCUCACGAACUCUGCAACUACAAACACCCCUCACGUUCUCAACAAGCAAUAUCAGAGUUCUCCAUCAACGGUCUCAGGUAAGACACUGUAUCCCAUUGCUGAUUACUCAUCUACCUCUGCUUUUACUGCUAACCACCAGGCGUUUCUAGCAAAAAUUACUACAGAUUUUGUUCCAAAGAAUUAUAAAGAAGCCGUCAAUGAUCCAAGGUUCAACGGUGCAAUGAAAACAGAGGUAACAGCUUUAGAAGCUAACCAUACUUGGGACAUUACAGCUCUCCCUCCUGGCAAGAAGGCAAUCGGGUGUGGCUGGAUUUAUACAAACAAGUAUAAAGCAGAUGGUACUCUUGAACGACCAAAAGCUCGCCUGGUUGCUCGUGGUAAUAGACAAAAAGAGGGACUUGAUUACAAAGAUACAUUCGCCCCUGUGGCAAAGAUGAAUACGGUUCGGUUUCUUCUGAAAGUUGCGGCUGCUAAGCGAUGGGAGAUCCACCAAAUGGAUGUCCACAACGCGUUUCUACAUGGAGAUCUCGAAGAAGAAAUAUAUAUGGAACUUCCUCCUGGUUUUAAAUCUGAUGAUCCAUCCAAAGUUUGUCGUCUUCGGAAGUCUUUGUAUGGUCUUAAACAAUCUCCUCGCUGCUGGUUUGCGAAACUUAGUCAAGCUCUCAAGUCGUUUGGCUUUGUUCAAAGCUACGAGGAUUACUCUCUGUUCUCAUUCAUGGAAGCUAACAUAUGUCUCCAUAUUCUGGUUUAUGUGGAUGAUUUUAUAAUUGCUGGCAAUGACGCUGCUACUAUUCAAAGAUUCAAGGAUUACUUACAUCGAUGCUUCAAAAUGAAAGACUUAGGCAAACUUAAAUAUUUUUUGGGUUUGGAAAUUGCUAGAGGACCUGAAGGGAUAUUUGUCUCUCAGAGGAAGUAUGCACUCGAUAUCAUAACCGAGUGUGGCUUACUUGGAGCGAAACCAGCGCCAGUCCCAACUGAACUCAACCACAAACUUGCACUCGCCAAGGGCAUGAGACUUCAGGAUCCGGGCAAGUAUCGUCGUCUUGUUGGACGAUUGAUAUAUCUUACUUUCACACGUCCGGAGCUAAGCUACAUUGUUCACAUUCUAUCACAAUUUAUGCAUAAACCGCUUGAAGAUCACUGGGCAGCUGCGUUACGAGUCAUCCGCUAUCUUAAAGGCUGUCCAGACCAAGGUAUCAUGCUGUCUUCCGACGCAAACCUUACUCUUACCGCAUACUCUGACUCGGAUUGGUCUGCGUGUCCUAUAACACGUCGUUCUCUAAGUGCCUACGUUGUUCUUCUUGGUGAUUCUCUUGUUUCGUGGAAAACAAAGAAGCAACGGACAGUGUCUAGAUCAUCAGCUGAAGCUGAGUAUAGAUCAAUGGCAGAUACUACAUGUGAGUUAAAAUGGCUCAAACGACUUCUUCUCCAGUUCGGCUUCUUUCAUCCUCAACCCAUGAGACUUUUCUGUGACAGUCAAUCUGCGCUCCAUAUUGCUAAGAAUCCUGUGUUCCAUGAACGUACCAAACAUGUCGAAAAUGAUUGUCACUUUGUUCGAGAUGCUGUGCGUGACAAGCUUAUUACUACUGAACACAUUACAACGAGGAAUCAGCCUGCGGACUUACUUACCAAAGCCUUGCCCACUCCGACAUUUCAUCAUUUGUUGUCCAAGUUGGGAAUUCGAGAUAUGUCAUUACCAACUUGAAGGGGGGUAAAGGGAUAAUGAUGUAUUCCUAUAUACUAGGGACUUAGGUUUAUCUACACGUUCAUAGAUUCUAUAUUCUCGUUGUAUAAGUACCAAGAUUGGUUGAUGAAUAAACACAGACUUUACAUUAUAUUUUAAUAGUACUCAUUUUCAAACUGUACUAUUAAUCAAUUUUCACUGUUUGGCUUCUUAAAAUAUUGGCUAGGUAAUUUAAAAUAUAUGAAUAGUAGCCAAUCAAAAACUUUAAGUUCUAAACUAAUAUUUGAUUGUUUAAACUUUUACUAAACUAUCCUAGAUUUUUUCCAAUUCUAAUAAUAAUAAUAAUAAUAAUAAUAAUAAUAAUAAUAAUAGAAAAGAGAGUAGGCUUAGGCAUUCGAUUUUUAGGUCAGGUACGGAUCAGUUUCUUUCGCGCAUAGGUCUUUCGGAUCCUAGACAUUUAGACCUAAGUAGGUAUUUGAAUUUUUUUUUUGUUUUGGGUUGGUGUCAGUUCUUCUUGUGUUUGGAUCAAUAAUUAAGAUACAUGUAAACUACAUAUAAUUUUUGGAUACCUAAUGAGUUCAGAUCGGUUCAGAUAUUUAGGAUCUAAAAAAGAUUCGAAGUACCAAAAACUUUAAAAAUACAUGAAACACAAAAAUAUUCAAAAGUAUUUAAAUACUCAAAAUGAUGUGAAUAUAUUAUUCAUUAAUAUAAUUGUUUUUGUACUGUUUUUAUCUUGUGCAGUUUUGAAAGUGCAAUAUGUAUUAUACUAAUUUAUGUCAUUAAUUUAAAUGACUAACAAAUGAUUGAAAAAAAAAAAUUUCAUAUGAACAUGUUUAUUUUCAAUCUGUUCAUCAUCAAAUGUAAUGGCAUGUAUAAAUGUUAAUUGUAUAACGUGAUGUAUCAUAGAUGAAAGAUUGCAAAAAAAAAAAAAUUAACAUCGAAAACUCAUUGCAAAUAAUCUAAGAGUUUUGGAGUAAUACAACCAAACAAUUAAACUCUAAAUCACCAAUAUACAACAUAAUAAACCUCAAUAAAACAGAGAUAAUGUAGAAAAAUACAGAUUUAAAAUGACAAUGACAAUGACAAAGAUGAUACAUUACCAUUUUUGGUUCAAUUAUUAAAUGAAACAUACUUUUUAUGAAUCAGACUUAGUAUAGGUUAUUGAGUCAAAUAUUUAAAUCAUACAAAUAAUUCAAUAUCACAUAUAUGUAUGGCCAAAACCUAUAUAUAGGUUAACAUAGAUGUAUGUCAAAAAUCUAAAAUACAAGUAUACCAUCAAUGAAAUAUCUAAGUUAGUGUUAAAUUAAGUGUCAUUUUUCGUUAAUAUAACUUAAACUUAAUAAGAAAAAUACCACUAACAAUUUUUUUUUGACAACAAUACCACUAACAAUUUAAAACAAUAAAUUAAAUUAUUGCAUGUGAACUAUAAAAUUUUAUAUCACUAAUCAUGUAAAACAAAUAUGUAUAUGUUAUGAACCAGAUUGUGGAUGGUUCAUAACCAAGAGAUUAUGAUUUGUAAUCUUUCCAUUUAUUUAUGACGGUGUAAUCUUCUAUAUAAGAAACCUCUAUGUUAUGAAUAAAGAUAGAUUUUUCCAUUACUUUUAUAACACGUUAUCAGCACGAAACUCUAAAUCUCUAAGCUAAUACCCAAAUAGGAAAACCCUAAAACCCUAACCCUAGCCGGUGAUCCGACGAACCCUAAACCCCGAUCGCGUCUCUUGUUCCCGCAUCUGUUCCAGCUCGCGUCCCCGAUCAACUUCAGCCCAAGGCAUUCAUGAUCCUAGCUCAGACGUUCGCGGCCCGAGAGCAGCUCCAGCACGCGACAUCUUCCUCGUUCGCUACAACAUCAGACAGCUCGCGUCCCGUUCGUGCCCAGCUCGUGGCUCAACUCCUUUGGUGGUCCGAUUCAACAAUCAUCUAAGGUUAAAAGGUAUUUCAAAACCUAAGAACCCAUAAUCGAACAUGGAUUGAUUGAUAAAAAAUGAAACCCUAAAACCCUAAUCUUUAUGAAUCAAAACCAUAGGGUAAUAGAUCAAAAAUCCUAAUUGAGUAAUUUGAGGUUUAAAUCCGUGUGAGUUAGGAUUGAUAGUUUUUAUAACCUGAUUGAAUGAUUUGAGGUUUAAUAUUGCAUGUUAGAAUCUGUUAUAAUAUAAACCCUAAUUCGAAUUGAUAAACCCUAAAAUAGAAUCUGUGUAUUGCAUAAUCCGAAUUGAAUGUUUUGAGGUUUCAUAUUAUACUAGGUUGAUAGUUUCAUGAUAUAAUCAAUUGUUCUGAGGUUUAAUAUUAUUUGCUAGAAGCUGAUUGAUUGAUAAAACCCUAAUUUCGAUUGAAACCCUAAACCCUAAUUUGCGUAUUCCUAAAAUCAGAUUGCUUGAUUCCAUCUUGCUAAUAUCAGCCUUGAAACGGAUAAAUAUCAGCCUUGAAACGGAUUAAUAAAAUUGAUAGAAUCAGCCUUGAAACUGAUUGUUUUGGUUUUUCAUGCUUCAAACCCUAUUUUUGGAUCGAAACCCUAAAUUGUGUAAUGCUUAAAUCCGUUUGAUUACUUUUGAUUAUUGAUCCAAUUGCUACUCUUGAUAAAACCUAAUUGAAUCUGAUUGUUAGUCUAGCUAAAUCUCAUACCUGAAACUGAUUGAUUAAUUGUUAAAUCUUGAUUGAAUGUUUUAAUAUUACCCUUGCACAUAUAGAAUCCGAUUGCUAAGAUUGAGUGCAUCAUAUCUACUUGGCCGUGUGGCCAGUUUGCAUCAUAUCUACUUGGCUGAUUGAUUACGCGUUUAAGCACACACCAAUUAACCUAAUGUGCCAACAAUACCACAAUCGAAUGGUAUGUCAUUGUAGCAUUUUAGGAUCGAAUCCACAGAGAACUAGAGACUUAUAACACCAAGAAUACACAAACCUUCCUAAUCUAAGCAAACAAGAAGAUAGAUGAUUUGUAACAAACUAAUAUCCUAGAAAUAUAAACAAGGUGAUCUCAGAUCCAAUCAAGAAAUAAGUGCAAGAAUUCAAUCAAAUACUAAGGAUGGAUCCAUGGUAAGGAUAAUUGAUAUAAAAUGAUCAAGGUUCAAUCUAAAGGUGGCAACAUUCAAUCAAUCUAUCAACCUUAGGCUUAGACACAAUCCUAAACAAACUCUAUCUCUAGAUGGAUGUUCAUUCACUAAGAUAACUCAAGCAUCAAAUCUCUUUGGUUGAAUAUUAUCUAAGCAAUCAUUAAAAUCAAGUCUAUUAGCCAUUUUAACACCUUUAACAACAAAUCUCUUUGGUAAAGAAUGUUAAAAGCUUAGGAGAGUUGGUUCAGACAUUUCAUCAANNNNNNNNNNNNUGUUUCUUGCCCACUCUUUUGAUAAUAAGAAAGCAAAUAUUAUACAGAAAAGUAGGAAAAAUCGUGCAAAGGAAAGGUGGGUGGAAGAAAGUGGGAAGUUGGUUAAUCCCAUCAACUUUCCAGUGGUCCCCGGCAAGGGUUGAUACACCUGUAGUAAAUCGAUUAUAACUUAUCCAAUACAGCUCCAAAUGACUUGAAACCACUUCCAUUGGAAAGCUAACUCAAUUUCCAGUGUCUCCACAAAUUUUGAGCUUCAGAAAAGAUCUUUAAGGCUUUCAUCCGUGUUCAUCUUUCACUCUCCGGAUUCGGGAGCGACCUCGCUGUGUCGCUGCGAGAGGUCGCUCCGGAUUCGUUGUCUCCGGGUGAUCAAUACGCGAGCGACUCUUCCCUGUCGCUCUAGUAAGGUCGCUCUGAUAGGGAGAUCAUAGCGACGUCAAGGUGUCGCUCCGGACUGGUCGCUCCGGGCGAUCAAUACGCGAGCGACUCUUCCCUGUCGCUCUAGUAAGGUCGCUCUGAUAGGGAGAUCAGAGCGACGUCAAGGUGUCGCUCCGGACUGGUCGCUCCCAUGCCUUGCUCGCCGAAUGACCACUCUAAACACUACUUUUUGACUCCAAUUGCACUCAAAAUCCCACCAAUGGUCCUCUAAUUCAUCCAUGGUGCUCUCCAACACCUGAUAUGUACAAAUGCAAUGAUAUGCAACCUAAAUGUGCCUAAAUGAUGCUCUAAAUGACCAAACCAUGCAAGAAUAAGAAGUUAAAAACAUGUAAAUUCACAAGAUAUCACUGUGUGGCCAGUUUGCAUCGUAUAUCAUCAUGACCAACAUGUUUAUGUUAUACGCAUGAUCUGAUUAUUAUCACCUUUGCAUGAUCUGAUUGUUUUAAAUUAAGGUUCCAUAAUUCCACUCAUGUACAUAUAGAAUCAGUAUGCUAGGUUUGCAUUAUAACCAUAUGACCACAUAUUGAUCAAAAAAAAAACAUAUGGCCACAUGAAAACAUAUAGAAAUUGCUUGUUUUGUCGAUACCCUUGCUUGAUAAAUCUGUGUGACUUAUUAUGCAUCAUAUAUCACUUUGGCCGUGUGGCCUUAUUGCAUUAUAUCACAUUUGGCCGUGUGGCUUGUUUGCUUAUUAGAAAUGUAUUGACUUGAUAGCAUGUCUUGUUUAUGGCCGUGUUUUAAAUAUUUUAUGAGAUCUAAAAUUGAUUGAUAUAUUAUUUGAGAUGUCGAAAAUCAACUUGGAUUUUGCUGCCCUAAAUCUCUCAUGAGAUAAUUAUUUGAAAUAGGCACUGGAUACUGAGUUUAUCUUAAAGUCAAAGGACUUGGUGAAUGAAUCACAAAAGGCGAUAAUGCCAAAUGAGAAAGAUUGAUACAUGGCAAUAUUAAUUAUUAGCCAUCAUCUUAAAAAGAGCCUCAAAGAUCAGUAUCUGACUAUAGAGAAUCAUCUAGACCUUUGGACAGAGUUAAAAAAAAUCGAGAAAUGAUCACCAAAGAACGGUGUUAUUACCAACGACCCUAUUUGAUUGGAGGAAUCCCAGAUUCCAGGACUAUAAGUCCGUGGAUGAGUCUAUUGCUAGCUGGGCAAAAUAAUGGAUUACUGAUGAGAAAAAGUGACUUGAGACCUCCUGGAUUAACCCUAUUACCUGAUUCCAAUAAGGCCGCAGAAAAAAAAAAAAAGGUAACCACGUCCAGAAUGAUAGACCACACGGUCAUAGCCGUGGAGGGUGGAAAGGACGUGGCCAUGGCCACUAUAACACAUUUGGCCGUGGUAAUCACUAUGGCAGAGGCCGUGGGUAUCAACCCAAUUUGAGCCAUGGUCAAGGCAGUGGCCGUGGUAUAUCCUUUAAACCACAAAGCUCGACCAAGUCAGUGUGCCAUAGAUGGAAUGGGAAACCAUUGGGCUAAGAUAUGAAGGACUCCCAAACAUUUUUGUGACCUCUAUCAAAGAGGGUCUGAAAGGGAAGAAUCCUGAAACACACUUGGUCUAUAAAGAUGGUGAAAAUAAUCUCGAACAUGAUCAAGAUGAUCUUAUGGAAUAUGAGACUUAUGAUUAUCUAAAAGAAUCAAGUUGAUAAUCUGAUUUCGACAUCAAACUUGUGUGAUUGCUUUGCUUGUAUGCUUUCUCUGAUUUUUAUCUCCUUGAAUUUAUUUCUAUUACAUUGUCUGCUUAGAUUAAAUGAAUGAAUGAUUUUUCUAUAUGAGUACACUGAAAAACGCCAAUAUAAGUACUAAAGCAGGUAUCGCCAGUCUGAAAGAAGACUAUGGCUAGGCUAAUAUAUUAUUGCCUAAGGGUAUGCAUCUAGAAAUCAGUGAUGCCUUAUAUUCACCCAGCUCUAAGAGCAAGAGCAGCCUAUUGAGUUUUAAAGAUAUAAGAAUGAAUGGUUUCCAUAUUGAAACAAUGGGCGAAGGAAACAAAGAGUUCCUUCAGAUAUAUGUAUAAAAUCGCCCAAGGCCAUAAUAAGUCCUAAAGACUAUACAUGCAUUCUCUACCGACCUAGACUAUGCAUAAAUCAGUAUGAUUGAGGCUAAAAGCCUGCGAAAAUAUACACUUUAUGGCACGACCGGAUUGGCCAUCCUGGUCCAAACAUGAUGCGAAAAUUGAUAUUCAAAAGGCACACAUUAAAAGAUAAGAAGAGUUAUCCCAAAGAAUCUCACGUGUGUAGCAUGUACACAAGGAAAACUCAUUAGGCCAUCACCAGUAAAACGGCUACGAGCCCCUUUUUCAUAAUAAAUACUAUAUGUAUAGAUACUACUGGUGAAUACAUGUCCCAAGCGUUUAAAUGAUUAUGGUAUGUCCAUAGGGGUAAGUGUGGACAAUUCUGUGAUACAUGUCCAUACCAAGAAAGGAUAUACCAUAACUUAUGAGGUCAAAACUCCCAUUCACAGCUUGGGCCACACGAAAUUUACAUGCACCUAAGCUAAUACGCAUCAUGCUAUUUAGUGAGCAUAGAUAUCCCGUAUCACAAUUAUUAACGGGUCAAAAGCCAGACAUACCCCAUCAUAAGACAUUUGGAUGUGCUGUCUAUGUACUAAUUGCUCCACCACAGAGAACUAAGAUGAGACCUCAAAAGGAGGAUGGGGAUAUAUGUUGGAUAUGAUUCUCCCACAAUAAUAAAAUACUUUGAGCCAACUAUGAGUGAUUAAAUUUGAGGCCAGGUACACGGAUUAUUUUAAGACUAGGAGGAGAGAAAAAUAAUAAAGCUGGUAAAAGAAUGGUAAAAGAAAUAGAAUGGAAUCAACCAUCAAUGUCUUGGCAAGAUCCUCGGACUAAAGAAUGUGAAAUAGACGUCUAAAGAUUAUACAUUUACAAAGCUAGCUAAUCAAAUGCCAGACACAUUUGCUGACCCGGAAAAGAAUGACUAAGUCAUAUAUAAACCAGCUUGUAAAGCACCAACGAAUUUGAUGUCGAAGAAGAGACACAGUCAAGUUGAUACAGAUUCUAGACAACGUAUGAACGUGGUGGACCAAUAGGUUCCAAAAGAUAAGAAUCCUCGGAAACAAAAGAAAUGUGCAGAGAAUGAUAAUCAAAAUCCAAAUCCGAGGUUACUAAGGAAACCAUCCCAGACAUGGAGAUAAGGCCGGCCGGCUCUAAGGUAGAGGUACCAAACAAUGUAGCUUGGGACGCCAAGCUGCAAAAUAUAAAGGUCCUGAUAAUAAUGAAUCUCAAUCGAUUAUAUCAAGUAUGGAACAUAAUGGAACCAAUAAGGAAUGUCGACAUAAGAUGAUUUAUUUGCAUACAAGGUAGCACUUGAAUUUAUGAAUAUAAGCGAAGAUCAUGAACCCACGUCAAUAUAAGAGUGCGCACUCGUAGAACAGAUUGGAUUUAAUGGAAACAUGGGGUUAAAUAGUUUAAAGAAUAAAGGUAUAUUUGGCCAUAUGAUUAAGACGCCAUAUGAUGUUAAAACCAGUGGAUAUAAAUGGGUCUUGUGAGAAAUAGAAAUAGUGAGAUAUAAAGCUGAUGUUGCACAAGGAUUCUCACAAAGACCAGUAAUAGAUUAGGAGGAGACAUACUCUUAUGUGGUGGAUGCAACUACUUUUAGAUUUCUCAUAAGUCUGGCUAUAUAAGAGAGAAAAUUAGACUUGCAGCAAGUUGAUGUAGUGACUGCAUAUUUAUAUGGUCCACUGGAUAAUGAAAGUACUAGAGGGUAUUGAGCUGAAAGUACAACAAGUUCUCGAGAACAAUAUUGAUAAUCAUCAAAGUAUAUGAUCUGAAUAUCCUAGGAACCUCUGGAUACAAUUUCCCAAACAGUUGAAUAUCUCAAGAAAGAGUUUGAGAUGAAAGAUCUUGGAAAACAAAGUUUUGUUUGGGAUUACAGCUUGAGUACAUUAACAAUGAAAUCCUUGUGCAUCAAAUAGUAUAUACAGAAAAGGGUACUCAAGAGAUUUAAUAUGGACCAGUCUCAACAUUUAUCUAGUACAUGGGCGUGAGAUCACUUGUUUUGGACACUGAUCCAUUCAGUCCAAAGGUGGAUGAUAAAGAAGUCCAUUUAGUCCUGAGAUGGACGAUGCAGAAGUCUUGUUUUAGACACUGAUCUGAUUGGUCUAUAAGAAGGACGAUGAAGAAACCUUUGAUUUUGAUUUAUUUUAUACUAACCAGCCCAAAGAGGGGUUAUUUGGUUUUGUUGAUUUGUUUUCAGACAUGUUAUGUUUUACACAUGGUGGUACACGCAUAUCACGGCAACAUCAUCCAAGAUUUCGUGUGUGUGUAUUUGAGGUUGAUGACUCAAUAUGUUCGAUCAGAUUGUGGCAUGGCCGAUGGUAAAGAAGAACCAACUAUCAUGUUCGAGGACGAAGCAUAUUCUGCCCAAGAUCUUCAUCACCCACGGAUUGCAAAAAAUUGGAGAAGUCCAAGGGACCUUCAGUAAUGUCCAAAUCAGGGGGAGUAAUGUGUGUUGUACUAUUUUUCCUUCACCAUGGUUUUGUCCCAAUUGGGUUUUCCUGGUGAGAUUUUAAUGAUGCAACAUUAAAGCACAUUACAAGCUCUAAAUGGUUAUGGCAUCCAAGGGAGAGUGUUAUGAACCAGAUUGUGGAUGGCUCAUAACCAAGAGAUUAUGAUUUGUAAUCUUUCCAUUUAUCUAUGACGGUGUAAUCUCUUAUAUAAGGAACCUCUAUGUUAUGAAUAAAGAUAGACUUUUCCAUUAUUACUUUUAUAACAGUAUACUUAUAAAAAUUGAAAUAAUUACCCACACGGUUGUGCGGGUAGAGAUCUAGUUUCUUAUUAAAUGUUUUGUUUUCUCCAUGUCCACACUCCCUUGUUUCUGAUUCAACCUUUGAUUGUUUGAUUAAAUAUGUAUAAUCUAAAUCAACAAUAACCAAAUAUAUAUAUAUACUCAACUAAAAUUUGGGUUUAACGAUCAUCGUCCAUUUUAUAAGAAAAUUCCUCUUGGAUCGAUCUUUUUAUAUUUUUCUUGAUUGACUUUUUAAUCGAAUCCAAGUCUUGCUUCUCUUUGUUUUGGUGUCCACGAUCUCGAAAAAGAAACAGCCAACUGAUUGGUCACUUUCACAGUCCCUCUGGUACGUUAUCCUUUGAUUUUUCAACAUUAUACUUAAAGCUCAAUACCAAAAUCUCAAAGAUAAGCCACUACAUGAUCAUGAUGUGUGUGACCUACGAGCUUGGACUCGAACCCACGAGCCAAUCAUGUAAGUAGCAAUGAAAAGAUCAAGCCAACACAAAUGAUGAAUAGGCCCAUGCCUUGCCCCCAUUCUGUUCCCUUCUUUAUUAAUCUACAGAAACAAAAUCUUCUUCAGAAGAAGAUGCGUGAGCUUUCAACACGAUAAAGAUUGAUGCAAAGUCAUAUAAGGAAACAGCCAAAUCAAUAGCUUGGUGGGUUUGGUCUUCCAAAAGUAAAUUAUGGAAGAACAUGAAUGUCUCUUAUGUACAUUGUCCUGGAAAGAGAGCUCUGAGACCUGAUUACGCAAAAGACUAAUUGCAGAUCACAAAAAAGGAGAAGAGAACGCUAUUUGGAACUGCAGGCAUUGAUACACAAACCAUAAUACAUUAAACACUUGACAAAAGUACAUGUUGAUAUGUCUGUCAGAUUACUACAAGAGUUUCUUUCACCAAUCUGCUUUGCUACCAAUGUACCCUAUGUAAGAGAGAUACUAUAAAGAUCUCCUCUCAACUAUAGUAUAUACACAUUCCUCUGUUUUAGGAAAUGUUAGUUAUUAUCUAACUUAGUCUCCAAGACUAAACUCUGUAUAUAAACCUCUAUUGUACAUUACGUUCAAGAUAUCAUAAUACAUUUCCUAUACCCUAAAUAAGAUAAGUAAACACACAAAAAAGAGCAUUGCUCUAACUUAAAACCUAGUGAGUAAGAAUAAUAACAGUUUUCUCCAAUUUCGAUGAUCUCUCAGAUCCAACCAUUGCUCCCUUGCUCAACCACAGUAUAGCUUCUCCACAAUCUAAUCCCUACAAAUUCUUAUCUGUACAGCAACAACAACAACGCACAAUUCACGUUUUCAGUAACUCAUUUGAGCAGAUGCUCAAAGUUAUGGUUCCAAAUCAACAAUCUGAGACCUCACAAGGUAACAUAGAGUUUCAAUCUUCAAAAUCACAUAAGAAUGAAAAUUCUAACCAUAUAUUCACAAUUGCUUGGCAGAAACAGAGACCAAGAAAGUUCCCAUCCUCUGCUUCUAUAACUCAAUCAUCAUCCUCUACUUCACUAAAACAAUCCACUACCAAUUAAAUUGGUAAAAACAGGGUGAAGCUAUCAAGAAAAUAUCAGACUACGUUGCACAGCUAAGAAGAAUCGGAAAGGGUCACUAAGAUCAUAUUUUAAAAGUAAGACUGCACUUUCUUGUGGAUGUGUUUAUACGUUAAUAACACCGUUUCUGGUGUGAAAAACUGCAGGAGUGUGGCAUUUUGAUCAAAUGCUUCUGAAUGAGGUUUAAGGAAGAAAGUUGGAGCUUUUGAUGACAUAUCUUUUCCUUGUGCUACGGCACUCUUCUAUGUUUAGUUUACAUAGACGUCUCUAAAGUUUGAUAUGGAUAAUGGAUUUUCACUUUUUCUGUUCUUGUGUUGUUUUAACUUUUAACUGAAUGCUUUGUGAGUAUGUUAAUAGUAUAAGUCGUAGUAGUCUGAGAAUAAAUGCAUAUCCAAUGCUUGUCCAUAAAAAGUUGGUUUAAUUUUGGGUGUCCAUAAAAGUCAGUGACGUGUUGUUUUUGACAUAGGAAUCGUAUUUGAACAAAGAUUGUCUCCUUGAGUAGCCUCACGAAUUCUAAAACAGAGCAAAAACUGGGUUCUGCAAUAAACAUAUUGAUUCACCGAGUUUGGUUACAUCUACAGACAAAACAAAAUUAUUAUUGGAGACGAUUUUCAGAAUUAAAUUAGUUAUUAGAAUUAGUUAGAACACAAGAUAUAUAUAGAAUAUCUCUAAUCUUGAAAGAUCUUAGUGUGCAUCAGACUCAUGGGUUUAGGUCUCACAAUCGACACAACUUCCAAUGAUGUAAUGCAUUUGAUGCAUAUCAGCAAAACCAUCGAUCCAUCUUUUGUUUUAUUUUUGUUAUAAGAGAGAAUAGCUACUGGCCAUAUAUUGAAGAAACAAGAACACGAUCGAGCAAAGUCUGGGGUUUUCCUUACCAUCUCGCCCUGAGGAAUACUAGUUGAAUAAUGUACUCACGAUGAUAUGGCUCGAUCAUAAGUAGAUUCACGAGAAAGAGUUGGUUCUUCUGUCAUGAAGCAUGUACUCACUAUUUAUUUGAUUUCAAGCAGGUUAAUAUUUUGUUCAUUUUGAUUGAUUCUUAGAAAAUAUUUGAUUUUUUUUUUGUCAUGUUUGCAUAUAUUUCUCAUUAUGAAAGUUAUGAGGAAUAAACCAAAAAUAAGACUUUUCUCCGUUGAUUUUUCUUGAAAACGUUGAUGUUUGUUUUUAUUCUUAUUUUUUAAAAAGAGAUUCUUUCUUAUUUUGAAAUCCCAUCAAAAUUAAACUAGUUUAGCAGUUAUCUCAAUUAGUUCUUUUUUUAAUUAAAGCAAGAGGAAUGUCAUAAAAUCCUGAAUUUUUAAAAAGAUAAAACAUUUACUAUCAAAUCGAAAGAUUACAAUAUAUGCAAAUGCAGGGGUCUCGUAAACGUUAGUUUUUAGGUCAAUAUGCAUGCGCGUCUUGUAAACGUUAAUUUAACUCCAAACAUACACCUAAGCAAAAUAAGACUUCGUAAAUUACGUCUUCUAUGGUGUGGACAGUUUUUUUUUUUUAAAAAUACUUGUAAUUAGUAAAGGGGACCAAUAUGCGCGGAAAUUUGACCUAAUAGUUUUCUCUCUGGCCCGAUAAUCGAGGUGCCGUCUCAACCGUUUCACUCCGACGCCGGUAGAGCCAUGGCUCGCCGGCGUCGGGUGCUUCAACCUCCGCGUCGUCCUCUUUCUUUUCGUAUCUGUUCAAGCUCAAGAUCCCGUGCUCUGUUCACCGUUCGUAUGACCCUUUCUUGGUCGAAGUUGUCUUCCAUUUCGUAUUUUUCCGGGGGUUCCCGACUACAGUUUUCACUCCCCUCCUCUACUCAACGCCAUCAACGCCAUAGCUCUGCUGGUCCGGCUAUUAUCUAACUUAGUCUCCAAGACUAAACUCUGUAUAUAAACCUCUAUUGUACAUUACGUUCAAGAUAUCAUAAUACAUUUCCUAUACCCUAAAUAAGAUAAGUAAACACACAAAAAAAAAGCAUUGCUCUAACUUGAAACCUAGUGAGUAAGAAUAAUAACAGUUGUCUCCAAUUUCGAUGAUCUCUCAGAUCCAACCAUUGCUCCCUUGCUCAACCACAGUAUAGCUUCUCCACAAUCUAAUCCCUACAAAUUCUUAUCUGUACAGCAACAACAACAAGGCACAAUUCACGUUUUCAGUAACUCAUUUGAGCAGAUGCUCAAAGUUAUGGUUCCAAAUCAACAAUCUGAGACCUCACAAGCUAACAUAGAGUUUCAAUCUUCAAAAUCACAUAAGAAUGAAAAUUCUAACCAUAUAUUCACAAUUGCUUAGCAGAAACAGAGACCAAGAAAGUUCCCAUCCUCUGCUUCUAUAACUCAAUCAUCAUCCUCUACUUCACUAAAACAAUCCACUACCAAUUAAAUUGGUAAAAACAGGGUGAAGCUAUCAAGAAAAUAUCAGACUACGUUGCACAGCUAAGAAGAAUCGGAAAGGGUCACUAAGAUCAUAUUUUAAAAGUAAGACUGCACUUUCUUGUGGAUGUGUUUAUACGUUAAUAACACCGUUUCUGGUGUGAAAAACUGCAGGAGUGUGGCAUUUUGAUCAAAUGCUUCUGAAUGAGGUUUAAGGAAGAAAGUUGGAGCUUUUGAUGACAUAUCUUUUCCUUGUGCUACGGCACUCUUCUAUGUUUAGUUUACAUAGACGUCUCUAAAGUUUGAUAUGGAUAAUGGAUUUUCACUUUUUCUGUUCUUGUGUUGUUUUAACUUUUAACUGAAUGCUUUGUGAGUAUGUUAAUAGUAUAAGUCGUAGUAGUCUGAGAAUAAAUGCAUAUCCAAUGCUUGUCCAUAAAAAGUUGGUUUAAUUUUGGGUGUCCAUAAAAGUCAGUGACGUGUUGUUUUUGACAUAGGAAUCGUAUUUGAACAAAGAUUGUCUCCUUGAGUAGCCUCACGAAUUCUAAAACAGAGCAAAAACUGGGUUCUGCAAUAAACAUAUUGAUUCACCGAGUUUGGUUACAUCUACAGACAAAACAAAAUUAUUAUUGGAGACGAUUUUCAGAAUUAAAUUAGUUAUUAGAAUUAGUUAGAACACAAGAUAUAUAUAGAAUAUCUCUAAUCUUGAAAGAUCUUAGUGUGCAUCAGACUCAUGGGUUUAGGUCUCACAAUCGACACAACUUCCAAUGAUGUAAUGCAUUUGAUGCAUAUCAGCAAAACCAUCGAUCCAUCUUUUGUUUUAUUUUUGUUAUAAGAGAGAAUAGCUACUGGCCAUAUAUUGAAGAAACAAGAACAGGAUCGAGCAAAGUCUGGGGUUUUCCUUACCAUCUCGCCCUGAGGAAUACUAGUUGAAUAAUGUACUCACGAUGAUAUGGCUCGAUCAUAAGUAGAUUCACGAGAAAGAGUUGGUUCUUCUGUCAUGAAGCAUGUACUCACUAUUUAUUUGAUUUCAAGCAGGUUAAUAUUUUGUUCAUUUUGAUUGAUUCUUAGAAAAUAUUUGAUUUUUUCUUUGUCAUGUUUGCAUAUAUUUCUCAUUAUGAAAGUUAUGAGGAAUAAACCAAAAAUAAGACUUUUCUCUGUUGAUUUUUUUUGAAAACGUUGAUGUUUGUUUUUAUUCUUAUUUUUUAAAAAGAGAUUCUUUCUUAUUUUGAAAUCCCAUCAAAAUUAAACUAGUUUAGCAGUUAUCUCAAUUAGUUCUUUUUUUAAUUAAAGCAAGAGGAAUGUCAUAAAAUCCUGAAUUUUUAAAAAGAUAAAACAUUUACUAUCAAAUCGAAAGAUUACAAUAUAUGCAAAUGCAGGGGUCUCGUAAACGUUAGUUUUUAGGUCAAUAUGCAUGCGUCUUGUAAACGUUAAUUUAACUCCAAACAUACACCUAAGCAAAAUAAGACUUCGUAAAUUACGUCUUCUAUGGUGUGGACAAUUUUUUUUAAAAAAAAUUCUUGUAAUUAGUAAAGGGGACCAAUAUGCGUGGAAAUUUGACCUAAUACUUUUCUGUUUCACUCCGACGCCGGUAGAGCCAUGGCUCGCCGGCGUCGGGCGUUUCAACCUCCGCGUCGUCCUCUUUCUUUUCGUAUCUGUUCAAGCUCAAGAUCCCGUGCUCUGUUCACUGUUCAUAUGACCCUUUCUUGGUCGAAGUUGUCUUCCAUUUCGUAUUUUUCCGGGGGCUCCCGACUACAGUUUUCACUCCCCUCCUCUACUCAACGCCAUCAACGCCAUAGCUCUGCUGGUCCGGCUUCCGUCAAGAAUCAGAUCUGUGAGGCUCAAUCUUCCUCUCCUCCCUACGUGUCUCCUCGGCUAGAAAGCCCCCUCCGACAUUCGUCUUCCAUACCACCACAAGUCCAACUUCAAGCUUCGGCUUCCGACGUCUACAAACCCGGUGUCCGUGGGGCUCCACAAUUAACUCGGAUUUUAGAUCUGGAAUUUUGUCAGUUGUCUCGGUUGUGCUCACCUUAUGUCUCCUCUCUAUCACCACUGUCGCUGGCCUUCCUACUCCUCUCACCGCUCCAUUGUCAUCAUCUCAGCCAUAUCAGCUAAACAUCGCCGCUUCUUUGCUCCGCCGUGAUUCCUCGCAGUUCAUCGGGUUCUUUGACCGAGGAAGGCUGAGUCAUUUUGUUCAUGAGAUGGGCUACUUUCAUUUUGCAGUGAGCUUGACAAGCCCAAUAAAGCUCCAAGGCUCCCAUCUCUUCCUAGCAGUUUCACAGCCCACUUUGAUGUGGGGUGGAUUCGUCUCCUUGACUAAUCUUCUAAAAAUGUUUGGCGGGUUCACUAGCGUUUUUACAGAGACAUAUAUACACACAAAGUUUCAUCUCUCUUGUUUGAAGAGUAGCCUUUCUUUCCAUUUACCGGUGGGUUCACCGGGACCAUCAUGUUCAUCCUUUGCUUCCUUUUUAAGGAGUACUUUCCCUCCAAUCUUGUGGAGGUGUUUGUCCAUAUCUAUAACCGUCUUGCUAUCUUGUGCAGCGGUCCGUUCGGGGCCUGAAAAUGCAGCGGGAUUCGUUUCGACGAGUUUCCGAGGUGCGGAUUGGAUGUCAACGCCACAAUUUAAUGUGACUAUUUCUCUGCUGUCCGACCAUGUCGUGAAAGCUACACUGACGCAUUCAAGCAUUGUCUUGAGUUCGUUGUCAUCUUCUUCUUUUGAAGACCUAUCCUUUUUAUCUUAUGUUGGUGUAGUUUAUGUUUUCAAUUAAAGCGGAUGGAUAAUUCCCUCUAUUAUUUGUAAUCAAGCAAGUUGAACUUAAUGAAAAAGUUGUGUUUCAAAAAAAAAAAGAUUUUGCUUUCGACGUGAUGAAUAUUGGAUUUAUCUCUGUGGGUAUUUUUUGUGUGGAAUAAAAACGAAGUCUAUUAUUGUGCUAUAAAGAGGUGGCCAUGGAAGCAUGUUACUCAUCACCAAUUUCCCUGUUCUUUUUUGCUCUUUCAUUUUAAAGUUAAAUAAGCUUAAAAGAAGAAUGAAAGGCUUUUGGAACAUAACGAGUACCAUUUCUCUUACUCUUUCCAUACUUUUCUUAUUCAGCUACAGUUAUGAGGACGUGUCUGCGGUUCCAACUAGGCACUUGUGUCGUCCGGAACAAAGGGAUGCACUUCCCCAAUUCAAGACCGAGUUCGAGGUUCUAAACUCUUCCUUUUCUUCUUAUAAUUGUUAUAUCAAUGAUGAUAUACUAGUGUCUUAUCGGAAGACGGACUCAUGGGCGAAUAACAGCGACUGCUGUAAUUGGGAGGGUGUCACGUGCGAUGCCAAAUCCGGUGAAGUGAUCGAGCUAGACCUUAGUUGCAGCAACCUACGUGGCGAGUUUCAUUCCAAUAGCAGUCUUCAAAGCCUUCAUUCUCUAAACACUCUAAACCUUUCACGUAAUGAUUUCAAUGGUCAAAUCAUGUCUUCAAUUGGAAACCUUUCUCAUAUCACCUCUCUCGACCUUUCACAAAAUUAUUUCAGCGAGUUCAUUCCUUCUUCGAUAGUAGACCUUUCUCAUCUCACCUUUCUCGAUCUUUCAUUUAAUAGCUUUUCUGGUCAGAUUCCAUCUUCGAUUGGAAAUCAUUCUCAUCUCACCAAUCUUGGCCUUUCUUAUAACCAGAUUUCUGGUCAGAUUCCAUCUUCUAUUGGAAAUCUUUAUAAGCUCACUCGUCUUGAUCUUUCUGAUAACAAUAUUGUUGGAGAAACCCCAUCUUCUUUUGGCAAUCUAAACCAGUUGACCAGCUUAAAUGUUGGUCUCAAUAGGCUCAAUGGAAGCUUUCCCAUUGCACUACUGAAUUUGACAAAGUUGUCAUCUUUGCUACUCUUAUGACAAUCAGUUCACAGGAACAAUUCCUCAUAACAUCACUUCACUAUCCAAAUUGACGACCUUUUAUGCAAGCGACAACGCUUUCACUGGGACCCUGCCUUCUUCUCUCUUCACCAUUCCUUCUAUGGAACGUGUUGAUUUGUCUGAUAACCAACUCAACGGUAAUCUUGAGCUUGGGAAUAUAUCUUCACCACCUAAGCUACGAGAGUUAACAAUAACAACUUGAGAGGGCCAAUCCCAGUCACGAUAUCAAAAUUUACCAACCUUGUCCGACUUGACCUUUCCCACUACAAGACACAAGGUCCAAUUGAUUUUAGUAUCUUCUCGCAUCUCAAGUGGCUGGAAGUUCUUGACCUAUCCUAUUUGAACACGACCACUACCAUUGACUUGAAUGAUAUCUUGUCGUAUUUUAAGAGGCUCAGUUACUUGCUUCUCUCAGGCAACCUUGUUUCAUUCAACCUUUGCUGCGUUAUUUGGAAUUGUCAGGCUGUGGUAUCACCGAGUUUCCAGAGUUUGCAAGAUCGCAAAAUAUGAGGAGUCUAGACAUUUCCAACAAUAAAAUCAAAGGACAAGUGCCUGGCUGGUUAUGGACACUACCAAAUCUGUAUCACCUGGAUCUUUCCAACAACACUUUCAUUGGCUUCGAAAAACCAACAACAGUUUUAGUUUCAAGGCUAUCCUUGCUUGCCUCCAACAACAAUUUUACGGGAAAGAUUCCCUCUUUCAUAUGUGAUUUGCGCAAUGUAGACACUCUUGAUUUAUCAAACAACAACUUCAGUGGUUUAAUCCCUAGUUGUCUGGGAAAUCUCAAGCCUACUCUUGAAUAUCUAAACCUUCGUCAGAAUCGUCUUCAUGGAGGUCUUCCAGAGAAUAUAUUUGGAAACUUAAGAACGCUUGACAUCGGUCAUAACCAACUGACGGGAAAGCUUCCAAGAUCUUUGAUCCGGUUCUCUAGUCUUGAAGUUCUGAACGUGGAAAGCAACAUUAUCAAUGGUACGUUUCCGUUUUGGUUGAGUUCUCUACCGGAACUCAAAGUUCUUGUGUUACGCUUUAAUGCCUUCCAUGGACCGAUACAUCAAACUUCGUUCCCUGAGUUGCAAAUCAUCGACAUAUCACACAAUCACUUCAAUGGAGCUUUGCCAUCAGACUUCUUUGUGAAGUGGAGUGCUAUGUCAUCACUUGGGACUGUUUAUUAUGAUCAGCAUGAUCAGCUGGAUGACAAGUACAUGGGAGGUUCCUAUUACCAUGAUUCAAUGGUGUUGAUGAAUAAAGGUAUAGAGAUGGAGUUUGUACGUAUCCUAAAGAUCUACACAGCACUCGACUUUUCAGGAAACAAAUUUGAAGGAGAGAUCCCAAGGUCCAUUGGCCUAUUAAAAGAGCUUCUUGUGCUCAACUUGUCUAACAAUGCUUUCUCUGGCCACAUCCCUUCAUCUAUGGGAAACCUGACGGCUCUUGAGUCACUGGACGUUUCCCAAAACCAGCUUUCAGGAGAAAUACCGCAAGAGCUAGGGGAACUCUCAUUCCUUUCCUACAUGAACUUCUCUCAUAACAAGCUUACAGGUCUAGUACCAGGAGGCACUCAGUUUCUAAGGCUCAACUGCACUUCUUUUGAGGAUAAUCCGGGACUUUCUGGCCCUUCUCUUGAAGAAAUUUGCAGAGAUAUGCACACGCCAACACCGCAUGAAACGCUGGAAUCUGUUGAAGAAGAAGAGGAAGAGGUGUUGAGUUGGAUAGCAGCUGUCAUAGGAGUCAUACCUGGUAUUGCCUUUGGAUGGGUGAUUGGAUACAUACUUUUUUCCUACAAACCACAGUGGUUCAUGAACCCUUUUGCCCGAAACAAGCGCAGAAUCAGCAGCACCACAACUCAUUAAAAAGGUAAUUUUCCAGAGUUUUAAAUCAACUUGUUAGAAAACACUGGAAGAAACAAAAAUAUUAUAGUGAAAUCACCUGAGUUAACCUUUUCUUUUUUUUUGGUACAUGUCUUUUAUAAGCUACCUGAGGAAUCUGGAAGAAGAAAUCCAAAGGAACCACUAUGUCUAUCGUAUCAAAUAAGAUUUGGGGUAUCGUUUCUGGUUUAGCUUGGUGUUUUUCUCAUUACUCUGUUUUUACUCUCUCUUUUUUUUCUAGCAAACUUCUUUGUUCCUCUGGUAUUGUUUCUGUUUUAGCUUGGUGUGUUUUUUCUCUAUCUCUAUUUUUUUUUUACGUUUUAUUAAACUUCUUUGUUUCUCUGUAAUUGAACAACCAUGUUGCUUACGCUGAAAAUUACAAGCACCAGUCAAAGAUGUGUCGUCUUUUCCCCUCUUGUGAAUCUAAACAUCAACUGUUUAGACGUGAGAUGAGCAAUGAACAGAUGAUCCAGAUCAACGCUAUAAACCUUGCAGGGUUUUAGAAAAGGAUAUACAUAUUAUAUAUGGAUAUUUCGAUUUCUUAUAUCACUGAGACACAUAAAUUCAUAGAAACUAUAGAUUAAUAAUGACCAGAAAAAAGAUAUAUGCUCAACUUAAUUUGUUUUAACGAUCAUAUGAAAAUUCUUCUUUGAUCAGUGUGAAAUCUAUUUUAUAUUUUCUUUAACUGACUUUUACAUCUACUCUCAAGUCUUGCUUCUCUUUAAUUUGAUGUCCACAAUCUCAAAUAGAGACAUCAAUAGCUUGGUGGGUUUGAUCAGUUCCAAAAAGUGAAUUAUGGAAAGAACAUCUAUGAUGUCAAUAUGAAUGUCUCCAAAGAACCCCUUUAUGCAUUGUGUUAAAUCUGUUAAGGCAAUUCUGAGACCUGAUUACGCAAAAAGACUAACUGCAGAUCAUAAAAAAAAAAAAAAAAAGAGAAAUGAGACCACAGGCGUUGAUACAGAAACCAUAAUACAUUAAACACUUGACAAAAGUACAUGUUGAUAUGUCAGUCAGAUUACUACAAGAGUUUCUUUCCCCAAUCUCGAUCAGCUUCUCAGAACCAACGAGUGUUCCUUUGCUCUACCACAGUAUAGCUUCUCCACAAAUCUAAUCCCUACAACUUCUUCCCUGUACAACAGCACCACAAAAUUCAAGUUUCAGUAACUCAUCAUCAUAUAUGAUGAACAAAUAUAACAUUAACAAACAGAACCUGAAACCUCAGAAGCUUACCUAAAGUUUCAACAUGUUCAUCCGUUGCAACUCAAGCUCCUUUGCAGCUUCCAUCCUCUGCUUCUCCAACUCAACCAUCAUCCUCUGCUUCACACCUUCAAUCCUCUCGUACACCUCUCCCAACUUCAAAAUCGCUCUCGCCAGCUCCCUACAAGANNNNNNNNNNNNNNNNNNNNNNNNNNNNNNNNNNNNNNNNNNNNNNNNNNNNNNNNNNNNNCGACGACCCUUCGCCUCCACUCGGAUCCACAUCCUCCACUCUCCGAUGCUUCCUCACCACAAACCCCCAAUCUCCCACCUCAUCAUCAUCAUCCUCCUCCUCCAAAGAGCUCCCACUCGAUUUAGAUCCCGUCGGAUUCUUCAACGCCGGUCUCACAACUCCGGUGGAUUUCUUCGCCGCGACGGGACCGAUCAAGAAAUCGAGCCUCUCGAAGAAGCACCAAGACGACGGAGAAGGCUUACUUCUUCUCUCAUAACCAGCUUGUCGGUCUAGUACUGCACUUCCUUUGACGGUAAUCCGGGACUUUCUGGCCCUUCUCUUGAAGAAAUUUGCAGAGAUAUUCACAAGCCAGUCAGAGGAAGAAGAAGAGGAAGAGGUGUUGAGUUGGAUAGCAGUUGUAAUAGGAGUCAUACCUGGUUUUGCCUUUGGUUGGGUGAUUGGAUACAUAUUUGUUUCCCACAAGCCACAGAGGGAUUCAUGAAUCCUUUUGUCCGAAACAAACGCAGACGCAGCAGUACAACAACUCAUUAAAGAGGUAAUAUUCCAGAGUUUUAAAUCAACUUGUUAUUACCAAACAUUGGAAGAAACAAAAUUAUUAUAGUGAAAUCACCUGAAUAAACCUGACAAAUAUGGAAGACUGGGAUUGGGAAAAGAGUGGGACAGAGUUCUGUGAAGUUAAAUGGAGUGAAGACUGAAUGAAGAUGGAAAAACAUGGACAGUGCCCCUGAACUAACACAAAACAAGGGGUCGUGUCUACAUCAAUAGUGGUUGGAGAUGUUUUUGCCGCUCAAUUUGAAAAAGAGCCAACGUUUUAUUGGCUUUUAAUCUUGUGCAAACGCUCAUCAGAGCAAUCCAAAACAAACUCCAGAUUAAAGAAAUCUUCGGUAUCGUCUCAGAUAUCAUGCAGAUCUCCUCGGCGUUUGAAUCUAUCUCUUUCUCCUUUGUUCCACAAUCAGAAAACCAAAAGGCUGACUGUUUAGCCAAACGGGCUCUGAUCUCUUCUGUUUCUGCACUUGUUUGAACAUCUGGGUAUUGGGCUUUGUUUUCGGCCCUUUAUCUUUCCUUUGCUUUUAAUAUAAUCUCGUUGCACAAAAAAAAAAAAAAAAAAAUCUUGUGCAAACAGGUACAAACCCUGUUCUCCAGUUGUGUUCGUCCUACAACCGAAACUGUCUCCGAGCUUCUUCUUCAUCUUCAUCUUCAACAAGCCAAGAAAGAUUCUUGACACUGACUCCAACACCAUACACUCUCAAGAAGUCUAAUUUGGUAAGUUUUCAUCAAUACACCCAGCAUUGUAUCUGAGUUGUUUUAAUGUUUUGAAGUCUUUAUUAAGUCUACCGGGCAAGCUUGUGUGGUUGAAUGGUAGUGAGAAGGCAAGGACGAUAACUCUCGUGGACAGAUACGGUUUCAAAAGGUCAACGAGUCUUGAAGCUGAUAACAAAUCUGGAAGAAUGUGACUGGGAAAAGAGUGUAGAGCGUUCUGUGAAGCUAAUGGAGUGAAGGCUGGUGAGUCCUUUAAGCUAGAAUUCAUCAAAGAUGAAAAAUUCACAGCGACUCAACUACUUAAGCUAUGUUCUAAAGUCUUAAACUCUCUCUGAGUUCGUUUUGAUUAUGUAAUAUCUACGUACAGUGUGUAUUUUGAUUUUUGGCAGGCUUGUCAGGCAAGGCUGUAGUAACUUGGUAUGAGACGAACCUAGGCUAUGUUAAAUUGACUCUCCUUUGGAGAAUAGACCCUCAAAAAUACAUUGUCAUUCAGUAUAAUAUUUUUUUUUUUGAUCUAUAAUAACGUUUACAAAAACACCAAUGAAUACUAACUAACUUUUUACUCUGCCCCCUGAACGCUCAUCUUCUCAUAGUAGAGAGGCAAAUUUGAUUACAUCAUCCAGUGUAUCAAACAACUUACCAUCCAAAUCCAAACCAUUCUUUUGAUUGCUUUCUUUAUACGAAUUUGUGCUUUAGCUCAUGUUUUGUUCUUGGUUUUUCACUAAAUUAGCAGCUUAUAUGUAUUCUUCCUAUAAAGAACGUUCUCUCGGACUUUCUCUCAAGCAAGUACACGAGCAGGUCUACACGGUUGCGUGGCGUAACCUGAUAGACCCGUCUGUCAGUCUCAGUCUGCUUCGAAAUCAAUGAGGAGGGCAACUGGUGCAUAUAGUCUGCUUUCUGACUAUUAAAUAUGACCAGAGAAAUUUCCACACAUGAACUUAAUAUUGAUUAGGAAAGUUGUUUUGCUUUCGCUGUAAUGUAUAGUGAAUUUUUCUUUGUGUAAUAAAUAUACAGUUAAAUUAGCUUAAAGAAAAAUGAGAGGCUUUUGGAACUUAACGUGUACCAUUUCUCUUAUUCUUUCUAUAAUUUUCUUAUUCUGCUACAAUUAUGAGGACGUGUCUGCGGAUACUACUAGGCACUUGUGUCGUCCUGAUCAAAGGGAUGCACUUCUCCAUCUUCGAUUGGAAAUCUUUCUCAUCUCAUCUCACCUACCUUGACUUUUCUUCUACUCAAAUUUUGGGUCAGAUUCCAUCUUCUACUGGAAAUCUUUAUAAGCUCACUUAUCUUGACCUUUCUAACAACAAUAGCUAUGUUCUUUUGAUUAACGCAGCUUCUCGCGUCAGCGACUCCAAAUCUUAUGGUGGCUGCUUCGUGUGAAACGACGCGGACAAUGGUGAUGACAUAAAAAGUGUUGCCGUAAUAGUAAAAAAUAGUCGCCGCGUGAGUCGUAACUGACGCUACAAUUUUUAGCGAUCAAUUAUCAUCCCAAAACUAACGCUGCGUCUCUUAUAAUUAACUUCGGCAAAGUGGGUUUUCAGCAAUCUUGCUUUUAAAGUAACGGAAAUACAGAGCGAAAAAGAGACGCAGACGCUAACGCAGCGUUUAUCAAAAGAACAUGACUAUUGUUGGUGAUAUCCAAUCUUCUAUUGGCUAUCUAAACCAGCUGACCACCUUAAGUGUUUAUAAAAAUAAGCUCAAUGGAAGCUUGCCCAUUACACUACUGAAUCUGACAGAGUUGUCAUAUUUAGUACUCAGCGUCAAUCAGUUUACAGGAAUAGUUCCUCAUAACAUGUUACGUAUGAGGCUAGAAGGCCACCAAUACUGUACCAGUGCGAGAGGAGAAAGAAAGGCCCAGUUCAGAAAAAGUGACUAAGCACAAGAAGCAUCUAGAAGAAAUCAAUAAAAGAGGAGAAAGGAUGAAUCACAGCAACGGCCUUGGGCACGAGCACAUGGGUUGUCUGUGACGUGUCCCCUGCUUUUUCACUUUAUAAGUAGUAGUAAGGAAUAAUAGUUUGUGAUCGAGAGAGAGGAUCGAUCUGGUAGUGAUUGGAGAGAGAGUACUCCUGUCUAAAAACUCUAAAUCAUUGUAUUUGCUUGUUCUUUAAGGAGUCUUCAUAAAGUUCUUUACACGAUCGAGCUUUUACAAUACUAGUCGUAACAAACUUGGUAUCAGAGCAAGACGAACCUGAGGGCUUGUGAUGGGACCGAAGAAGAAUGACGACAAGGUAGCGGAGCAGAUCCAUCGCGAUGAUGACCGUAUCGUGGUGGUGGAGAGCAAGAUAUCUGCGGUGGAGGACCGAUUGAACGAGAUGAUGAAGUUCAUCGCCAGUGGGUUUGAGAGGAUCGAGCCGCGGAAGGAGGAUCAGACGGAGGGAAAGGAUCGGCGAGGAGAAGGGCUGAUACCCUCUGGUCUGACCUCCAACCCAGCCGGUGCUUCUAAACCUAUGGUGCUGCAAGGUGAAGGCUCGGGGAAGCAGAUCCUCGAAGAACCGAGAAGCAUCUCCGGAGUGAGGUCGACGGCGGCGUCAGGACCAGGAGCGGAUUCUGUCAACACCCAAACCUCAUACCGGAGUAUCUUGGGAGGCAAGGAAGAGUGGUUACCAAAGAGAUUGGAGAUCCCAACGUUUGACGGAGAAGAGCCGGAGAACUGGGUGUUACGUGUGGAACAUUAUUUUGAGUUGGGAGAUUUUACGGAGGAAGAAAAGUUGCGCGCCGUCAGGAUGUGUUUUAUCGGCGACGCGUUACCUUGGUACCGAUGGGAAAGGAGUCGGAAUCCGUUCCUGAGCUGGGAACAGAUGAAGACAAGGGUAUUGGAGCAGUUUUUGGCGGUGCGCGAUACGAGCGCCGGUGAGCAUAUCCUGUGUCCCCGACAGACCGGGACGGUGCGAAGCUUUCGCAGCGAGUUUAUCGCGUUAGCUUCCAACGCUCUGGGGAUUCCCGAUCCGAUCUUAGAGAUGGCUUUUAUGAACGGGUUGAAGCCUAAAAUAAAAGCGGGAGUGAGGAUGAUGAGUGUAAGAGGGUUAGAGAAGGUGAUGGACGCCGCGAAAUUGUUGGAGGACUGGUCCGAAGGAGGGGAGACGACGGAGGAGACGACAGAGACGUCGUCUAAGACUGGCCGUGUUACGAGUGGUUGUCAUCUAGCCCAAACAAAUAAACCGGCCCAAUCAACCGGUCAAAUCCCAAACCUUAACAAGGGAAGGCCCACUUUCAAUGGAACGACGGCGUCGAGCAAUACCCAGACGAAACCUAAUCACAAUCGAUUGAAACCAUCCUUUCGGCGGUUGACUCCGGCAGAGGUGGCGAAAUGGAAGGCGGAGGGGUUGUGUUACCGGUGCGACGAGAAGUACAUAUAUCCUCACCGUUGCGCCCAGCCCGAGGUGGUGGUCUUGAUGGUGCUGGAGGACGGAACAGAGAUAGAUGUGCUAAACUGUUCCGUCGAGUUAGAGGAAGAGGAGAUCGCAGAGGAAGUGGAAGUAGCAGCGAUUUCGAUCAGCUCCAUUGUGGGAAUCUCCUCAACUCAUACAAUCAAGCUCAAAGGAAAGUUGAUGGGAAGAGAAGUGGUGGUUUUGAUCGACAGCGGGGCCACCCACAAUUUCGUAUCGAAGGAGCUAGUGACACAGUUGAAGUUACAGACGGAUAGAACUCGCGGCUAUAGUGUGAUGACAGCCGGUGGAGUGACCUUCAAGGGAGCAGGGUUGUGUAGCGAGUUAGAGCUGGAGCUACAAGGUUGUACGAUCACCUCAAGUUUCCUACCAUUGGAAUUAGGAAGCGCUGAUGUCAUAUUAGGCAUUCAGUGGUUGGAAACACUCGGGAAUAUGAAGGUCAAUUGGAAGCUACAAAUUCUACGUUUCAAGGUGGGAUCGCAUAAGUAUGUCCUACAAGGAGAUCCCAGCCUCUGUUGUUCAGCGGCGUCUCUCAAAUCUAUUCUGAAGACGUUACAGCAGGACGGAGAGGUGAUGUUGAUUGAAUACAACGGGAUGCAGUUGGAGGGAGAAGAAUCCGGGAAAGCCUCUCAGAUUCCUCAGUCCUUACAAGACAUCUUGAAAGAGUUUACAGAGGUCUUUGAUGAACCUAGGGGGCUCCUUCCGUCAAGAGGAAAGGCGCACGCUAUUGAGUUGAAGAAGGAAGCAAGCCCCGUGAGCGUCAGGCCCUUUCGAUACCCUCAAGCUCAACGUGAGGAGAUUGAGAAACAAAUCGCAGCUAUACUCACUGCAGGGAUCAUCAGAGACAGUAACAGCCCAUUCUCGAGCCCUGUGCUGUUGGUGAAGAAGAAGGACGGAAGCUGGCGGUUCUGCGUUGAUUACCGCGCCCUUAACAAGGUCACCAUCGCAGACUGCUACCAUAUACCGAUGAUAGAUCAACUGCUGGAUGAGUUGCAAGGAGCAGUCGUCUUUUCGAAGUUGGAUUUGAAGUCAGGUUACCAUCAAAUUCUGGUGAAAGCGGAGGACGUGCAGAAGACAGCGUUCCGUACUCACGACGGCCACUAUGAGUUCCUAGUGUGCCGUUCGGACUGUCAAACGUACCAGCUACAUUCCAGUCGUUGAUGAAUGAGAUAUUCCGAAGCUAUUUAAGGAAAUUCGUCCUCGUCUUCUUUGACGACAUAUUAGUUUAUAGUAAGACAGAGAAGGAACACGCGGUGCAUCUCAGACUGGUGCUAGAGAAACUAAAGGCACAGAAGUUAUAUGCCAACCAAAAAAAGUGCGAAUUUGGGAGCUCUCGAAUAGAGUACUUGGGGCAUGUAAUCAGUAAGGAAGGAGUAGUAGCUGAUGAGGGGAAGAUUCAAGCCAUGACAAAUUGGACGACGCCAAGAACCGUGAAGGAGUUGCGCAGGUUCUUGGGUUUAACCGGGUACUAUCGGAAGUUUGUACAAAGCUAUGGAGAGAUUGCAAGACCUUUAACAUCAUUUCUCCGCAAGGACCAGUUCAGAUGGUCUGAAGGAGCGACGGGUGCUUUCCAACAGCUGAAGAGAGCCAUGACAACGGUACCGGUGCUUGCCUUGCCUGAUUUCAAGGAGCAGUUUGUAGUGGAAUCAGAUGCAUCGGGAGUGGGAUUGGGAGCGGUCUUGAUGCAGAAGCAGCGACCCAUCACGUACUUCAGUCAAGCACUGACAGAGAAGCAACAGCUGAAGUCAGUAUAUGAGAGGGAGUUAAUGGCUAUAGUCUUUGCCAUACAGAAGUGGGCGACAUUACUUACUCGGAAGAAAGUUUCUAGUAAGAACGGACCAGAAGAGUCUCAAGUUUUUAUUGGAGCAACGUGAAAUCAACAUGGAGUAUCAGAAAUGGCUGACGAAGAUUCUUGGUUUCGACUUCGACAUUCAUUACAAGCCCGGACUCGAGAAUAAAGCCGCAGACGGCCUUUCUCGAAAAAGUGCAAUACUAGAGUUAUUUGCAGUAUCGGUUCCAGUAUCUAUUCAGUUGGAGGAACUAGGUUCUGAGGUGGGGAGGGAUGAAGAGUUGUCUAAGAUAAUGGAAGACCUGUCUCGAGAUCUGAAUUCACAUCCUAACUACUCUAUGGUACAAGGGAGACUGCUGAGACAGGGGAAGCUUGUACUACCUAAGACGUCUCAGUUGAUUGGAGUUAUCUUGAAAGAAUACCACGACAGCAAGUAUGGGGGGCAUGGCGGAGUAUUAAAGACACAAAAACGCAUUGGAGCUUUGUUCUAUUGGCAGGGCAUGAUGACUGACAUCAGGAAGUAUGUGGCGUCAUGUCAGACUUGCCAACGACAGAAGUACUCCACGUUGGCACCGGGGGGGGGGGGGGGNNNNNNNNNNNNNNNNNNNNNNNNNNNNNNNNNNNNNNNNNNNNNNNNNNGGGGGGGGGGGGGGGGGGGGUCUCCUCCAGCCUCUACUGAUACCGUCCAACGUGUGGGAAGACAUUUCGCUUGAUUUCAUUGAGGGGCUGCCUAAGUCGGGAGGAGUCAACACUGUUCUCGUGGUGAUAGACCGUCUUACAAAGUAUGCUCACUUUGUGGGUCUCAGGCAUCCGUUCACUGCUGUUGAUGUGGCUAUGGUCUUCAUGCAGGAGAUAGUCAGACUACACGGGUUCCCUAAGACCAUAGUGUCAGAUCGUGACAGGAUAUUCACAGGGCAGUUUUGGAAGGAGCUGUUCCGUUUAGCAGGGACCAGUCUAUGCUUUUCAACGGCUUACCACCCACAGUCUGACGGACAGACCGAGGUUACCAAUAGGGGAUUAGAAACAUAUCUACGUUGCUUUGCGGGAGAGAAACCACGAACGUGGGCAAGCUACUUGCAGUGGGCGGAGUUUAGCUACAACACGUCGUUCCACUCUGCUAUUAAUAUGUCACCGUUCCAAGGCUUGUAUGGUAGAGAGCCACCUUCGCUGUUACAGUACGAGAAUGGCUCUACCAACAAUGCUGAGUUGGAAGCACGGCUGCAGGAGCGUGACGACAAUUUGGCAUUGCUUCGCCAACAGUUGUUGAAAGCUCAACAAACUAUGAAGGCAAGAGCAGAUGAGCACAGGAGGGAGGUGGAAUUUCAAGUAGGGGAUAAGGUCUUUGUGAAACUCAGGCCUUACAGAGAGAAGACGUUGGCUAAGAGAAUUAAUGAGAAGCUAUCGGCUCGCUUCUAUGGGCCGUACGAGAUAGAGAGACGCAUGGGGAAGGUGGCGUAUAAACUACGGUUACCAGCAGAGGCCCGCAUUUAUCCCACUGUUCAUGUUUCACAGCUAAAGAAAGCGGUGGGUGAGUCCUUCGAGUCAGUGACCCUGCCAUCACAGCUCACCGCUGACGGGGUAUUGGAGGUAGUUCCAGAGGCCGUGCGAGCUCACAGGUUCAACACCACGACAGGCCACGAAGAGUUGUUGAUCAAAUGGGUCGGGUUGACAGAAGCUGACUGCACGUGGGAAUGGAAGAGUAUGAUUGAGAAGCAGUUUCCAGAGCUUGACCUUGAGGACAAGAUCAGUUUCAAUGGAGGGAGUAAUGUUACGUAUGAGGCUAGAAGGCCACCAAUACUGUACCAGUACGAGAGGAGAAAGAAAGGCCCAGUUCAGAAAGAGUGACUAAGCACAAGAAGCAUCAAGAAGAAAUCAAUAAAAGAGGAGGAAGGAUGAAUCACAGCAACCGCCUUGGGCACGAGCACAUGGGUUGUCUGUGACGUGUCCCCUGCUUUUUCACUUUAUAAGUAGUAGUAAGGAAUAAUAGUUUGUGAUUGAGAGAGAGGAUCGAUCUGGUAGUGAUUGGAGAGAGAGUACUCCUGUGUAAAAACUCUAAAUCAUUGUAUUUGCUUGUUCUUUAAGGAAUCUUCAUAAAGUUCUUUACACGAUCGAGCUUUUACAAUACUAGUCGUAACAUAUCAUCACUUCACUAUCCAAAUUGAGAAUUUUCGAUGCAAGUAACAAUGCUUUCACUGGAACCCUGCCUUCUUCUCUCUUCACAAUUCCUUCUAUUGAUUACGUUAAUUUGUCUAAUAACCAACUCAACGGUAUUCUUGAGCUUGGGAAUAUAUCUUCACCAUCUAAGCUACAAGUGUUAAACGUUGGCAGAAACAACUUCACAGGGCCAAUUCCAAGCACGAUAUCCAAAUUUACCAACCUCGUACGGCUUGACCUUUUCCAUUACAAGCCACAAGGUCCAGUUGAUUUCAGUAUCUUCUCACAGCUCAAGCGGUCGAAUAUCUUGAUCUAUCCUAUUUGAACACGACCACCACUAUAGACCUGAGUGAUAUAUUGUCAUAUUUUAAGAGGCUCCGUCUGUUGUUUUUCUCAGGCAACCAUGUCUCAGCCACAAACAAGAGUCCAGUUUCAGUUCCCCCUUUGCUGUAUGAGUUGCACUUGUCAGGCUGCGGUAUCAACGAGUUUCCGGAGUGGAGUUCGCAAGAAACAAACAUAUGUCGGUUCUAAACAUUUCCAACAAUAAAAUCAAAGGUCAAGUGCCUGGCUGGUUAUGGAGGCUACCAGAUCUGACUUACCUGAAUCUUUCCAACAACAGUUUCAAGAGUGUCUACAUUGCGCAUAUCUUCUUCCUGAUCCACCACUUUUUUAUCUGAUUUUAUUUGCAAUCAGAUUCCAGUUUUUGAAACUGUUUUUUUUUUGUCAAAUAAGUGAGUUCACAUUAAAGGAGAAAGAUUUGUAAGUUACAAAAUGUUGUAGCUAUUAAGGAUUUCCUUGGCAAAAAAAAAGAUAAUAAAAGGAAAGCCCAUAGUUGAAUGAAAAAUAGUUAGAGAAGCCAUUCAUGUCGUAACCAAAUUUGAUGAGAUACAUGAAUGGUAUCCUCUUUCUUUUGCCUAGGAUGAUGUCACCUACAGUCAUGUCAAUAAUUUUGAAGACCAUCGUUGUUAGCGCUUGUUUCUUUUGGUCCAAAUAUUACAAAUUGUAGCAUGUGUAGCAAUGCGCUUAAGGGUUCGGGAGCAUGAGUCCUUCAAUGAAAGCCAAUCAGGGAAAGCAUUCCAGAUUUCUCAGAGACCUAUGAUGAGAAUCCCAACGUUUGUAACCUAUCCUUUGAAGAACCAAAUCCCAUAUUUCUCAGAGACGUAAAUUGGAGACGAUAAUUAGCGAUUUAAGUGAAUCAUUGCAAGUGUUUGGUGAACAGUUACAACUUCUUAAAUGAAAAAUUGCAAUUGUUGGUGAAUGUAAUUAUAGUGAUGAACCAUUGCAUUUCUUGGUAGUUGUAGUUUUUUGGUGAUAAAUCAUUGCAAUUUUGGUGUAAACCAACCAUUGCAAUCCUUAAUCCUCUAUAUAAAGAGUUAUGGACAUUGACAAAGCAUAUCAAUCACAAAUAGACUAGAAAAAUGAGAGAUUCAUAGUCAAAAGAUCAUCAAAAGUAAUGAUAUGCUUUUAUGUGUCUUUUUCAUUUAAAAUAUUUUUUUACUGAUAUGUUUUUGGUUAUUUUCUCACUUUCACUUAUAUUAUACUUUUUUAAAAUCUAUGGAAAGUUUAUGGAUAUGUUUUUCUCUCUUUUGUGACACAUAAACUUCUUUGAAAACAAAAAUAAGAUACUUUAUAUAAAAUAUCAUAAAUUAUACAAGUGGCAAAUAUUUUUUAAAAUAAAAGUAGUUAACAAUAAUAACCUAAAACAUGCAUACAAAUUUCAAUAUGUGUGCAUUUACCAAUUGAUUAUAUUCUUUUAGUUGCGGUCUAUUUUUUAUGUAACAAUUGAAUAGUUUAUGAGUAUUUAUUUUCAUAAUUCUCAAUUUUAUCUCUAUUUGAUCAAAUUUUAUUUUAUUUUACAUGCAAAAGAUGAAUUUAUUCAAGGAUUUUUCUGUUGAAUAGAUGCAUCCUUUAAAAUACUUAAAAUGUUGUAAAAAUGUAUCCUUUCAGAAAAUUAAUAUUUUUAUAUUUAAAUUAUAUUUCAGAUAAAAGUUGAUCUGUUUAUAUGGGUGUAUCUUUGCCUUUUGAUUAAAUGAAUUGAAAUAUGUUUUAGACUCAUUGAUAAAGACAUAUUUAAAAUAAAUAGAUUUGCAUAUAUUAACAUAUUAUAAAAACAUAAAAUUUGAAAGAUGAUGAAAUUAUGUUUUAAAAAUCAUAUUUUUUUGUUCAUACCUUUUGAAAACGAUACAAAUGGAAAUAAAUAAAUAUAUAUUAAUUAUGAAAUAUUGAUACAAAAAAACUUGGAAAUAAAUAAUGUAAAUACUUUAAAGACUCAACAUAAUUGAAUAUAUUUUUAGGACCAAAAUAAGUUGAAUAAUUUUUAUACAUUUAUAAUAUUUUCUAGUACAGUAGUAAAUAUUUAUUUUUAUAAAAUGAGUUUCCGUGGGACAUCGCAUGGAUUCCUUACCUAGUAUACACAGUAACAGACUGUGUAUUUAUUCCACAAAGAAAAAUCCACGGAGAAAAAUCCAUGGUGAAAAAUCAAAUAUUCAUCACAUAACCAGGACGAGUUAGUUUGGUGGUAAACGGUUUGCGGCUGCAAGUACGGUCCCGGGUUCAACUCGCACUGGCCACCAGGAAAUUUACAUGCGGACUUGCUCUGGCGCCCGAGACCGAAGACCGUUGCCUGGCCAUGACCCACCCUCGGGUGUGCGUCCGCGCCGCUAAAGGUUCGGUCUCUAGUCGGACCACCACGGUGGGGCUAGGACACUCGGUUAUAAAAAAAAAAAAAAAAAAAAUUCAUCACAUCGGCAGCAAUAUCUUUGUGUCGAAUAGGGGCCCCCGGUUAAAAAAAAAAAAAAAAAAAAAAAUUCAUCACAUCGGCAGCAAUAUCUUUGUGUCGAAUAGUCAAGUUUCCACACAUAUUGGUCCCCUACACUAAUAAUUAAAUGAAUUUUCAAAAAAUAAUUGUCCACACGACCAAACCAAAUAAAAGUAUUUACGAAGUCUUUUGGAUUAAACUAAUUAACGUUUACGAGACCCAUGCAUAUAAUGUAGUCUUUCGUUGUGAUUUUUUUUGUGUGGACGAGUCUUUUUGCUGGACAGUUUUGGUAACACCUAAAUAGGACCAUGUCCAAAUUAGACCAUACCCAAAAAAGAUUAUGAUCAGUUGGGUUGUCCAUGAGGUCCAGACGCUCAUUUAGUAUAAAUAAGUUAAUUUUUAUUGUAAAAGAUGGAAAUAUACUAAAUUUCGUAUAUAUUAUAGACUUAAACUUUAUUAUUUUGCAAUUUAAAUUUUUACGAGAAAAUUUGAUUUUGAGAUUUUUGUGAUUUUGAUGAAAAAUAUGACUUUCAGUUUCCAUAAAACGUGAUUUUGCGGUUUUGACCGAGAAAAAUGUAAUUUUAAGGAAAAUUGCGUUUGCAGUUUUGGCGAAAAACACGAUUUUAUGGUUUUGAUGGAGAAAAUACAAUUUUACGGGAAAAAUAUGAUUUUUCGGUUUUGGCGAAAACUCGAUUUUAUGAUUUUGGUAAGACAAAUUAAAAUUGUACUUUUUUCCUAAUUUUCUAAACCUAGAUAUUUUAGCUAUUUGGGCUGUCCAGUGUCCAGAUGGUCAAAACCGCAAAAUCACGUUUUCCGGAAACCGAAAGUCAUAUUUUUCACCAAAAUCACAAAAAUCUCAAAAUCAAAUUUUCUUGUAAAAAUUCAAAUUGCAAAAUAAUAAAGUUUAAGUCUAUAAUAUAUAUGAAAUUUAGUAUAUUUCCAUCUUUUACAAUAAAAAUUAACUUAUUUAUAUUAAAUGGGCAUCUGGACGGCAUGGACAACCCAACUGAUCAUGGUUUUUUUUUGGUAUGGUCUUAUUUGGACAUGGUCCUAUUUAGGUGUCGACCAAAACUGUCCAGCAAAAAGACACGUCCAUAUGGACACGCCCAAAUAGGCCCAACCCGCCCAUUUGACAUCUCUACCUACGAAGCUACCUUUUGUCUCAAGAAUCCUGUUUACGGUUGCAUGAGCCAUAGCUUCUCCGCAGAAGAAGAUGCUUGAGCUUCAACAUGAUAUAGCCCUUGCUCGCUCUAGACUACUUGUCCAUUAUUUGCCAAGUGAUUUCACACAUGUUUUCUUUACAAUCAUUUUCACUAAAAAAAUAUGACAUGACAUACUAAAAUUGAUGAUAUGAUGUAUGGUUAAAAGUGACAUAGACAACUACAUUUAAUGUUAAUUUUAAUUUUUGUUAACUUUUGAUAAUAUGGUAAUAAUUCAUAAAUCAUCAUUAAAAUAAAUAUAUUCAAAUAUUUCAUUAAAAAUACGAUAAGAAAGAUAUAAAAUAUUUUUAAAAUUUCGAAAUAUUAUUUAAAUAUAUUUUUAUAAUCAUAAGAGUUUUAUUAUUAAAUAAUAUUUUCAAAAUUUUAUACAACCUUUUUAAAAAAAAUUAAAUUUUUAAUUGUAAUAUUCAUUUGUUUAUUUUUGAUAUCUACAAAUUUUAGAAAUUCUUUUAGUUUAAUAUUUUGAUAAUUAUAAAAAAUUUAUAUCAAUUUUACUUUACACAAGUUAAUUUAAUAUAUCUUAACCAAAAUAAAUAAAUGAAAUAUAUCUAAAUUAUAAUUUUAAAUAUAACUUAAAUCUAAUUUUAAAUAAAUCAGAAUAUUUAUUUUAUCUUAAUUCUAUAAAGGGUCUCGUAAACGUUAGUUUAAUCCAAAAGACUUCGUAAAUACUUUUAUGGGAAAUUUGCCAAAUAUGACUCAUAACUUGAUUUCAAACACAAAGGUAAACCCAAACUUGAAUCAAAUGCAAAAGUAACCUAAAAGACUAUUGAAAUUACAACCAGCCCCUUGUGAACAAACAAAAAAACCGAUUUGUUUUUACUUUUCUAACCCCCGUAAGUCGCCUGGAAUAUUUUUUAAGUGAAAAAUUGAAAUCAUGUAAUUAACAUAUGUUUUAAGAGAUAUAAAUUAAGUUAUAACAAAAUUUAAUUGUUUUCAACAUAGUUGAGUGAAAGUAGUGAGUCAUGAUAUUCUUUGGUUUAGGUUUUGCCAAAAUAUGUUGUAGUAUUGUAUGUGUUCUUAUGGUUAGAUUUUGGAAUGCAUAAAUGUUUUUUUGAAAACUUUAAAAUUUACCUAAGUGUGUUUAUUUCUGUGUAUAGUAAACACUAUUUAAGUAUAACUACGGCUUAAUAACGUGGUUAGUUAGUUAAUUUAGUCAAUUUAGUUUAGGGGUUAAAUUUAGGGUCUGAGAAGUAAGUCGUCUGAUGUACAAUAUUCAACAGACGACUUACUAGUAAGUCGUCCAAACCGGACCGAACCUUUAAUUUUACAAUGUACUUUUAAACCUAACCGAAUUAUUUACCGGCCAUAUAUAAGGUGUUUUUUUUUAUUCACUGUUUCGCGAAAAUCAGAAAACCCUAACGCCGUUUCUCUCAAAGGCGAUUUCGAAGGCGAUUUUUGUCGAUUCUCUCUAAUCCAUCGUUCUCACCGCCGGUUAUCUCUCCGCCGUUAUCACCGUCGUUCUCACCACCGUUCUCACAGCCGCUUCCUCUAUUUAAGAUCCGAGAGGAAACCCUAGCGCGCAUUCUCUCAGAGGCGUCUCGUUGAACUCCGCCGCGGGUAAAUUAUAUCUCUUACUGUCGAGUGAUUGAUUGAGGAAAAGAUGAACAUAAAACUGGAAGUCUUGGAAGACUUAUAAUUAAGUCGUCUGCAGGAAGACUUUCCAGGCGACUUAAUUAUAAGUCUUUCAGCUGGAAAACUUGCGAGACGACUUAAUUAUAAGUCUUUGAUUGUUUGAGAUGGUUGUCUUUGAUUGUUUUGCAGACAAAAAAAAUGGAAAUGCCAGAACUCCCCCGUAGGAUAUAUAUAUUAGGGGAAGAGCCCCCAGCAGUGCAUAACAUUUCGUAUCAUACUUGUUGGACGUUGCAUGCUGCUUUAAAGAAAGCUCUUCAUGAUGACGAAUAUGAAGAGCUAAAGGAGUCGAAGUUGGGAGUUUUCAUCAAGUUCCAAGAGCUGGGAUUUGAUCGGGCUUCAAGGCUGGUUCACUACAUGCUCAGUUUCCAGCUGGACAUAAAGAAGAAGUAUGAGCUGUGGAGUCUCGUUGGUCCACAACCUGUGAGGUUUUCACUGUUAGAGUUUGAAAACCUCACUGGUCUAAACUGCGAGUACAUCGAGGUCCUUGAGAGACCUCACUGUGUUGUUACAAAGGAGUUGACUUCUUUUUGGGAGAUGUUGGGAGUUCAUGUCGAAGCUGAGCCAUCUACUCAGGAGAUAAUAGCAACAUUUGAGAGAUGCGAAGGGUGGUCUCGGGAUGAUCGCAAGCGGCUCGCGUACCUUGCCAUCUUCACUGGAUACAUUGAAGGGAGAAAGUAUUCAACCCCUACACGGGUUAGUCCGGCAAGGCUAGUGAUGGAGCUAGAACAGUUUGAGAAUUAUCCAUUGGGGAGAGUCGCGUUUAAAGUGCUGAUGGACUUUGUGAAGGGCAGAGAUAUUUCGGGUUGUUACACUAUUAAUGGGUUUUCACAAGCUCUCCAGGUCUGGGUGUACACAACUCUUCCGGAAUUGGGUGAUACUUAUGGUAAUCCUCUCCCAAACAAUCCGUCUCCCCGAUACUGGCUUACAAGGGUCGCAAAGGACGCAUACAGUUUAAAGAGGCUAUCCUCAGUCAGGUAUUUACUUCAAUCUGGACGACUUCACAGAAGACUUAUAAUUAAGUCGUCUGAUAAGUCUUUCAACUGGACGACUUAGUAGAAGAUUUGUAAUUAAGUCGUCUGGAAAGUCUUCCAGCUGGAAGACUUUCCAGACAACUUAAUUAUAAGUUGUCUACUAAGUCGUCCAACUGGAAGACUUUCCAGAUGACUUAAUUAUAAGUCGUCUGCGAAGUCUUUUCUUUCCAUCUUUCUUACAACUGGAAGACUUUCCAGACGACUUAAUUAUAAGCCGUCUGCGAAGUCUUUUCUUUCCUUCUUUCUUUAUCCGUCAAAUAUCUAAGUUCAUAUCUUCUAUUUACUGCAGACUAGGGUGAUCAACUUUGUUCAGAAGGACAUUGGUCAAAUGUUUCCAAAAUGGGAGCUUGAUGUUGAGGACACGCCCGCGGAAAACAUAAUUGAACUCAUGUUUGUGAAGAAACCGUGGAAGUGGACCAUAGAUUACUGGGAAGUCACCGGUACUUGGGUCAAUACAAAGUCGGCGGUCGUGAGUCCAGCGAAGAAAAAGGUAGUGAAGGAAGACAAUCCAAGACCUCGGAAGAAAGCUCGUAAAGAGGCACCUGCAGAAGCUAGUGAAGAGGCAGCUGCAGAGGCUGGUGAAGAGGCAGCUGCAGAGGCUAGUGAAGAGGUGACUACGACUGUUGGUGGGUUGACCAAAGAGGAUAUUAAAACCAUGUUCAAGGACAUAGCUGAUGCCAUGAGGGAAGGGUUUGAGACGUGUCUUAAGGAGAUCAAGUAUCUGUCGGAAAGGGUGGAAGCUGUGGAGAAGAAGGUUGGUAUCACCACAAAACGGAAAAGGACAUCAUCUCAAAACACUACCUCUCCACCUAAACCGACGCUCAAACCCGGGGUUAGUAACAAAUCCUCUCCCAACAAGAGAUUGACUAGACAAAGUCUUAAGAAUAAGAACUGAAAAGUUGCAUUUGCUUUGUUUCUUGUAUGUCAGAACAUGUGUGCUUUGUUUAUAGUGUAUGGAUUUUAUAUAUGUAUUUUGUUUCAUGUUUGAAGACACUCAUUGGUUAUUAUUGUUUGAAAUGAAUCUUUGGUUAUUAUUGUAUAAACUCAUCUUGUAUAUUGCAGAGUGAAAGUGUUAAUGGGACGAACGCGGGAAGGAAGAGCUUGGCGGAGGAUAAAGGUCCAAACGUGCCCGCAGCUGUGCCCGCAGAUGCUAGUUCCUCGAAAGAUAAAACUCCAGAACCGAGCCUUGUUCUAUUGGACAAAAAUCAACCCACAAUUUCGGAUUUACAGAAGGAGGAUGCUAGAUAUCAGGAAAAGGGGGAUGCUGCUUUCGCACUUUGCCGUGCAAGCUGGACAUAAAGAAGAAGUAUGAGCUGUGGAGUCUCGUUGGUCCACAACCUGUGAGGUUUUCACUAUUAGAGUUUGAAAACCUCACUGGUCUAAACUGCGAGUACAUCAAGGACCUUGAGAGACCUCACUGUGUUGUUACAAAGGAGUUGACUUCUUUUUGGGAGAUGUUGGGAGUUCAUGUCGAAGCUGGGCCUUCUACUCAGGAGAUAAUAGCAGCAUUUGAGAGAUGCGAAGGGUGGUCUCGGGAUGAUCGCAAGCGGCUCGCGUACCUUGCCAUCUUCACUGGAUACAUUGAAGGGAGAAAGUAUUCAACCCCUACACGGGUUAGCUUGGCAAGGCUAGUGAUGGAGCUAGAACGGUUUGAGAAUUAUCCAUUGGGGAGAGUCGCGUUUAAGGUGCUGAUGGACUCUGUGAAGGGCAGAGAUAUUUCGGGUUGUUACACUAUUAAUGGGUUUGUGCAAGCUCUCCAGGUCUGUGUACACAGCUCUUCCGGAAUUGGGUGCUACUUAUGGUAAUCCUCUCCCAAACAAUCCGUCUCCACCGAUACUGGCUUACAAGGGUCGCAAAGGAGGCAUACAGUUUAAAGAGGCUAUCAUCAGUCAGGUAUUUACUUCAAUCUGGACGACUUUGCAGAAGACUUAUAAUUAAGUCGUCUGAUAAGUCUUCCAACUGGACGACUUAGUAGAAGACUUAUAAUUAAGUCGUCUGGAAAGUCUUCCAGCUGGAUGACUUAGUAGAAGACUUAUAAUUAAGUCGUCUGGGAAGACUAUCCAGACUACUUAAUUAUAAGUCUUCUACUAAGUCUUCCAGCAGGAAAACUUUCCAGACGACUUAAUUAUAAGUCGUCUACUAAGUCGUCCAACUGGAAGACUUUCCAGACGACUUAAUUAUAAGUCGUCUACUAAGUCGUCCAACUGGAAGACUUUCCAGACGACUUAAUUAUAAGCCGUCUGCGAAGUCUUUUCUUUCCUUCUUUCUUUAUCCGUCAAAUAUCUAAGUUCAUAUCUUCUAUUUACUGCAGACUAGGGUGAUCAACUUUGUUCAGAAGGACAUUGGUCAAAUGUUUCCAAAAAGGGAGUUUGAUGUUGAGGACAUGCCCGCGGAGAACAUAAUUAAACUCAUGUUUGUGAAGAAACCGUGGAAGUGGACCAUGGAUUGCUGGAAAGUCACCGGUACUUGGGUCAGUACAAAAUCGGCGGUUGUGAGUCCAGCGAAGAAAAAAGUAGUGAAGGAAGACAAUCCAAGACCUCAAAAGAAAGCUCGUAAAGAGGCACCUGCAGAGGCUAGUGAAGAGGCAGCUGCAAAGGCUAGUGAAGAGGUGACUAUGACUGUCGGUGGGUUGACCAAAGAGGAUAUUAAAACCAUGUUCAAGGACAUAGCUGAUGCCAUGAGGGAAGGGUUUGAGACGUGUCUUAAGGAGAUCAAGUAUCUGUCGGAAAUGGUGGAAGCUGUGGAGAAGAAGGUUGGUAUCACCACAAAACGGAAAGGGACAUCAUCUCAAAACACUACCUCUCCACCUAAACCGACGCUCAAACCCGGGGUUAGUAACGAAUCCUCUCCCAACAAGAGAUUGACUAGACAAAGUCUUAAGAAUAAGAACUGAAAAGUUGCAUUUGCUUUGUUUCUUGUAUGUCAGAACAUGUGUGCUUUGUUUAUAGUGUAUGGAUUUUAUAUAUGUAUUUUGUUUCAUGUUUCAAGACACUCAUUGGUUAUUAUUGUUUGAAAUGGAUCUUUGGUUUUUAUUGUAUAAACCCAUCUUGUAUAUUGCAGAGUGAAAGUGUUAAUGGGACGAACGCGAGAAGGAAGAGCUUGGCGGAGGAUAAAGGUCCAGAUGUGCCCUCAGCUGUGCCCGCAGAUGCUAGUUCCUCGAAAGAUAAAACUCCAGAACCGAGCCUUGUUCUAUUGGACAAAAAACAACCCACUGUUUCGGAUUUACAGAAGGAGGAUGCUAGAUAUCAGGAAAAGAGGGAUGCUGCUUUCACACAUUGCCGUGCAAAGAGUGAUCGAACAAGGAAACUUGAUGCCUCACAGCAAUCUCCUUAUACGGCAAACUGCACGGCCAGAGUGAUCAUUCCAAACAAAAAGCUUUAUCCAGGCUAUAAUCCUUUUGCACCAAUUGACAAGAAGAAGUUGAAGGAGCUCGCUGAUUGGUUGAAAACUUUUCCGUAAGUGUUUGCUUUUCCCAUGAUAGCUUGCUUUUCCCAUAAUAGCUUGCUUUAGUCUACAAAAACUGAUUGCUUUUCAACAUUUUGUGUUUGCAGUCAUUAUAGAACACAUCUCGAUAAAAAACCACGAAAAAGUAGAACUUGGUGGUAUCAAAUCCCCCGAACCUCCUUAGAUUGGCUGGAGGACUGUGUAAGUCUUCUGCUAUGACUUAGAUGACUUACUGAUUAGUCUUCUUUGUAGACGACUUUCCAAUAAGUCAUCUGGUAAGUCGUCUACGUACACGACUUACCAGACGACUUAAUUCGUCCAUGAAUUACUUGUAAGUCGUCUACGUAGAAGACUUACCAGUAAGUCGUCUGAUAUCUUCUGAUUUGUACCCUAUUUUAUAUGCAGCAUAUUGAUGCUUGGAUUAAUGUGUUGAGGAAGAGGUACAACGCUAACCAACAUCAUUUCAGGAGCGAGAGAAUGUGCUUCCUUGAUCAUCUCUUUGCUCAGCAAUGGAGAUUCAACUUCAAGGAUUUUAAGGACUCGAAGCCCGAUCAGAACGGUUUAGGAAGAAGACUCCCUGGUGGGGUGGAAUUAUUAUGCAGGCACUAUACCAUCAUUUUGCCAAUCAAACAAGGUUUGGGGGACGAAUAUUGAUGAUAUCUAUGUGCCAGUGAACUAUGCCGACACUCAUUGGAUUGCUAUGUGGAUAUUGAUCCCUAAGAGGCACAUAGUCGUCUUUGACAACAUUUGUUCCAGUAUCUCCCCAGAAGAACUUGAUGUGGUAAUGGAGCAUUUUCUCUACAUGGUCCCUUAUCUGCUUGUUGAGUGCGUUUCCUCAGACGAACUACGUGCCCAAUACAGCCUGGAGCCAUUCACAUAUGAGAGACCGACCAAUAUACCUCCGGCCCGAGCUGGUGAUUGUGGUGUGUACACUCUAAAGUACAUUGAAUGUCAUGCUCUUGGGAUAGAGUUUAGUAAAAAAGACUUUGCUAAGGCCAACGGGAAGACUAUGAGGGAUAAGAUGGCGGUUGAUAUAUUUCAAGAGCUUCCUGAUGCGCAUGAGUUCGAAAACAAGGACAAUGAUGCCAACCUGGGUGUGUAUGAGGGGUGAUAAAUAGGCUACGUUAGAUUAUUUUGUAUGAUAGAUUAGGCUGAUGUGUGUAUUUGAACUUGAUUGCUAUUUUGUAUUUGAACUUGAUCCCUAUUUUGUAACUAUAUUCUGCGCAGAAGACUUACAGUUAAGUCGUCUAGAAUGUUGGACGACUUAACUAUAAGUAGUCUGGAAAAUCUUCUGAGCAGUGACCUUUUGUAACUAUAUUUCGGAUAAUAUAAAGGGCAAGACCAUCUCAAAUUUGUUUGGUAGUGCAAUUUGACAAAGAAGUUGACACAGAUAAGUUCAUAACACAAAAUUUUAAUAUAUAGACUAAACACUGGACGACUAACUGGAUGACCUUCUGGACGACUUAAUUGAAGGUCUUCGGGAAGACUAAACACUAGACGACUAACUUGAAGGUCUUCUGGAAGAAAAAACCCUGGACGACUAACUGGACGACCUUCUGGACGACUUAAUUGAAGGUCUUCUGGAAGACUAAACACUGGACGAAUAACUUGAAGGUCUUCUGGAAGAAAAAACCCUGGACGACUAACUAGACGACCUUCUGGACGACUUAAUUGAAGGUCUUCUGGAAGACUAAACACUGGACGACUUACUUGAAGGUCUUCUGGAAGAAAAAACCCUGAACGACUAACUGGAUGACCUUCUGGACGACUUAAUUGAAGGUCUUCUGGAAGACUAAACACUGGACGACUUACAUUGUGGUUUCGUAUGGCCAGUUCCUUGCAUUUUGAGCAUCUAUAAACCCUGUGUUGCUUCCGGGGUUUGCGUCCUCUCAUCCUGGAUAGCUCCAACCAAGAUUGCCAUCUUGAUUUCUUCUGUCUUCCCAGACCACGCUUUACAUCCGGAGGAAAGCAUGUGCGUUCCUCAACUUGUUGUCCAACACAAGCAUAUAUAUUCUCUGAGUAUCCUGCAAACAGAAAAUCCUUUGAGUACACUGGACAUACAAGUGUGGAGAUAUGCAAACCAGCAGAUGUUCCAGCAGCUAUAGCAUGAGAGCAAGGUAUUUUUUCCACUGCAUAGACACCACAAUCACACUUUCCAUGUUCCAAAUCAACCACACAGUCCAUUUUGCCACUUUUCACAAAGAAUCACCAUCCAUCAAUUGGUUGUACCGUCAUCAUAUCCGCUAUCUCCGAUCGAACAACAAGCAAGUAUUCAACACCUCGACUAUGUUGAGUUGGGAGACUCAAAGCAUCUUCUCUCCUUUUCCAAAACCACUUUCCUAGCUUCUCCCUUAUGAACUCCAACAGGAACUGAACCGGAAAUCCUUUAGCUCGCUUCAGAGCAGAAUUAAUAGAUUCAACGAUGUUGCUUGUCUUUAUGUUGUACCUGUCCCCCUGACAAUAAACCCUUGACCAUAGGCUGACGUCGGCACUCUCCAAAUACGUUGCAAGGUCCGGGUUUGCACUCCGUAUCUCAGCCAUGUACCGGUCAAAAUCUGAAACCGUAUGAGCAUAAGCAACACCUUUCACCAAGUACAAGAGAUGUUUCCCUUUAUACUUUUUGACAAUGUUCUCUUGAAGGUGAUAAUAACAUAUUCCUCGGGUUGCCCAAGGAAACACCUUAUCACACGCACUUUUAAUGGCCGCGUGCCGGUUGGAGACUAUCACCAGAGGCUGCUCAUCAGAUACACAACAAGCCAAUUUUGUGAAAAAUCAUUCCCAAGAAGGUUCAUCUUCAGCAUCUAUGAUCCCAAAAGCCAAUGGAAAUAUCUGAAAAUUCUCAUCUUGUACGGCUGCAACCAACAUAACACCUCCAUACUUCCCACUUAGGUGAGUCCCAUCCACCACAAUGACCAUUCUUUGAUACUUAAAACCUUUGAUAGAAGCUCUAAAAGAGAAAUAUAUACUUAAAUCUAUUGAUAGGAUCAAGUUCUAUAGCCGUGAUAGAAUCGGGAUUUGCUAAGGAGAUUAGCUCGAGAUAUGAUGGCAGACGCGAAUACCCAUCUUCUGCUGAUCCUCUCACCAAUGUUUGUGCAUAUAAAAGUGCUCUGUAUGAAGUGGUGUAAUCACGCGUCAUGCCAAACAUGUUCUUCAUUGCAUCAGUGAUAUGCUGCGGAUUCAACCCAUCAAUGAUUCCAACACGAUCAAUGAAAAGCCUACCAACAUACUUCAGAGUACAGUGUCUCCGCUGAGCGAAUCGGUCUCCCACUGAGCAUGUAUGUUUUUCCACAUACUUUGUUACCCAAAACGUGUUUGUCCCAUGUUUCACACUCGCUCUGACUUUCCACUGACAACCACUAACCGGACAUGUUGUCACAAGGAGAGUUUUCGUUGACUUGUAUAUUCUGAAGGAGAACCCAAACCUCACUGCUGUCAACCGCAGCUCUGAAAUCAGUGCAUCCUUGCUAACAAAACUCUAAUUGACAUAGAUAGUGUUACCAUUCGAUCUUCCUCCUUCAAUCUUUUUGAUAUCUUCAAAACACAUAUCAUCAUCUUCCUCAUCCUCAUCUUCAACCUUUCCAUAAACACUGUAAUCCUAACCAUUCUCGUCCGUUUCAGCAACAAUAGAGAUACCAACAUCCUCCUCCCCAUCGUCCUCCUCCCCAUCAUCCUCCUCCCCAUCAUGAUUUUCAUCUUCAACCAAAUCAUCAUCAUCAUCAUCAUCAUCUUCAAAACAUUCAUCAGCUUCAUCAUCUUCUUCCCUGAACUAUGAAACCGUUUCCACCUUGCUACGGCUUGAUACACAAAGCUGUACUCCAUGUGUUUUGGUUAUCUCGAGCAAGUUUCGAACUUUUCUAUCACUUGUAACAUGAAUAGGAGGGGUGUCUGGAGCCUGCAUCAUUUCUGCUGAUAAUGAGUAGUAGGUUAUCUCCACAGAUUCUGUGCUCAUGUCCAGGUUAUAAUCUUCUUGAGCCAUUGCAAGAAGUUCAACAUGUGUCGACAUGCUCCUUCCCCAAAAAAAAUGAUUCUCGCUCCUUUGACAUUAUCAACCACAAAAUUCCAACGGCAGUCUUUCAACAACCAUUCUCCAUACACUGCAUGUAACUGACGCAUCAUCUACAAAAAUUAAAAAUAAAACACAUUAGUAAACAUAGAGAAAAUGAAAGUUUACUAAACAUUGACGCAGACGACAUACCAGUAAGUCGUCUGGAAGACUUACCAGUAAGUCGUCCAAACAGGUCAUUUUUGAAAUUGAAUUUUAAAUAGGACGAUUUACAAGUAAGUCGUCCAGUUUUGUUUGUUAAAAAAAACCCCUAUUUUAUUAAACGGGUUAGUUUUGCAUUUGACUGAAUUGUGUCAGAUAUUUGACUUUUUCUGGACGACUUACCAGUAAGUCGUCUCCGGGAAAACAAAAAUUUCAAUAUUUUAUUAAAGCUAGACAACUUAUUUGUAAGUCUUCUCAGGUUAGUUUGCAAUUCGAAAAAGAAACUUAAAUAUUUUAGUUUACCCAGACGACUUACUUGAAAGUCGUCCAGGCAGACAACGUACGAGAAAGUCGUCCGAGAUAAGCAAGGUUUGACCAUAAUCUAGGAAAUAAAUCUGGACGACUUUGCUUAUCCUGGACGACUUUCAAGUAAGUCGUCUUACUUGACGACUUCCGCAUAAGUCGUCUGGGAAAAGUUAAAUAUUUAAGUUUUAUUUUCCAAUUGCAAAAGUAACUUGAGACGACUUACAGAUAACUCGUCCAUCUUUUAUAAAAUAUUGAAAAUUUUGUUUUCUCGGAGACGACUUACUGGUAAGUCGUCCAGGAAAAAUCAAAUAUCUGACACAAUUCGGUCAAAUGCAAAACUAACUCGUUUAUCCUAGACGACUUAUCAGUAAGUCGUCUAGGGUAUUGUCUAGGAUUUUUUUUAACAAACAAAGAUCACGACUAAAAAUUAAGUCGUCCGUUUGACCAGAAGACUUACCCGUAAGUCUUCUACAGCCAGACUACUUACGGGUAAGUCCUCUACACAAACAGAUCUAGAAAGAAUUUCAAUUUCAUACCUUAAACUAGUGAGAUGACUUCCUUAUCACACAGAGUCUUCUCCAACCACCCAGAAUCUCAAACGAAAGUAACCCACCAAGAAUAGUAUGCUUGAAUGACUUUAUCAACCAUAAAAAAAAUUUGAAUCAAAAGCUUGAGUUUUUUGGAUGAAUAUGGAAGCAAAGUGAAAGAGAUGUUAUUUUUAGUUCAUAACAAGUGAGAAAGAGAGAGUGUAAAUCGAUUUUAGGUGCAUUAAGAACUUGAAAUUGGUUGUUCAUGGUGGUUGGGGUAUUGAUGACAAUGACAAUCUUGUAAUUACUUGAAAAUGAUGAGGGUGAGAGAGUAAAAAUGUCAUUUUCGGAAAAAAUAAAUAAAAAAAUUUGAUGGGGUGAAUAGGACAAAAAAAAUCUAAGAAAAGCAUGAGUUAGUUUUAGGUUUGACUUUAAGUUUUGAGUCAAUUUGAAAAAAAAACCCUACUUUUAUUUGGUUCGGUCGUGUGGACAAUUAUUUUUUGAAAAUUCAUUUAAUUAUUAGUGUAGGGGACCAAUAUGUGUGGAAACUUGACUAUUCGACACAAAGAUAUUGCUUUUGAUGUGAUGAAUAUUUGAUUUUUCACCAUGGAUUUUUCUCCGUGGAUUUUUCUUUGUGGAAUAAAUACACAGUCUGUUAUUAUGUAUAUAAACAGAUGGACAUGGAAGCAAUGUUACUCAUCACCAAUUUUCUUUUUGUUAUUGCUCUUUCAAUUUUGAUAUUCAGGAAUGAAAGGUUUUCGGAGCUUAACGAGUACCAGUUUUCUUACUCUUUUUAUACUUUUCUUAUUCGGUUACAAUUCUGAGGUAGCGUCUACGGUUCCUACUAGACACUUGUGUCGUCCGGAACAAAGGAAUGCACUUCUCCAGUUGAAGAACGAGUUUGAGGUUUUGAACUCUUCCUUGACUUAUAAUUGUAUUAUCAAUGAUGAAAUAGUAGACCCUCAUCCAAAGACGGAGUCAUGGGGGAAUUACAGCGAUUGCUGUACUUGGGAGGGUAUCACCUGCAAUGCCAAGUCUGGUGAAGUGAUCGAGCUGAACCUUGGUUGCAGCAACCUACGUGGCCAGUUUCAUUCCAAUAGCAGUCUUCAAAACCUUCAUUCUCUAACCACUCUAGUCCUUUCAGGAAAUCUUUUUAAUGGUCAAAUCAUGUCUUCAAUUGGAAACAUUUCUCAUCUCACCUCUCUGGACCUUUCUCAAAAUAAUUUCAGCGAGUUCAAUCCUUCUUCAAUAGUAGACCUUUCUUAUCUCACUUUUCUAGAUCUUUCUCGUAAUCGUUUUUCGGGUCAGAUUCCAUCUUCCAUUAGGAAUCUCUCUCCUCUCACCUAUCUUGACAUUUCUGGUAAUCAAAUUUCGGGUCAGAUUCCAUCUUGGAUUGGAAACCUUUAUAAGCUCACUCAUCUUGACCUUUCUUUGAACAAUCUUGUUGGUGAAAUCCCACCUUCUAUUGGUAAUCUAAACCAGCUGACCACCUUAAGUGUUUAUCGGAAUAAGCUAAAUGGAAGCUUGCCCAAUGCACUACUGAAUUUGACAGAGUUGUCAAAUUUAGAACUCAACUUCAAUCACUUCACAGGCACAUUUCUUCCUAACGUCACUUCACUAUCCAAAUUGACGCAUUUGGAAGCAGCUACCAACAUGUUCACUGGAACCCUGCCUUCAUCUCUCUUCACCCUUCCUUCUAUUGAUACUGUUAUUCUGUCUGAUAACCAAUUCAAUGGUAUUCUUGAGCUUGGGAAUAUAUCUUUACCCUCUAAGCUACGAGUGUUAGAUGUUGGCAACAACAACUUGAGAGGGCCAAUCCCGGCCACGUUAUCCAAAUUUACCAACCUUGACCGACUUGUCCUUUCUUAUUACAAGACACAAGGUCCAGUUGAUUUUAGUAUCUUUUCGCAUCUCAAAAAGAUGGAAGAUCUUGACAUAUCCUAUUUGAACACGACCACCACGAUUGAAUUGAAUGAUUUCUUGUCACAUUUCAAGAGGCUCCGUUGGGUGGUUCUCUCAGGCAACCAUGUUUCUGUCACAGAUAAGAGUCCAGUUUCAGAUCCCCCUUUGCGAUUGAUGUAUAAGUUGUACUUGUCAGGCUGCGGUAUCACCGAGUUUCCUAAGUUUGCAACAGCGGAAAAUAUGUCGAGUCUAGACAUUUCCAAAAAUAAAAUCAAAGGAAAAGUGCCGGGCUGGUUAUGGACGACGCUACCGAAUCUGGAUUAUCUAAAUCUUUCCAACAACUCUUUCACCGGCUUCGAAAACUCAACGAAACAUGGGCUAUCUAUGACAAACUUCUUAGCAUCCAACAACAAUUUCAGUGGAAAUAUUCCAUCUUUCAUAUGCGAUUGGCGCGGUCUUGCCACUCUUGAUUUAUCGAACAACAACUUUAAUGGUUCAAUCCCUCGUUGUAUGGGAAAUCUCAAGAGUUCUCUUUUAGAUCUAAACCUUCGUCAAAAUCGUCUUAACGGAGGUCUUCCUGAGAAUAUAUAUGAAAGCUUAAGAACGCUUGACAUCGGUCAUAACCAACUGACGGGAAAGCUUCCAAGAUCAUUGAUCCGUUUCUCUAGUCUUGAAGUUCUGAACGUGGAAAGCAACAUUAUCAAUGACGUGUUCCCGUCUUGGUUGAGUUCUCUACCGGAGCUUAGAGUUCUUUUAUUAAGCUCAAAUGCCUUCCAUGGACCAAUACCUCAAACUUCGUUCCCUAAGUUACAAAUCAUAGACAUAUCGCACAAUCACUUCAAUGGAGCUUUGCCAUCAGACUACUUUGUUAAGUGGAGUGCUAUGUCAUCACUUGUGACAGAUUAUGAUCUGGACCAAAAGUACAUGAGAGAUUUCUAUUACUAUAAUUCAAUAGUUUUGAUGAAUAAAGGCUUCGAGUUGGAGCUACAACGUAUCUCACAAGUCUUCGCAGCACUCGACUUUUCAGGAAACAAAUUUGAAGGAGAGAUCCCAAGGUCCAUCGGUCUAUUGAAAGAGCUUCAUGUUCUCAACUUGUCCAACAAUGCUUUCACCGGCCAUAUCCCAUCGUCUCUGGGAAACCUGACGGCUCUUGAGUCACUGGACGUUUCCCAAAACCAGCUGUCAGGAGAAAUUCCGCAAGAGCUAGGGGAACUCUCGUUUCUUUCCUACAUGAACUUCUCUCAUAACCAGCUUGCAGGUCUAGUACCUGGAGGCACUCAGUUUCGAAGGCUGAAUUGCAGUUCGUUCGAGGAUAACAUGGGACUUUUUGGCCCUUCUCUAGACGAAAUUUGCAGAGAUAUUCACACGUCAACAGUGACGCAACAGUAUGAAAUGCCGGAAUCAGAGGAUGUAGAAGAGAUGUUGAGUUGGACAGCAGCUUUAAUAGGAGUCUUACCUGGUAUUGCCUUUGGAUGGGUUAUUGGAUACAUACUUGUUCCUUACAAACCAGAGUGGUUCAUGAAACUCUUUUUUCUACGUAGACGCAGACACCACAACUCAUUAAAGAGGUAAUGUUCCGAGUUUUGAACCAAUUUGUUAACAAACAUUUGAAAAAAACAAAAAUAUAUUAGUUAAAAACCUUUUUGUUGUACAGGUUUUUCGUAACAUACGUGAAGAAUCUGAAAGAAGAAAUUUAAAGCAACCACUAUGUAUGAAUCCAGAUUAGCUAGCAUUAGGGGUAUCGUUUCCGGUUUAGUUUGGUGUGUUUUCCCAUUACUCCUUUAUAUAACUUUGUUUGAAAGAUUGUUUGUUUCUCUGUUAUUGUUUCCGGUAUAGUUUGGUGUGUUUUCUCUCUCUGCCUCUCUAUUUUAUUUUUUACUUUUAGCCAACUUCUUUGUGUCUCUGUAAUUGAACAACUAUGUUCCUUACGUCAUCUAAAUAUCAACGGUAUAGACGUGAUCAGAGCAACAAACAUAUGACCAAGAUCAACGCUAUAAGCAGCACGUGACUUUGGAAAAAGGAUAUACAAACUUUUUUUUGGUUAGAGGAUAUACAUACUAUAUAUGGAUAUUUCGAUUGUUCAUGUCAAUGAAACAUAUGAAUACAUAGAAACUCUAGACCUUUCAAAUAUUUGUAUCAAAAGAAUCCAUUUGCUAUCAAAAGGUUCAAGAUAUCGAGAAUCUUUGGAUUAGUUAAGUUGUUAUUAGAGCAUCUCCAAUAUAAAACGCCAUUUUUUCCUCCAAAAUGGGUACCCAUUUUAAGAUUGUUAGGCUUUUUGAAAGUUUUUUUGACAAAACAAAACAAAAGGAAAACAAGUUUUGCAUUGAAGUCAUGCCAAAGAAGUUGCAUGAAUUUUUUUUUUUUUUGAUAACCGAGUGUCCUGGUCCCACCGUGGUGGUCCAGACUAGAGACCGAGUCCGUAGCAGGUUCAACACCCAGACAAUGGUCUUCGGUCUCGGGCGCCAGAGCAAGUCCGCAUGUGAAUUCCCUGGUGGCCAGUGGAAAUCGAACCCGGGUCCGUAUUGGGACCGAAGCUCCCUCAAGACCACUAGGCUAACCCCGCUGGUCAAGUUGCAUGAAUUAAAUCUAGCAAAAACUAGCAGUGAUAAUCAUUGAUCUAGGUUCUUACCUUUAGAUAAAAUUACUGGUUAUAACAAAAAGAAAAGCUCAAAUCUGAUGCCUAUCACACCCUUCACCAAGAACAAACGAGGAAUCUGGGUGGAAAAAUAAACUUACAAGAAUAACAAAGAGAUCACAAUCUUUAUGCUUAUUGUGACCACUGUUAAUAAAAGGAAAAUGACAAAGCUUCUCCUAGAAUUUAACACAACAAAGGAUUCCAUGCGAUUGCUGGAAAAAUCUUGUCGGAUAAAAACAUGACGAUUAUUUACAUGGUUUCUCUGUCCAAAAAAAUAUAAACAGAACUAAAUCUAUAAAAUAUCUUUCAAAUCAUUUAGCAUCACUCUGAAACACUAUGCAGCCUAAAAUUGUACUGUUUUUUCUAUACACCUAAUUUUCAUGUCUUUCAUUGGUUUUGAGCUAAUUCACCCAAAGAGAGAACUUACUUUGAUCUGACAUUACAAAAAGAUAUGAGUACAUGAAGUAAGAUCUAACCAAAUCUUUUUACAUGAUUUUGCCUAUCAAAAACGUAGAGUUAAUUUUGGAGGAAUAGGAGCAGGAGAGUCGCAAUUAAUUAUGCACAGUCUAUUGGUACGUAGUUAAUUAUGAGAAAGUUCUUUGGUAGGAACACUAAUUUCUCAUUAAAAUUUGGGUUUAACGAUCAUCUUCCAAUUUAUAACAAAAUUCCUCUUGGAUCAACCUAUAUUUUAAUUUCCUUGAUUGUCUUUUUAAAGUCUUGCUUCCCUUUUGUUUAAUGUCCACAAUCAACAAAAAGAGACAUCCAACUGAUUGGUUAUUUAAGUCUCUCUCUGGUACGUUAUCCUUUGAAUUUUCAACAUUAUACUUUGCAUUUUCUCUCCUUAUUUCCCCUCAAGGACCCCAUAACUUUCUCCAAACUCCAUAAAGUAUUUGGAGCCCGCAACGUCAGUAAGCUUCUCAGUGAGGUCCUUGAAGAACAGAGACAAGAAACCGAUAACUCGUUUGUCUUAUGAGACUGACGUUCGUCUCAAGGAUCCAGUUUACGGUUGCAUUGUAGCCAAUAGCUUCUCUGCAGAAGAAGAUGCUUGAGCUUGAACAUGAUAUAGCCCUUGCUCGCUCUCGACUACUUGGCCAUUCUGGAGUUAACAACAACAAAGCUGCAGUCUACUCUGAUGCCGUUCUCUGAGUUUUGAUCACGAGGAGAAGGGAGAUGCAUUGUAUGGUGAAUUUAAUUCAAGCUCAGGCAGCUAUGCUCGUAGCAAGCUUUUCGUGCAAGCUAUGAAUUGAAGCAUGUAAUUUCCAUGUCCUGGAGUCUUCACUUGAAAACAAUGAUAUUUUUUCUCAUAUAUGCUAUGGUUUUUUAUCUAUGCGUACGUGCUACGGAAGCGAAUAAUGACGUCAUCUUAUUUUCAUAUGCUAUAUUUAUUUUUAUUUUAAUUUCCAUGUGCUGGAGGGAGAGCUUCUUCGCGCCUAUUUCUCACGAAGAACGCUCCUCACCUCAUUCCCUCUCUCCCUCAUCAUGCCCAAAUCCAACGACGGCGGCGCAGAUUCCGAGUCCGAGUCCGAGUCCGUCCCGCUGCUCGAUCUAUCGAAACCGUCAUCACCGAUCUCCUUCCCGAUCAAAUCUCUCCAAUAUUUAAAAUCACGUUCGUACUUCGACUCUUUCCACUUUCAGUUCAAUCGCUCCACAGUCCCUCUCCGGCGAGACUUACCUGAUCGGCCAAGGGUUUUAGUCUGCCACGAUAUGAAAGGAGGGUACGUAGACGACAAGUGGAUCCAAGGGUGUGAAAACGACGCCGGGUUUGCUAUUUGGCAUUGGUUUUUGAUGGAUGUGUUUGUUUACUUCUCUCACUCUCUGGUGACGAUUCCUCCUCCUUGCUGGACCAAUACAGCUCACAGGCAUGGCGUUAAGGUGAAGAUUAGGCAUUCUUGUGGAUACAUUAGUUUAUUAGGAUGUGUAGAUAUGAAUUGGGGUUAAGUAUUUACUUUCUUGUGUAUCUAUGGAAAUGUUAAAAAGGUGUUGGGGACUUUCAUCACGGAAUGGGAUGAAGGAAAAGCUACCUGCAAUGAGAUGCUUGCCACUAAGGAGUCUGCUCAGAUGUAUGCUGAGCGUUUGGCUGAGCUUGCUACUUCUCUAGGUUUCGAUGGAUGGCUGGUGAGUUUUGUCUUUUGGUAGAUACUUCUUGAUUCUUCUGUUCAUCUGCGUUUGAAGUGUAAGCUCUUACCUGCAGAUAAAUAUAGAGAACGAAAUAGAUAAAGAACAGGUUCCUAAUUUGAUGGAGUUCGUCAGCCAUCUAACAAAAGUCUUGCAUUUAUCCACUCCUGGGUCUUUGGUUAUAUGGUAAGUUGUGCACAAGUUCUUUCUUUUGGUAAAACCACUUUGAAUCUGAUCACUUCUUUUUGCAGGUACGAUAGUGUCACUGCUCAUGGCCAUCUUAAAUGGCAAGAUCAUUUGAAUGAAAAGAACAAACCUUUCUUUGACUUGUGUGAUGGUAUCUUCAUGAACUAUACAUGGAAGGUACCGUUCAAUUUCUUCAGUUUGUGUUUCUUCUAUAUGCAUUUGCCUGGUAUUUGAGUGGGUGAUGGUAUUUCAGGAGAGCUACCCAAAAUUAUCAGCUGAAGUUGCCGGGGACAGAAAAUAUGAUGUUUACAUGGGAAUUGAUGUCUUCGGUCGCGGCUCCUUUGGUGGUGGUCAAUGGACUGUAUGUUUUCAGAAACUCUUGUGAAAACCAACCAAUAAUUUUUCAUAUUAUUCUUCUUCAUUGUCUCAUUAAUAUCUAUAUAUAUGCUAGGUUGAUACUGCUCUUGAUUUGCUGAAGAGAAACAAUGUAUCAGCGGCCAUCUUCGCUCCUGGAUGGGUAUAUGAGACUGCACAACCACCUAAUUUCCACACAGCUCAGAAUAAGUAAUACUCUUCUUUUGCCUGUUUGAUUGUCAAAGAAAUUUUGCCAUUUUCUUUGUCAUCUUAUUAUCGUUCAUGCUUUUUUUCUUCAGGUGGUGGUCACUUGUUGAGAAGUCAUGGGGAAUAGUCCAAACAUAUCCACAAGUGUUGCCAUUUUACUCGGAUUUCAAUCAGGUCAAGUGAGAUUGAUUUCAACUUUCUUCCCAUCUUGUUAGAAUAACACCAGGGUAAAGUAUGCAUCGACUGUCUUGCCUAUGAUUUAUGUUCUGAAAAACUCUGUUCUUGCUUAUCCAGGGCUUUGGUAACCAUGUAUCACUCGAGGGUCGCCAGUUAUCUGAUGCUCCAUGGUACAACAUUUCUUGCCAGAGUCUUCAGGUUCAACCAUCUUUAUUGUCCACUCUUUAACUCCACAUAUAAUAUUUACACGAACCAAAAACUUAUUUUCUUGAUCUGGGUUUGUCUCUCCUCUCAUCUGAUUGUUGUGUUAUUCACGUCAGCCACUCCUCGAGUUCAAGGAAGACAACACUGAUAUCAUUCAGGUCACUAUUGAGUGAGUUCUGGCCCCUGAUACUAAAAAAAAUGUUUUUAACUUCUUGUUGAUUUAGAUACAUUUGUUUGCAAACGGAUAACGGUGAGCACAUGACUUUGUUUAGUACUAGAGAUGCAUCUUAUAACGGAGGAGGGAACAUCGUUUUUAAAGGAAGACUCGAGGGAGAUGUGUAUUUCACAGCAAGGCUCUUUAAACCUCUCCUUCAUCUUUCUUCUUCCCCCAUCACAGUCUCCUACUCUGUAAGUCCCUUGCUUUUAGAUACAUCACAUUAUGAGAUGAUCUUGUUUCUCUUCCUAAUGGAUGAUUUUGGAUUUGGUGCAGGUGAAAUCAGAUGAGACUUUUAAACUUGGACUCCUGCUUUCUUUCUCGUCCGCAUCACACGGGACUAAAUCCAUACUUGUGGCGCCACAAGAACCCAUCCCUAGAUUAGAUCACAUGUUCUUGAAGUGCCUCGUUACAUCAGAGCAGACUGUAUCAGAGUGGACGGUACACGAGACAAGCCUUGUCAUGGAUGAACACACACUAACUGAAAUCUCUUUCUUUUGCUACAGAACAGAGAACUCGACGAAGGCAUCAGAGUACGUUGCAUUGCUCGGUCACAUUUCAAUCAAAGAUCAUGUUCAGCUCCUCCAGCAAAACUUCGUUUCCUUACCUCCAGCAUCAUCAUGGGUCAUCGAGGCUCAUAACAUAGAGCUCAUGGUAGAUUCGGACGUGAAAGGGGUCAGCUUCGUGGUGCAACCGUGUGGUGAAGAUGGGUUAUGGAGAAAGCUUGAUGAUUCCCCUAACCUUCUUGUGGACUUGGAGGGUCUCUCGUAGGUUGCUGGAAACAAUGAAACGAUUCAUAAUGUAUAUUACAAAAUUACAUUAAUCUAGAAAGUGGGGAAAACAUGAUAAAAAAAACCUGAACUGAUAACAGAUCAUCAUCGUACAACUUCUUAAAAAUAUAAUUAAUGUACAUUAAUUUCCUUGUAUUUUAUAAUUAUAAAGAGAUCUUUUCCUUGUGCUAUACCGCAUACAAAUUUUUGUGCUAUACGGUAUUAUCUUCGUUUUGUUGUUAUGCCGUAUAUCACAAGCAUUUGAAAAGAUUUUAGGUGUCCAUCAAAGAUUGUCCCCUUGAGGAACUUAACUAUUCUAAACACAGAGCCAAAUCUGGGUUCUGCAAUGCUGGCACAAGUUCAGUGUUCAACGAACUAAGCCAUUAAUACAGUGUUCAAUCAACCUGCCUUUUAACUGAAAAUUCGAGUAGGCUUGAGCAGCAAUUCAUCGCCUGUAUGCUAAAGAGAUGUGAUGAUGAUAGAGAUAUUGAUACUGCGGUGAUUGCUUGCGGAUCUCUCAUUUGAUUUGCCACUGAGAUGGUUAAGAGAGAGGGAGACCACGUGCAUGCAUGUGUUUGCAUGCACGGGGAAUAUGGCAAAGCUAUCAGAGAAUUGAGUUCAUAAACUUGACUGCUCCAAAGUUAUUGGAGACGUUUAGAACAUCAGUUGGUGCUGGGAUCGUCUUACCAACUAGUCUCUUCCUAGUCGUCUCUUUUCUGUAUAUUUUAUUGGAUGAAAAGUGAGAUGAUUAUCAACAAAACUUGUUAUUAAGGUGGUGAGAAGUAACAGAUGUGUGAUUCACCAAUUUGAUUACAUCCACAGACAAAAAAAGACUUUAUUAUUGGAGACGACUUUCAGAAUUAAAUUAGAGUUAUAAGAACACAAGAUAUUUAUAGAACAUCUCUAAUCUUCAAAAAAAAAUCUUAGUGUACAUCAGACUCAUGGGUUUAGGUCUCAUAAUCGAUACAAUUUCCAAUGAUGUAAUGCAUUUAAUGCAUAUCAACAAAACCAUUGUUUAAUGGAGAUUCGCAAGAAGAAGUCUCCUGACAUCACCUUCCUGAUGGAAUCAAAAAACACAGAGGAAACAAUUAGAAAAGAACUCCACUGGCUGAAAGAAGAAAACAACUUCAUAGUUCCCCCACAUCUGGAGGUGGAGGCUUGAUUCUCAGUUGGAAGAAAGAUGUAGAUUUAACAGUCCUAUCAUCCUCCCAAAACUACAUAGACACGAGGAUCAUCUCAAAGGGAAAAUCAUUCCUAGCUACCUUUGUUUAUGGUGAACCAGACCACACAAAGAGAAAUGCAUUUUGGUCUACUCUAUCCUCUCUACACCCAAAACCGAAAGGCCCAUGGUUCCUAACUGGAGACUUCAACGAACUAAUCGACAAUACUGAGAAGAAAGGAGGCCCAAUAAGAGCGGAAGGUACCUUUUUGGAGCUUUUCGAACCUUCCUCUCAGAGAAUGAUCUGUUUGAUCUUAAACACUCUUGUAAUCUCUUCUCAUGGAGAGGUAAAAGAGGAGAUCACCUAGUGCGAUGCCGCCUUGACAGAUCCCUCAGCAACCCUGAAUGGACAGAGCUCUUCCCUUCUUGCCGUUGCCAAUACCUCAAGUUUGAAGCUUCUGAUCAUCGUCCAAUCCUCUCCUACCUAGACACCACCAAGAAGAAAGGUCGCAAUCUAUUUCGCUAUGACAGACGACUCAAAGAUUGUAAAGAGAUAAAAGCACUAGUAACAGAGAUUUGGACAACCUGUGCAUAUCUUGGGGUAGAAGCAAGACUGGCUCUAUGUAGAAGAGCAAUCUACAAGUGGUGUAAGCUGUUCCAUGAGAACAGCAGAAAAACAAUUGAGAAUCUCAGAGAGGAUCUAGAAUUUCAGAUGACAAGUGAGACUCCUAAUGGUGACAGGAUUAUAGAGAUAAAUAAGGGCUUCUUAAAAGCAUAUCAAUCCGAAGAAGCCUAUUGGAAACAAAGGAGUCGCCAACUCUGACUAACCUUAGGAGAUUCAAAUUCAGGGUAUUUUCAUGCCGUCACAAAAGCUAGAAAAGCAAAAAACAGAGUAACUGUCCUAGAGAAAGAUGAUGGAAUACCUCUUUUCGAAGAAGAUCAAAUUUCGGCUCGGUCUGCUCUUAUUACAACAAGAUGUUCACAGCAAAUCCCAGAGACGAUAAUGAGGACACAAUCUUCCGUGCUCUCAAACCUUGCGUGGCGCCAUAGUGGAAUGAAUCUCUCACCAGACACCCGUCCCCAGCAGAAAUUAAAGAUGCUCUCUUUGCAAUCCACGCAGACAAAGCACCUGGCCCAGACGACUUCUUCGCGAGCUUCUUCCACUUUAACUGGGACGUAAUUGGCCCCUCCAUUAUAGAAGAGAUCCAACGCUUCUUCUCCACAGGAAUUAUGCCCCCUAGUUUAAAUGAGACUCAUGUCAGACUUAUUCCUAAGAUCCAAACUGCAAAGAGAGUAGAAGAGUACAUACCUAUCGCCUUGUGUAACGUAUACUAUAAAGUGAUCUCCAAACUUCUCUUCCUGCACCUGAAACCAGUCCUUAAAGAGAUCAUCUCAGAGAACCAAUCUGCUUUUAUCCCUGGAAGAGCAAUAACAGACAACGUGUUAAUUACUCAUGAAGUGCUGCAGUAUCUGAAAACCUCACAAGCACAAAAACAAUGCUCAAUGGCGGUUAAAAUGGACAUGUCUAAAGCCUAUGACCGUGUUGAAUGGGAUUUCGUUGCACAAGUAAUGUCAAGACUAGGUUUUAGCAACAAGUGGACCAAUUGGGUAAUGCAAUGUAUCACAACAGUUUCCUACUCGUUCCUAAUAAAUGAUUCAGUCUACGGGAAAGUGCAACCUCACCGUGGCAUUAGGCAAGGAGACCCGAUCUCGCCCUAUCUGUUCAUCCUGUGUGGUGAAAUUCUUUCAGGCCUUUACAGAACAGCAGAGCUUCACGGAUCUAUGAGAGGAAUUCGCGUGGCCAGAGGUAGUCCCCACGUCAAUCAUCUUCUCUUCGCAGAUGAUACUAUGAUGUUCUGCAAUUUAUCAUCUGAAAGCUGCCUCUCUCUGCUCCAAAUCCUACAAGAAUACGAGAAAGUUUCAGGUCAAAAGGUCAAUAUAUCCAAAUCCUCUAUUACUUUCUCUGUCAAAACCCCACAAGAGGUUAAGAACUCAGCAAAACUCAUCUUGGGCAUUGAGAAAGAAGGAGGAGUGGGAAAAUAUUUAGGGCUUCCAGAACAUUUUGGAAGGAGGAAGAGGAACUUGUUUACCUCUAUAGUAGAUAGGAUCAGGCAGAGAGCCUCCAACUGGUCGACUCGAUUCCUAUCUCGAGCUGGCAAGCUCACUAUGCUCAAGCCUGUCCUGACUGCAAUACCCACCUACACCAUGUCAUGCUUCCAACUCCAGUAAGCCUCUGCAAUAGAAUCAAAUCUACACUUACUCGGUUCUGGUGGGAUCAUUCAGCAGAAAAGAAAAGCAUGUGUUGGGUGGCCCUGGACAAAUUAACCAAGCCAAAAGCCUCAGGGGGUUUAGGACCGAGAGAUAUUCAAUUAUUCAACCAAGCACUUUUGGGAAAAGUUGCCUGGAGAAUAUUAACCUCCCCCAACUGUUUACUUGCACGUGUUCUUACCGGGAAAUACUGCCAUAAGAAGAGCUUCCUAGACGCCCAACUCCCAGCAGUGUGUUCACAUGGUUGGAGGAGCAUCCUACAUGGCAGGGACCUACUCAAGGAGAACCUGAGAAAAGCAAUCGGCAACGGUCAGAAUACAAAAGUCUGGAAAGACACAUGGAUAUCAUUGGACAACAGUUCUAAGCCUAUGGGUCCAAUUCAUGAAUCUGCUCUCGAUAUGAGAGUCUCAGAUCUUCCCACUGAUGACUUACAAUGGAAAAAGGCGAGAAUUGAGCAAUACUUACCAGAUUUCAGCUCGCAGAUCCAAUGUAUAAAGCCAAGCAAGGUAGGGGCAGAGGACAUUUAUGUCUGACUCCCUCUUCAAACAUGAAUUUACUCAACCAAGUCUGGCUAUAACUCGCAUGCUCAACAAACUGUACCGUCGAAUCUCCACCUUCUAGCUAACCCCUCCUCACAGAAUGACCUGGAGUUUAAUUGGUUAAAAGAUGUUUGGUCAGCAAAAACGAACCCAAAGCUUAAGAUAUUCCUCUGGUCAAUCAUACAAGGGGCCUUACCAAUAGGCGCAAAGCUCAAAAGAAGGGGAAUGAUCUCCGCAGCUCACUGCCCCCGCUGCAACGAGGUAGAAACAUCAAUGCACACAUUCUUCCUCUGCCCCUUUGCUAAAGAAGUCUGGAACUACAUACCUCUCAAGUCACCAGUUCACAUAGCUGAGGACACUGAUUUCAGAUUGGAACUACUUCACUUCCGACAAGCAAUCUGUCUUCCCCCAACAGGAAUUCGAUCUCCCAUCCUCCCCUGGGUCUGCUGGUUCCUCUGGACGGCCAGAAACAAACUUAUUUUUGAAGACAAGAGCAGCCGUCCUGUGGAGAUAGCAACUAGAGGACUGUCAGCGGCUUUAGAAUGGGACGAAGCUCAAGAUGUGGAGAAAGAACAAAAGAGUAAUCACCUACCGCUCAAGGCCGCUCCAACACAGACGGAUCGAUCAAGCUACGAAAAUCCCUGCUUCGUAGACGCCGCGUGGGAUGUUUCCUCAAAGCAAGCAGGAGUCAUUUGAUGCAUACUCCUAUCAAGUAUCAACAAAACCAUCCAUACAUCUUUUGUUUUGCUUUUGUUAAAAAGACAGAAUAGCUACUGGCCAUAUAUUGAAGAAACAAGAAAACGAUCGAGCAAAGUCUGGGUUUUUCCUUACGAUCUCGCCCUGACUCCUGAGGAAUAUUAGUUGAAUAUUUAAUGUACUCACUAUCUAUGAUAGGCUCGAUCGUGAGUAUAUUCACGAGGAAGAGUUGAUUCUUCUGUCAUGAGGAAUGCUCUCACUAUUAUUUGAUUUCAAGAAGAUUGAUAUUUUGUUUAUUUUGAUUGAUUCUUAGAAAAGAGUUGAUUCUUUUUGUCAUGUUUGCAUAUAUUUCUCAUUUUGGAAGUCAUAAGGAAUAAACCAAAAAUAAGACUGUUCGCCGUUGAUUUUUCUUAAAAACGUUGAUGUUUUUUUUUAUUCUUACUAAAAAGAUUCAUUCAAUUAAGUCAUUUUGGUCUAGUGGUAAAGAAGUGCCGCUAAAGCUUUCGCCAUGGAUUUUUUUUUUAUUAAGUCAUUUCGGACUUUUCUCUUGGUCUUGUCUCAAGCAAGUACCCGAGCUGUCUACGGGGUUAGGUGGCUUAACGUUAUAGAACCGUCUCUCAGCGAAGCCAUCCAGGAACAAAAUGGUGUGGCGAGAUCAUCUACAGAAGCGGAGUAUCGUGCAGUUGCAAACGCAACAUCAGAAAUUAUAUGGAUUUGCAGUCUUCUCUCUGAGCUUGGGGUCUCGCUUCCAUCAGCUCCAGUCGUCUUCUGCGACAAUGUAGGAGCAACAUUCCUCUGUGCUAAUCCGAUAUUCCAUUCUCGCAUGAAACACAUCGCCAUUGACUAUCACUUUGUUCGGGGACAAGUACAACGCGGAGCUCUAACUGUUUCACAUGUCAACACUCGUGAUCAGUUAGCGGAUGCAUUAACGAAACCACUCACUCGAGCUCGCUUCUUGGAACUGCGGAACAAGCUUGGCGUGGCACCCACGCUGCAGCUUGAGAGGGUGUGUAAGAGAGAUACUAUAAAGAUCUCCUCUCAACUAUAGUAUAUACACAUUCCUCUGUUUUAGGAAAUGUUAGUUAUUAUCUAACUUAGUCUCCAAGACUAAACUCUGUAUAUAAACCUCUAUUGUACAUUACGUUCAAGAUAUCAAAAUACAUUUCCUAUACCCUAAAUAAGAUAAGUAAACACACAAAAAAGAGCAUUGCUCUAACUUAAAACCUAGUGAGUAAGAAUAAUAACAGUUUUCUCCAAUUUCGAUGAUCUCUCAGAUCCAACCAUUGCUCCCUUGCUCAACCACAGUAUAGCUUCUCCACAAUCUAAUCCCUACAAAUUCUUAUCUGUACAGCAACAACAACAACGCACAAUUCACGUUUUCAGUAACUCAUUUGAGCAGAUGCUCAAAGUUAUGGUUCCAAAUCAACAAUCUGAGACCUCACAAGGUAACAUAGAGUUUCAAUCUUCAAAAUCACAUAAGAAUGAAAAUUCUAACCAUAUAUUCACAAUUGCUUGGCAGAAACAGAGACCAAGAAAGUUCCCAUCCUCUACUUCGCGCCUUCGAUCCUCUCGUACACCUCUCCCAACUUCAAAAUUGCUCUCACCAGCUCCGUACACGAAGAUCCUUCACCUUCACUCGGAUCCACCUCCUCCACUCUCCGAUGCUUCCUCACCACAAACCCGCAGUCACCAGCGUCAUCAUCAUUGUCUAAUGUAGGAAACCAAAUAUGCAAAAUCAAAUACUUACUUCUGUCCUUUGUAAAAGAAACUUAGAUUAACUCUAAAAGUAAGGCAAGUCUCAGUCUGCCUCAAAAUCAAUGUGACAUAGUCUGCUCCAAAUUUUGAAACUCUCUUCAAAUUUUUUUGCUUCCUGUAAUGUCUACCCGCUGUGUUGCUUUUUUGGCUGUAUAUGUAACAUGCAAGGCUUUUAGGAGCUUGUGAUGAACAGAGGAAAACAGUUAACAACCUUGUUGUUCAUUGGCAUUGUAAACAAUUUGUUGAACUCAUCAAAAGAUUCUUAAGCUCCACAAUUUGUUUAAUUUAGCUGGUUUCGUUGAUGUUCCUUCUCGUACGUACUUAUCGUACCUUCCAACAAGAUUUGUCUACACUUCUCUGUUUUUGAUCUUCAUCUGCUUUUAGACCUCUAGAGGUCCUGACAAAAUCUAUUGGCUGACUAAUAAUAAUCUUAUUGUAGCAGCAGUUAGUAUACUUAAGUUAGACAACGAUUCGAGUCUUGAAGAGCGAGGUCAUGCUGAGAAGUUUAUGGAGUACCAGGUAUAGUUUCAAGAAUCUUUGACGAAUAUUAUGCUCUUGAUGAUCUCUUACUCUUUGACGAAUCAGCUAUGGAGCUUGCCCUAUCUUUGGAGAAACUCACUAAUUAUGAAAAGCUUCUCAUGUUGCAAAGUGUAAGUACCUUUUAUUGCAUCAUCAUUGAGUGGUAAUGCUGAGCCUUACGCAAAACAAUCCACUACCAAUUAAAUUGGUAAAAACAGGGUCGAAGCUAUCAAAGAUUGUCUCCUUGAGUAGCCUCACGAAUUCUAAAACAGAGCAAAAACUGGGUUCUGCAAUAAACAUAUUGAUUCACCGAGUUUGGUUACAUCUACAGACAAAACAAAAUUAUUAUUGGAGACGAUUUUCAGAAUUAAAUUAGUUAUUAGAAUUAGUUAGAACACAAGAUAUAUAUAGAAUAUCUCUAAUCUUGAAAGAUCUUAGUGUGCAUCAGACUCAUGGGUUUAGGUCUCACAAUCGACACAACUUCCAAUGAUGUAAUGCAUUUGAUGCAUAUCAGCAAAACCAUCGAUCCAUCUUUUGUUUUAUUUUUGUUAUAAGAGAGAAUAGCUACUGGCCAUAUAUUGAAGAAACAAGAACACGAUCGAGCAAAGUCUGGGGUUUUCCUUACCAUCUCGCCCUGAGGAAUACUAGUUGAAUAAUGUACUCACGAUGAUAUGGCUCGAUCAUAAGUAGAUUCACGAGAAAGAGUUGGUUCUUCUGUCAUGAAGCAUGUACUCACUAUUUAUUUGAUUUCAAGCAGGUUAAUAUUUUGUUCAUUUUGAUUGAUUCUUAGAAAAUAUUUGAUUUUUUUUUUGUCAUGUUUGCAUAUAUUUCUCAUUAUGAAAGUUAUGAGGAAUAAACCAAAAAUAAGACUUUUCUCCGUUGAUUUUUCUUGAAAACGUUGAUGUUUGUUUUUAUUCUUAUUUUUUAAAAAGAGAUUCUUUCUUAUUUUGAAAUCCCAUCAAAAUUAAACUAGUUUAGCAGUUAUCUCAAUUAGUUCUUUUUUUAAUUAAAGCAAGAGGAAUGUCAUAAAAUCCUGAUUUUUUAAAAAGAUAAAACAUUUACUAUCAAAUCGAAAGAUUACAAUAUAUGCAAAUGCAGGGGUCUCGUAAACGUUAGUUUUUAGGUCAAUAUGCAUGCGCGUCUUGUAAACGUUAAUUUAACUCCAAACAUACACCUAAGCAAAAUAAGACUUCGUAAAUUACGUCUUCUAUGGUGUGGACAGUUUUUUUUUUUUAAAAAUACUUGUAAUUAGUAAAGGGGACCAAUAUGCGCGGAAAUUUGACCUAAUAGUUUUCUCUCUGGCCCGAUAAUCGAGGUGCCGUCUCAACCGUUUCACUCCGACGCCGGUAGAGCCAUGGCUCGCCGGCGUCGGGCGUUUCAACCUCCGCGUCGUCCUCUUUCUUUUCGUAUCUGUUCAAGCUCAAGAUCCCGUGCUCUGUUCACUGUUCAUAUGACCCUUUCUUGGUCGAAGUUGUCUUCCAUUUCGUAUUUUUCCGGGGGCUCCCGACUACAGUUUUCACUCCCCUCCUCUACUCAACGCCAUCAACGCCAUAGCUCUGCUGGUCCGGCUUCCGUCAAGAAUCAGAUCUGUGAGGCUCAAUCUUCCUCUCCUCCCUACGUGUCUCCUCGGCUAGAAAGCCCCCUCCGACAUUCGUCUUCCAUACCACCACAAGUCCAACUUCAAGCUUCGGCUUCCGACGUCUACAAACCCGGUGUCCGUGGGGCUCAACAAUUAACUCGGAUUUUAGAUCUGGAAUUUUGUCAGUUGUCUCGGUUGUGUUCACCUUAUGUCUCCUCUAUCACCACUGUCGCUGGACUUCCUACUCCGCUAUCCAUUGUCAUCAUCUCAACCAUAUCAGUUAAACAUCGCCGCUUCUUUGCUCCGCCGUGAUUCCUCGCAGUUCAUCGGGUUCUUUGACCGAGGAAGGCUGAGUCAUUGUGUUCAUGAGAUGGGCUACUUUCAUUUUGCAGUGAGCUUGACAAGCCCAAUAAAGCUCCAAGGCUCCCAUCUCUUCCUAGCAGUUUCACAGCCCACUUUGAUGUGGGGUGGAUUGGUCUCCUUGACUAAUCUUCUAAAAAUGUUUGGUGGAUUCACUAGCGUUUUUACAGAGACAUAUAUACACACAAAGUUUCAUCUCUCUUGUUCGAAGAGUAGCCUUUCUUUCCAUUUACCGGUGGGUUCACCGGGACCAUCAUGUUCAUCCUUUGCUUCCUUUUUAAGGAGUACUUUCCCUCCAAUCUUGUGGAGGUGUUUGUCCAUAUCUAUAACCGUCUUGCUAUCUUGUGGAGCGGUCCGUUCGGGGCCUGAAGAUGCAGCGGGAUUCGUUUCGACGAGUUUCCGAGGUGUGGAUUGGAUGUCAACUUCACAAUUUAAGCUGACUAUUUCUCUGCUGUCCGACCAUGUCGUGAAAGCUACACUGACGCAUUCAAGCACCGUCUUGAGUUCGCUGUCAUCUUCUUCUUUUGAAGACCUAUCCUUUUUAUCUUAUGUUGGUGUAGUUUAUCUUUUCAAUUAAAGCGGAUGGAUAAUUCCCUCUAUUAUUUGUAAUCAAGCAACUUGAACUUAAUGAAAAAGUUGUGUUUCGAAAAAAAAAGAACGAUUUUGCUUUCGACGUGAUGAAUAUUGGAUUUAUCUCUCUGGAUAUUUUUUGUGUGGAAUAAAAACGAAGUCUAUUAUUGCGCUAUAAAGAGAUGGGCAUAGAAGCAUGUUACUCAUCACCAAUUUCCCUUUUCAUUUCAAAGUUAAAUAAGCUUAAAGAAGAAUGAAAGGCUUUUGGAACAUAACGAGUACCAUUUCUCUUACUCUUUCUAUACUUUUCUUAUUCGGCUACAGUUAUGAGGACGUGUCUACGGUUCUUAAUACGCACUUGUGUCGUCCGGAACAAAGGGAUGCACUUCUCCAAUUCAAGACCGAGUUCGAGGUUCUAAACUCUUCCUUUGCUUAUGGUUGUUAUGAUAUCAAUGAUGAUAUACUAGUGUCUCAUGGGAAGACGGACUCAUGGGCGAAUAACAGCGACUGCUGUAAUUGGGAGGGUAUCACGUGCGAUGCCAAAUCCGGUGAAGUGAUCGAGCUAGACCUUAGUUGCAGCUACCUACGUGGCACGUUUCAUUCCAAUAGCAGUCUUCAAAGCCUUCAUUCUCUAACCACUCUAAACCUUUCACGUAAUGAUUUCAAUGGUCAAAUAAUGUCUUCAAUUGGAAACCUUUCUCAUAUCACCUCUCUCGACCUUUCACGUAAUCGUUUUUCGGGUCCACUUCCAUCUUCGAUUGGAAAUCUUUCUCAUCUCACCAAUCUUAACCUUCGUUUGAAUCAAAUUUCGGGCAAGAUUCCAUCUUCUAUUGGAAAUCUUUAUAACCUCACUUAUUGUUGGAAAUCUUUAUAACCUCAAAUUGAGCCUAUUGGACCUUUCUAGGAAUGAUAUUGUUGGAGAAAUCCCAUCUUCUUUUGGCAAUCUAAACCAGUUGACCAGCUUAGAUGUUUUUCUCAAUAGGCUCAAUGGAAGCUUUCCCAUUGCACUACUGAAUUUGACAAAUUUGUCAUCUUUAGAACUCAGCUACAAUCAGUUCACAGGAACAAUUCCUCAUAACAUCACUUCACUAUCCAAAUUGACGACCUUUGAUGCAAGUAACAACGCUUUCACUGGGACCCUGCCUUCUUCUCUCUUCACCAUUCCUUCUAUUGAAUAUGUUAUAUUGUCUGAUAACCAACUCAACGGUAUUCUUGAGCUUGGGAAUAUAUCUUCACCACCUAAGCUGCAAAGGUUAGACGUUAACAGAAACAACUUGAGAGGGCCAAUCCCGGCCACAAUAUCCAAAUUUACCAACCUUGUCGACCUUCGCCUUUCCCACUACAAUGCACAAGGUCCAGUUGACUUUAGUAUCUUCUCGCAUCUCAAGUGGCUCGAACUUCUUGACCUAUUCUAUUUGAACACGACCACUACGAUUGACUUGAAUGAUAUCUUGUCAUAGUUUAAGAGGCUCACUGGGCUGGUUCUCUCAGGCAACCAUGUUUCAGCCACAAACAAGAGUCCAGUUUCAGAUACCCCUUUGCGAUUCUUGAAUACGUUGCAUUUGUCAGGCUGUGGUAUCACCGAGAUUCCGGAAUUUGCAAGAACGCAAAAUAUGCCUGGCUGGUUAUGGACGCUACCAAAUCUGUUUUACCUGGAUCUUUCCAACAACACUUUCACUGGCUUCCAAAACUCAACUACAGUUUCACCUUCAAGGCUAUAUAGCAUAAACGUGCUUGCCUCAGACAACAAUUUCACGGGAAAUAUCCCCUCUUUCAUAUGCGAUUUGCCCACUUUAUACAUUCUUGAUUUAUCAAACAAUAACUUCAGUGGUUUAAUCCCUCGCUGUUUGGGAAAUCUCAAGCUUACUCUUGAAGUUCUAAACCUUCGUCAAAAUCGUCUUCAUGGAGGUCUUCCGGAGAAUAUAUUUGAAAGCUUAAUAACGCUUGACGUCGGUCAUAAUCAACUGACGGGAAAGCUUCCAAGAUCUUUGAUCCAUUCCCCUUUUCUUGAAGUUCUGAACGUGGAAAGCAACAUAAUCAAUGAUACGUUUCCGUUUUGGUUGAGUUCUCUACCACGUUUAACAAUUCUUGUGUUAAGCUCCAAUGCCUUCCAUGGACCGAUAUAUCACAUAAUUACUUCAAUGGAACUUUGUCAUCUGACUACUUUGAGAGGUGGGGUGCUAUGUCAUCACUUGAGUCUACAGUUUAUUAUGAUAAGUACGGAAAGUACAUGAGCGAUAAUUCUUACUUUGACUCAAUGGUUUUGAUGAAUAAAGGGUUAGUGAUGGAGCUACCAUUUAUCCCAAAAGUCUACACAGCACUCGAAUUUUCAGGAAACAAACUUGAAGGAGAGAUCCUAAGGUCCAUUGGUUUAUUGAAAGAGCUUCUUGUGCUCAACUUGUCGAACAAUGCUUUCACUGGCCACAUCCCUUCAACUCUGGGAAACCUGACAGCUCUUGAGUCAUUGGACGUUUCCCAAAACCAGCUUUCAGGAGAAAUUCCGCAAGAGCUAGGGGAACUCUCAUUCCUUUCUUACAUGAACUUCUCUCAUAACCAGCUUGCGGGUCUAGUACCAGGAGGCACUCAGUUUCGAAGGCUGAAUUGCACUUCCUUUGAGGGGAACCAGGGACUUUUUGGCCCUUCUCUUGACGAAAUUUGCAUAGAUAUUCACAUGCUGAGACCACAUGAAACGCCAGAAUCAGAGGAAGAAGAGGAAGAGGAGGUGUUGAGUUGGAUAGCAGCUGCAAUAGGAGUCAUACCUGGUAUUGCGUUUGGAUGGGUGAUUGGAUACAUACUUUUUUCCUACAAACCAGAGUGGUUCAUGAACCCUUUUGCCCGAAACAAGCGCAGAAUCAGCAGCACCACAACUCAUUAAAAAGGU